GCUUUGUGGGUGAAGCUUUGGAGGUGAAGCUUUUCGGGUGAAGCUUGUUGGAUGAAGCUGUUUUUUUUUUUUUUUUUUUUUUUUUUUUUUUGGGCGCUUGACACGGUCUUCAUUUGCUUGUUUUGUAGUGACUGUGGAAGACGGAUUGCUUUCUGAUUGAGAAGGGUUCUGGCAUCGCUUGCUAUGAAUGUAAAAGAGUGAGAGCUGAGUUGGCUAAAUUACCUCUUUAUUGAAUUCAUUGCCAAAUGGCCUUCAUUACAUAGGAUGCCGAACGGCUAUAGCUCAACACUUGUACAUCGUGAGUCUAUUUGUAGUAGUACUUCAAGUGAUCAGCGUUCCAUGGAUGGCCAAGGGUCUUGCCAUCAGAGCUUCUAAGUGUGUAAGAGCCAGGGCGACUGAUGCCAAUGACUUCAUACGGUCCAUCCCAGUUUGGACUAAGUGUGCCUUCACUCGGGACUCUGUCGCAGAGUAAUCUUUUCUUUAAGACCCAGUCUCCUAUUUUGAAAGAACGAGGCUUGACCCUAGAGUCAUAAUAGUUGGAGAUGCGCUGCUUGUAGGCGACAUUCCUCAAGUGAGCUUGGUUUCUGUGUUCCUCGACUAAAUCCAAGUUGAGGGUGAGUUGUUUGUCAUUUUCACUUUGAAUGUAGUUCUGGACUCGGAAUGUUGCUUGCUCGAGCUCAACAGGGACAACCGCCUCUGUGCCAAAGGCAAGUGAGAAUGGAGUUUCUCCUGUUGAAGUCCGAUAUGAAGUGCGAUAUGACCAAAGAACUUGGGGUACAAAUUCUGGCCAACAGCCUUUAGCUUUGUCCAGGCUGGUUUUCAAAGUGCGCUUGAUUAUUUUGUUGAUGGCCUCAACUUGUCCAUUAGACUGGGGAUGAGCUGGAGAGGCAAAGCAUAAGUUGAUGUUGAACUUAGAGCAGAACAACCUGAACUUCUUGUUGUCAAACUGUUGCCCAUUAUCAGUGACUAUCGCAUUGGGAAUGCCGAAUCUACAAAGGAUGUUCUUCCACACGAAGUCUUCUAUCUUUGCCUCAGUAAUGGUUGCCAAGGGUUCUACUUCGGCCCACUUUGUGAAGUAGUCCACUGCAACGACUGCGUAACAGACUUUGCCCUUCCCUGCCGGCAUUGGGCCGAUCAAAUCAAGUCCCCACUGGGCGAAGGGCCAAGGGCUGAUCAUAGGAGUAAGAGGCUCUGGAGGGGAAUGAGGAAUAGUUGCAUAUCGUUGACAUUUGUCACAUGAGCGGGAUACUUUGAUGGCAUCCUGGUGGAGUGUUGGCCAGUAAUAUCCUUGGCGAAAAGUCUUGUGUGCUAGGGACCGAGAUCCAGCAUGAUCUCCACAGACUCCCUCAUGUAUUUCCCGAAGGACGAUUUCCGCCUCGGCAGGCGUAAGACACCUUAAGUAUGGCAGGCUAAAACCUCGCUAUUGUGGCGAUACCCUUGACGCGGGUUUGACCCACUGCAUUGACUGCCUGGGGGCGAGCGCUAUUGUGGCGAUACCCUUGGUUAUCGGGAUAGUGUCCCUUACUCUUUUUACUGAAAGGAGAGUGGUGAGGAUGGAAAUCCUUCCUCUUGCCUUGAAAUUGAUAUGUCUGUUGAUUCGGCGAAGCAUUAUGCAAGGCAUGGGGAGGUGCCACUGCUGUUUGGAAAGUCGAGGUCUUCUCAUUUAGGUGAGUCUGGUUUCCACCUCCCACUUGUUGAUAAAGGAUGGUUGUAGGGGGUUUCUCCUGAUAUGUCUUUGCCUCGGCGGAGGCAUGGUUAUAAGCCUGCGCCAUCACCUCAGAGUAAGUCUUCCAAGUAUUGGCAUUGAUCAUGUAUUUAAAGAAACAAUCACGUAGGCCUGCCGUGAAGGCUUUGAGGGCAGUCUUGUCGUCUGCCUCGGCACACCGGGAGUAUUCAUGGCUGAAGCGGCCAGCAUACAUACGUAAUGACUCGUCUGGCUUCUGGCGGAUAGUGUACAGGUCAUCUGCAGAGUGCAAGCGAUCGGUUUGGAAAAUGUGUUGGGAAACAAAUAGUUUCAUCAAUUCCUCAAAUGAGUCUACCGUCUCAGGUGUAAGACGACAAUACCAAUUUAGAGCUCCGUCAGAGAGGGUGGAGGGGAAGAGAAGACAUCGCUCUUCGUCGAUGUGCAUCCGGUAUGCCAUGGUGGACUCAAAGAGGUUAAGGUGCUCAAUCGGGUCCUCUUUUCCAGUAUAAAGUUGCAAGCCAAGCUUCUGCUUUGUCUUUGCUUGAAGGGGGGUGUUGAGGAUCCUCCUUGUAAGAGGGCCAGGCCUGGGUUGGUUCCAGUCAGGUAUUUCAGCCUGACGUUCAGCCUUCAACUUGUUUACUUCCUCAAGAAGUUGUAGGACAAGGGGGUCCUGAGCGGAGUUAUGUGCCACUGGAGCUUUCUUUCGUAAAUCUCCAUCUCCUCUUGGAAUUAGGAAGGUUUGAUCAAGGGCAUGUGAUUUUUCCCUGGACUCGCUGUACUGGCUUCCAGGGUAUGUCUGUCGGAACACCUCUGAGUCCCCUGUACCCUCAUGUCUCUCUAGGACUUGUUGCCCCUUCCCCAAAUUGGUGGCCGGCUUGGGCCGUGGCAGGGGACCGAGUCUCUCAGAAAUCCUUGGGUCAUUAAUCUUUGAGCUUAUAUGGAUGGAAUUCUCUCGACGUUGCUUCAGGAAAUCCCGACAAUCGCGAAAGACGGCUUUCGAUCCUUCUGCCCCUUCAGCAAAGAGGUGUCUCCCUCCACUUCUCAUGGUUCGGGUCGAAGCAACUGGGUUAAGAGAAGCCUCAUGUUGAUUAUCAAGUCGAGGGGUAAUCUGUUCCCUAUCAGGGAUAUCUAUGUCGAAUGCAUGUGACCCUCCAUGUUGGAGGGCACCCAGUUGAUGGUUGACUUCCACGGGGGCAACAAGCUCGCGUGUCUGAGCUUGCCUAGCUUCGUGGAGUGUCUCGAAGAGCUUUCUCAUAUUGCUCCUGGAGGACCUCAUUCCUCAUUGCUAUCUUGUUGUUCUGAGCUUCCAACUCAUCGACUUUAGCUUGAAGAAGAACUCGUUUUCCUUCAUUCUUUCGUUGUUUCGCACUAUGUGCAAGGGGGGUGUCAUUCUGUGUGCUGUGGCUUCCUUCGCUUCCCAUGCUGGAGAGGGAUGCCUGAUCAAAAGAAAGUGUACGAAUGAUAGAAACCAGCUUGACACAGCUGAAGAGAGUAGGAAUAAGUGUCGUUUCCCACAGACGGCGCCAAAUGUUGAUGCACAAAAUCAGCGAAGACUUUGGUACAACAGAAAGUGUCAGGUUUUUGUGACCUUCGCUUGGUUGCUUGGUUGCUUCAGUCACUAGUGAGGAUAAGUACGUAAAUGAAUAGAGACAGAGAAGCAAACACAGGAUGUACGUGGUUCACCCAGAUUGGCUACGUCCACGGAGUAGAGGAGUUCUUAUUAGUAGUGAAGGGCUUACACAAGUACAAAGGAUCAAGCUCUCAAUUUAGUGAGUUCUUGUGAAUGAUUUAACACAAAAUGGCAUUAGGCAAUAUUGUGGGGGAAUGACCCCUAUUUAUAGAAAAACUUGUAGCUUUGUCACAUUGACAUGUGUCAUGUUAUGAUUGGUUCUUGAUGUCGACACGUGCUGCGCUCUGAUUGGCUUCUAAUCUUGACACGUGUCGAGUAGUGAUUGGCCUCCUGGUCGGAGGGGAACUCUUCUGGGUCCUUGACAGUAUAGCGUUGGCCGGUGCUCGGUAGUUUCGGGAUUGGUCAAGUAUGGUACAAACAACAUCCACAAUCACCAUUUGUCGUAUACGAUUCGGUAUUUUCCCUGACCCCAGAGAGAUGUUCAUCUGCGGCCGCCCUUCCUUUUUCGCCUCCGUCAUCACCAUUUUUCGUAUCUGAUUUGGUUGCUUCCUUUUCUUUAUUAGGUUCCCUUGACCCUAGAGAAAUGGUCCUGAUGUUUGGUUGCUUGUUAGUAAUCAACCAAGAACAGUCGUCCAACUUGAUGAGCAAUCGGAUGAGUUUCUUUAGUGAUUUUUUGUUUUUCUUGUCAUUCCAUAUCAUGUUGAUUAUCUUGCCCAGCGGGCCUCCUGUUCCUAUCCGCCACAUGAUCAAGGAUAUGUAUACAUUAACUAAUAAGUCAUAGGAAGAUAUUAUCGGCAUUUUAAAUAAGUUAUCAUGCACUCGUCAUCUUAUCUUGUAAAAUCAUAAGGAACGAGUAAAUAAUGUGUCUUUUUUAGAGUUCCAGUAACAAGAGUUCGCCUUGAUGAACAUGGUUUGAGGCAAAGGCAGGAAGUAAACAAACCUUUAGCAAGGGAGUCCCAUAAUGAAUAAUAAGCCUUCAUAACAACUGGCAAACAUUUUAUGCAUUCAACUUCAUUAGGAACAUUGAAAAAAAUCCAAUUGAAGAAACGAUUUAUCUAGGUAGCCAUUUAAUUAUUCGAUCAAUUAAUUAGAUUAGAAAUUUGAUUACCUGCGAGCUUGUUCCGAAAGAUGGAUUGACGGGGAUGGUUUCUAUCCAUGCUGCUCUCCACAUCAUCCUUCUGAUUUGGUGUGACCACAUCUCCUCCAUCAGGAAGGCCUGCAUAUAUAACGACAUUAAGUAUGAGAGUACUGCUUCAUAAAAAAAACAAUGCGUGCACCUGUGUAUAUAUAGCAUGCGUACGUGCGCACACAUAUAGCAGUUUGUAGAGUAAUGGCACGUACAAUAAUAAAUUAGCAUCUUCCAUUUGCUUUUUUCAAAAUCUGGCACAAAAGCAGUUGGCAUUUGGGCUAGCAACUGAAGGCUUGUCAAUCCGUUAUCUUCCGUUAGGUGCGCUAGAUAUCGGUAUUUCUCCAGUAACCAAAGAGCAGUCUCUGCAUUGUGGAAGACAAAAGUGCAAAAGCUAUUAAUCUGCAUUGCAAAUAAUUGUGUGUAUUUUCUCACAGAGAGAGAGAGAGAGAGAGAGAGAUAGAGAGAGAGAGAGAGAGACCGAAAUGUUGCGCAAUGACUGCGAUAUGAAGAAUGGACAUUUUGUCAUCUCUGUGGAAGUGCCUCCAAAUAUUCUCCUCUUGUAGUUUGCCAGCAUAAAACUUGACCAAGUCAGUGUGACCGAGAGCAGCCGCCCUGAAGAGCGGAGUCUCUCCUAAAUAGUUCCGAGUCUCCAGCAGCUGCAGCCCACCAUUCUCCGAAUCCCUUUUCUGCUCAUAAGCCUGUUUAUCAGUAGUACUAGUACUGAUGAUGACCUCUUCCUGAACAGGUUCAUUGAAGUUGCUCACCAAGUACUUUGCCGCUUCCUCAUUGCCGGACAUACUCACCUCAUGGAGAGUAUUGUCUCCGUAAUUAUUUGGAACCCUCAGAGCGCGUUUCUUGUCCUGGCUGGUUGAAAUUUUAUUGAUUAACAUUUCGAGGACUUCUGUGCCUUGUGAUUUGCUGCUGAGAGAACCCGCAAGGUGAAAUACAGUGUCCCCCUCCACUGUCAUUUUAUAGUGCAGUUUUUCCGGAUUAUUCUCGAAGUAUUCCUUCACGUCUUUCCAUUCCUCAUUCAUGGCAUAUUCAUAGGGACGUUUCAACUCUUCCAUUUUCCUUAAGCUAUCCUCUCUCUCUUUCUGAUCCGGCUGGGGCACGUUUUGAUCCGGCCGAACCUUUAGCGUUUUCCAGUGCCAGUGGUACUCCAUUUGUAGUGUACUAAUAGCUUGGCAGCAUGUAUGUGACGGCUGUUGCUUUGAUUUAUAGGCUAGCUGCUACUGCUGCAGCAAUAUGGUUUACUUAAUUAACAAAGGAUGUUAACUAAUAAAGCAUUAAGGGUCGAAGAGUUAAGGUUACUAGCUUUGCGGCGUGUUAUGUCAAUGUGGUGGUUUUUGCUUUGAUUUAUAGGCCCGGCUAGCUGCUGCUACUGCUGCUUCUAUGUACUUAAUAUACGCUUUGCUUCACUUAAUUAAUUAACAAAGAAUGUUGGAAAUCAUAAAGCCUAAAACGAUCGAAUAUUUAAAGGUUAAUUACGAUUUUCUAGCGCCCCUUUUAAAUAUGCUUUAUCCGUACAAGCAUCUACCUUUGCAAGCAUGCAACACAUGCCUCGGUUAAAAAAAAAAAAUAUAGGGUAAAAGACUGUUUACUACCCUCAUGUUUCGUGGUUUUCAACAUUUAGUACAUCAAGUUUUUUUCGUCUCAGAGUCAUACCUAAAGUGUUAAUUUUGGGACAGUCUCAUACAUCCGUUAGUCAAACUGUUAAGUCUACCGUUAACUGAUGAUGUGGCACAUAUGUGGACAAUGACUGGGCACCACGUGUCAUUAAAAAUAUUAAAAUAUUAAAAUAAAUAAUUAAAUAAAAGUAUUUAUUAAAAAAAAAAUUGUUCUUUCUCAAAACCCCGACUGUCCUCCCUUCUCCCUCCCUUCUCGGCCUCUACUGCAAAUCCAACCCUCUCUUUCCCUCAACCCCCGACCUCAACCCUCAACCCUCUCCCUCCCUUAAUCCCUAACCCUCUCCCUCCCUCAAACCCCGACCCACUCAAUUAAAAAAAAAAAAUGUUUCUGGGCACCCUACAUCCCUUCUCUUCCCUGAAUCCAUGGCGACGGCUGCACUGCGAGCUGAGGAAGUUCCAGACCCUCGCGGUUAGCGACGUCGAACCGAUUGCUCCGGUGCAGGUCAUGGUGAUGAAGACGAAGGACGAAACGACGUCGCACUUUGAAAUCGUACGCCGUCGCCUUCACAUCCAAAACCCAUUGCCUCCUCCUCCAAACCCUCACUCUUGGCGAUGAAGGAUGGGCAUCCUUCCUCGUACGGCUCCGUCUAUGUCCCUUCCCACCACCGCUUCCGCUCUGUCAUCAGCACCCCCACUUUCAAAUUGGAAAUAGAAAACCAAUUUCACACAAUUUUAUAACAUUUUCCCCCAAUUUUUACAGAUCUCAAAAAAACCCAAGAAACCCAGCUGCAACAGAUCUAAAAAACUAUCCAUAAAAACACACAAUUAACAAUAAUACAAACCAACACACAUUCAUUGAUUCAUGCAAUUCUACUCAAACAGACAAUACAGAAAACAAGAGAGAGUAGGUGGAGAGAGAGAGUUACAUAAAAUUAAACCCGAAUUUGAAGUCGUAAAUACGUAAGGCGAAAAGGGAUAUGCCCUUAGAGGGCAAAUUGCGGUCGAAGAGACCCAGAAAUCAAAAAAAGGGAGACGCAAAAGGGCUCCAUUCGAAUAGGGGGAGGGUAGGUGGAAUCGAAGAGGGAGAUGAAGGGGGAGGGUGGGUGUAGAGGAGAGAAGGGAUGAGGGUCUGGGGACUUGGGCCGAGCUUAAUCGAAUGGUGGUGGUUAUGGAAGAGAAGAAGAAGAAGAGGAGGAAUGAAAGUGUACCCGUGGAUGCAGAGGAGAGAAAUGAGGGGCUUGAGGUGUUUGUUUCUUGAGAAAAUGUGGAUCUGAUGGGAAAGUGAGAAGAGAGGAAGUUGAGAGUGGGGGAUUGAAUUGAACGAUUGGGUUUGGGGAUGAUUUGAUCGGAAUAUUUUGUUGUUUUGAUUUGCAGGGGUUCUGAGUUUUUUUUUUCCUUCUUGUUGUUGUUGUAUUUUUUUUAAUAAAUACUUUUAUUUAAUUAAUUAUUUUAAUAUUUUAAUGACACGUGGCGCCCAGUCAUUGUCCACAUAGGCGCCACGUCAUCAGUUAACAGCAGACUUAACAGUUUUACUAACGGAUGUAUGAGACUAUCCCAAAAUUAACACUUUAGGUAUGACUCUGGGACGAAAAAAAACUUGAUGUACUAAAGGUUGAAAACCAUGAAACAUGAGAAUAGUAAACAGUCUUUUGCCCAAAAAUAUAUAUAUAUAUACACACACAUAUAUUAAUUUGAGGGAUGUAGUAUAAUAUAUAAACUAAACGAAACAACCGACAGAACGUAACAAGAGUGUUUGUUUAUCAUUUUCUUUGUAGAAAAUUACAUCUCAUGUCCUUGAACAGGUACAUACAUAUACAUCUAACACAAGAUACAAGUUGCUCUGGUGAGCUUUGUUCAGGGAUUCAGGGGGGUUGCGCCUUCGGUGAGUAGCACAAAUAUGCUGCCGUUGUCUCUCCUCGUAAUCUGGAGCUCUCCGUCGAGGUACAUUGUUAACAACCACACAGGGCCGGUCCUAAGAAUUUAGGGGCCCUAGGCGAGUUUUCGAAAUGGAGUCCUAAAAUUCUCUGAUUUCCGGUUCUUUAUACAUUGAUAUGUAUAAAAAAGAAUUCCCUAAAUACAUAAAAAUUCUAUUUCCACAUCCAAUAUCAUUAAAAACUAGGGUAAAAGACUGUUUACUACCCUUAUGUUUCGUGGUUUUCAACAUUUAGUACAUCAAGUUUUUUUCGUUUCAGAGUCAUACCUAAAAUGUAAAUUUUGGGACAGUCUCGUACAUCCGUUAGUCAAACUGUUAAGUCUUCCGUUAACUGUGACGUGACGCCCAUGUGGACAAUAAUUGGGCGCCACGUGUCACCCACGUGGAAAUUAAAAAUAAAUUAUUUAUAAAAUAAAUAAAUAAAAUAUAAUAAAAUAAAAAAUUAUAUAUAUUUAUUUAUUUAUUUAUUAAAAAAAAAAACCUUCAUCUUCCCCAGAUUCAGAGGAAGAAGAAGAAGAAGAAGGAGAAGGAAGAAGAAGAAGGAAGAAGGAGAAGAAGGGGAAGGAGGAGAAGGAGAAGAAGGGUGCCAGCGUAUUUUUAGGGAUGGAGAUGCUUUGGCUUAUUACUGUUUAUUGGGGUUUAUUACUGUUCAUUUAAGUGGAUAAAUGCGCUGGGUGCUGGCACAAAGUCUUUAGGGGUGGAUUUGCUCUAAGAGGUGAUUGCAGUGUAAACAAAUACACACAGAUACAAGACACUAGUCAGGGAGCGUUAUCAAAUAUUUACAUAUAUGUUUUAGACUUGUAUGGUUAUAAAACACAUACAUAUAUUUUCUGUAUGCCUUACCUCCAAUUCUUCCUACAACAGGAUCCAGCGAAGAAUCCACACAGCAAGUCGCAUGCACAAAGCAGCUGGGAUGUCCGUUUCACUUUCCAAAGAUUUCACGCCAUCUCCUAUUUCUUCCGACUUCAUUUGAUGUAUCCCUAGCUGCUCUGAGUGCUAUCUGAAAGAGAAAUACAUAUGAACCAAGUCAUCAAGCAAUGUGACAAUAGUUGUAGCCUAGGUAGAAUUUAUUUAUUUUUCUUUCAUUUACCUCACCGAUGGCUUCACUACAACAAAUAUGAGCAUUGCACACAAUAAAUUAUAUGUGCCCUUUGAGGCCAAAGAGCACCAACAUAUGUGCCCAUAGACCAAUAGCAACAGUACAGCAACUAAGUUUCUAUAUGUGCCCUCUAUGGGCGUCACCAUUGCUAAAAGGGCACAAUAGACUGUUUGGUGCUCAGAGGCAGACACAAAUAAAGGCCUUUUUGUGUCUAUGUUCGGACAAACUUGUCAGAUGACCAUCCAUGUUUACACUAUUUUUGUUAUUGUGCCCAUUAGGUUCUAUUUAAAAAAAAAUAGAAAUGUAAAAUUUUGAAAUUUUUAUUUAUCGUACCCAGUGCACAAGGCUCCCGCUUUACGCAGGGUCUGGGAGAGGUGAAAUGUAAAAUUUAAAAUUUUCAUAAAAUCAAAGAUGACAGUCUUGCUGUAAAAAGCAAUUCAGUAGUAGAAAUGGAAUGUCUAAUGAAACUACAUAAAUAUUCCUCAUAAAGAACAUGUUUACAAGUGUUCAAGAUAAAACACCAACAAAAUAAUGAGAUUUUCCUAUCAAUGUAUCCAUGCAUUCCUACAUAUAGCCACGGUCCACCCAUAACUGGUUUUACCCUUUUUCCCAGCUCGGUGGAUUAUGUAAUCACCUUCCUGAAAUCCAAACCAAAGGAAAAAUGAAAAAGGGAAAGGAUCACAUAUUUCCAGUGAUGUUUAACUACCCAAACAUCCAAUCAACACUGAGAAUUCAUUAGCUUUACACAUAUCUGAUAACAAUAACAGUUUCAUUUUCUCCGACAAAAAGAGAGAACAUUUUUCUAUUGGUACAACUAAAUGUCCAAUGUACCAAAUGGGUUUAAAUUGCUAAUCCAUACACUAGAAUUCCAUAUGUCAUCAAUCACAUUUUAUUCCAACUAAUUUAAGGGAAUGAAAGCUAAUCACUUUGCAAAUUCCAUAUGAAACAUACCAAAUGGGUUUAAAUUGCUAAUCCAUACACUAAAUCCAAAUCCAAUCCAAAUUCAACUGUGGUCCUUUGAACCCAAAAUAACAACUAUGAGGUGUAAGGCCAAGGUUAAUAUGGAAUUUAUGCAUCCCCUAAAACCUACAAUCAAUUUUAAUAAAUAGCAAUGAAGUCAAAAGGUCGAUAAAACAUUUACCUCCAUAAAAGAAUUACGUUAGAAUCCAGAUCUUCCUCAAUUUCUCUAAUUUAUGCAUUAUUAAUAAUUGACGAGUGUUGCAGUGAACCAGCGUACAACUGAAUGUAUCGGCGACAAAGCUGACAAAGAUCUCAAAUGAGGUCCCAAGAGGAUCGGCAACUAAUUCAAGAAAUGUACUGUGAAGUCAGAACCAACAUGGGAAAUUCAUAGAAGUACAUCGAUUUGUAAAAUACAUCCAAAAGCAUGCAGUGAGAAGUUUCACCAAAUAUUUGAAAGUAAAUACAACCUUCAACUCAAUUCCAGUAUUUUUAUUUAUAAAAUUUAAAGGAAUAUUGUAAAAAUAAGAAGCUGACAAAAAAACCUUGAAUACCAGGCCGUAAACAGGCAUACAAGCAUAGACCAUAAAAGAGUCUAUAGAUACACUUUUAUCUAUCAAGUGUAGCGUAUAAUAUAUGUGUUACCACACUUUCUUCUGCUGCAGGGCUGCUUGAGCAGCACCACGCCACCACAAAUACAGACCCUCUGAUAGGGGCACCACAUGUCUCAGAUGGGAAACAUCAACAUAAGUCUUGUAUCUUGAAACAACUUCUAAUAGUUUUAUAUCCAAUCAUAAUAUUGGCCUGAAAAAACCUGUAGAAAUGAGUUGUAGCACUCCAGCUGCAUACCAAGAAAGCAGAAAAGGAACAAAUUUUAUGGGUUGUGGAAAAAAGAAAAUUAACACCUCAACUUUCCUCAGAAAGCUGAGAGAAGCAAUUUUACUCGAUACUUAUAUGGUAGAAGAAAACAUUUAGAGAGGGAGAAGAGAAGUAGAGAGGAAUAGGGGGAUACUAAAAUGUGAAAGAGAUCCUCCAGCGAAAUCUUAUUGCAUUUUCCUAACUCCUACCAUGAAUUAAGAUAUAAUAUGAAUAUUUGUUUCUCAAUGGCAGAACAGGAGAGAGGAUGAAUAAAAAUAAUACAGGGAAUAACAUUCACUCAGCACGAGGGAAGCCUUCUCAAACGGAACCUCUGGAUAAUUUCUUUCUUGAUUUCCAAUGCGGUGAUAUUUUAAAACUCCAUUUCGUCCAGAGCUAGAUACGAACAAACACGCACGUCCAUAAUUGUAAAAUCCUUAUUACAUUUAAAACUGAAAGAACAAACCAAAAACUCAAUGGCUCCCACUGGUUUCGUAGAUUCAAAUCAAUUUAAAACUCAAUUACAGUUAAGUUCUUCCUAAAAACUCAUAUAGCCCUAAAUUAAUGCAAACAUGCCAGUACUUCAGAUUAAACUUAAUUAGACAAUUAUUUUGAAAACUCAUCAAUCACAAAACUAAAAGUUUUUAUUUUGAAAAAUCACUUACACUGGAGGACAGCCCACGAUGAGAUGAUCAUUUUUACCUCUUUAGUCGAGGUCCAAUUCCGGAAGACUUGGCCAGAAAUUGGCCGGAAAAUCCGCGGUAAGGUCGUUUUCCACAAGGAUUAUUUAAAACAAUUUAUGAAAAACCAAAAUUUUAGUUAAUUAUUUGCAAACAAAGAUUGAAAAAGGUUGAUUUUGAAUUUAAAAAUAACAUAAACGAAUUUUAAUAAAAGUAAUUUAAGGAAAGCAACUAAUAACCAAUUAAAAAGGAAACAAAUCAAAGAGAAAAGAUUUUGAGAAACAAAUAUGGAAAAGCACUAGGGUUCCGCCGUCACCCUAACAAUCCUACAUAGUUCUUCUAAUUUCUUAUGAAUUACACAUGCAUAUUUUGAAGGUUAGGUUUUCCUAAAGUAUGCCCUACUUGGAACCCCCAACAUAUAACGUAUAUCUAACAUGCAACUCGUCCGUGGCGUCCAGAUCGAAUGUGAAAAUAAGACUCAUUAAGUUUUGUGAAAACCUUUUGAAAAACCAUAUAACUCCUAAGACGUGUUGUUUAUCCUAAGUAGUUACACAUGUUAACCACAAGAAGCCUUAGUCAAUUUUAGGGACAGCCCUCCGCCAAAAUUGCAUCAAAUUACUUUUCUAAAUAUCCUAAUGGUCGUUAAUCACUAAGAUAAAUAGAUAGGUUAAAUCACAGUGAUUAACAAUCAAAACUUGCAUGCAAAAAUUCAUAAGAAAAUUAAAAAGAGACUACAUAUUCUUGCUAAGGAUCAUGGCCUCACCCUAGCAAAAAGAAUUAGUUAAGCAUAUUCAUAAUUAAAAUCAACAUAAUUGUAUUAAACUAGAAAAAGAAUGAAAACACCUAAAAGUAUAAGUCUUGAAAUUUUUAAGCUUUAGCCAAAAUCUUCUUCUCAAAUCUUGCGUACCUAAAAGAGAAACACUAAGUCUGCCAAAAGGCUUAUUUAUAUUACUCUAAAUAAACUCCUCCUAGUAAAAGGACUUAAAAUAAGACUAGGAAACUAAAUAAAUUGAAAUAAAAUAGGAAACAUAAUCUUAAAUUAACUUGGUAAAUUCGCUUAGAAAUCUGCACAGCCACGUUUUGGACCCAGAUCAGCUCCAAAACUGGCCCAAAAUAGCUGGAUUUAAAGCUUGGACUAUUCUGAACACUUCUCCAGAAGGCCACAGACCCAUCUGAGGUCAUCUUGGGCUCCAAAAAUGCAAUUUAAGCCCGGAAAUGUCACUUUCCAGCAACGCGCACUGCUCCUUUAAUAAAUCGCCAGAAGAUAACCGCUUGGUAGAAAAAUCCAAAAUUUUGACAUGAAUAAGCCAAGAGACACACGAACGUCCUCCAAUUUGAAUCACUCCAAAUUCAUUUGUUUGAUCAUGUUUUGCUCCAGAGGAAGUCGAAUGUCCUAUAUUGAAAAUAUAAAGCAAAGUAUCAAAAUUCUACCAAAAUAAUUAUCAAAGUAUACUAAGAUUAGGGUAAAAUAUAUAAUAUAAUAUUGACUCUUCACAUACCAACUUCACAAAAGCACUUACCUCAACCACUCAUAGCCAAAAGCACUGACCUCAACCACUGGCUAUAAGGCAGCCCUGAGGCUAAGUAUAAUCACUUAAUUAUCAUGGAAGACGAUGCGAGUGUUUAGUGUAGAAGGGAAACAGAUUAGUCUAACCAACUUGAUUACACAUAAAUAUGCUUUAUUUUUUAUUUUUUUAUUUUAUUACAAACGAUAUCAUUACUUUAUUUUACACGAAGAGGAAAGGAAACAAUCCACCACUUAUUUAAGGAUGACACAUAAACACAAAUCAACAAAAGCAUGCAAGAGAUAUAACCAUUAGCAUACAGUUUGUGACAAGCCUUUGUUCUUCACUUAUUGCCCAUGUUUGUGAAUGAAGACACAAUAUCACUGUGAAAUAAGAAAAAUCCGAAAUAUUCAAAUGAUAACACAAAUAACUAUUUAAGUUGCAAGAUUGUGAAUCUAUGCACCACAUAUUUUGCUAUGACGAAUAGUAUAUGUGAUUCAAUACACCUUUUUCUUCCCCCAUAUUGAUCCGGAUCUUUUAUUGCGUAAGCCAAGAAAGUCAUAAAUGGGUUUGAAAAACCAGGCAUGAAUUUUCUGAACCAUGGUUAUGAAAGAUUGAUACAUAGGAAAUUGAAGCAGGGCACAAAGAGGGACUGGGAAAAAGGCAAUAGGGUAAAGUAGAGACUCAGUCCAUUUCUUCUUGACGCGAAUCAAGAGCAAAAUGGUGGCAACAAAGGCGAGCAUGGUGGUUCCCAUGGAGAAGAAGAGCAAGAUGAAUCCAGUCAUGAUCUUGUUAGUGUAAAACUUAAGAACGCUCAAGAGUUCACUUCAAUUGCAUACCUUUUCAAAGAGAGGCUACAUGUAUUUAUAUUUCACUUCAGAUUACAUCAGGGAAAGCAAUCCCUAUUUACAAGGCUAUUCAAAAAUUCAAAAAUUACAACAAACUGUACAAAGGAAAUAUAUCCCAGAAACAACAAACAUUUGAAAGAGUUGUAACCUAAGCUAACUCUUCAUGGAUAAGAGUUUAGAGUGAUCACAACUGCCUGAAGUCUCGGAAGCAAGAGUCUCACACUGACUUGGUCUAACAAUUAGGAAUGCUGCUAACGAAAUGUGGGUACUCGAGAGGGGAGGAGAGGACAGAGAGAAAGAAUGCCACUGAAGAUAAUGAGCAUGAAAUGGCCAUAACGUCCAUGCAAUGCAGGUGAAAAGCAAAAAGAGAGGAUUGUCCUGGAAAUUAGGACGGCCACUUAUAUAUAUUGGGUCUUUUGACAUAUGAGUUGACAUAUAAGCUGGGUCUUUUGAUAUAUAUAUAUAUAUAUAUAUAUAUAUAUAUAUACAGGGAGCUUAAGGGGAGGGAUCCCUAUUUUUUCAAAAAAAAUGGGGACACGCUCCCCACCGUUAGAUUGACUUUAAUGAAAUUGUGUGGAGCGUGUCCCCAUUUUUUUGAAAAAAUGGGGAUCCCUCCCCUUAAGCAAUAUAUAUAUAUAUAUUUAUCAACUUGGUCAACUCAUGUUUGCUUUGCGACUUAGAAUCGAGGCAUACAUGAGUUGACAUACGUGUUUUCAUAAAAUGUGGGAUUAAUACGUUGAUAACUGUUUUACUAUAUAUAUAUAUAAUUGCACAUACAACCCCUUCAGGACUUAUAUACAAUCCCGGGAUUGUAUGCCUCGAUUCUAAGUCCUGAAGGGGGCGCAAAGCAAACAUGAGUUGACCAAGUUGAUAUAUAUAUAUAUAUAUAUAUAUAUAUAUAUAUAUAUAUAUAUAUAUAUAUAGUAAAACAGUUAUCAACGUACUAACCUCACAUUUUAUGAAAACACAUAUAUAAUGAUAAACAUAGGUUUUCCGAAACCUAGCAUGUCGUGCAAUAUCUCAAAUCAUAACUUUUAUAUAUAAUAAUCACUAGUAAAUGUCCAAUAACCCUCAGGUCCCAUGCCGCUCCCCGUCUCUAAGCAGACAGUCAGAGGAAAAUACACUUCAGGCCUCAUGCCGGCUCCCCGUCCUUGUGCUAAAUAGCCAGAGGAAACACACUUUAGGCCCUAUGCCAACACCAAACAGUCGCCAGGGACGGACCGGAAUCUAUCUCUACGUUCCGUAGCGGAAAUGACCACUAGGUAAGUAUAAAGCCAUUUAAAAUAUAUAUAUUGAAAAGCAGCUUCAUAGUAUAAAGUCAUCCAUCAUCUAUACUAUAAAGAGGUGUUCGAAACAUGUUCUAAAUAUCAUAUUGUCAUCCAUCAGAUAUUCUAUAAGAACACGAGUUAUAGGAAAAAUAGUAGUAAUUCAAUCUAGCCUCAAUAAGCAUGUUAUCUCAAAGCGUUUCAUAGAACAUAAUCAUUAAAUCAUGUUUUUCCAUGUAUGCAUUUCUAUUAUUAAAACAUGUAUUUUAGAAGGUGUCCACUCACAGGACUUCACCACUGAAGAGCCACGCAGCUAGCGAAGACAGAAACGCCACUAUAAUUGCCCCUAAGCACAUAAAUGGUACAUUUAGUCAAACUCUACUCAAUCAAUUGAAUUUGGGAAAACGGACUUCAAAAAUGGGUCCAGAACGUCGAAAUUAGCUUAGGAGAUGACCCGAACGAAAACCUGAAAAGUCCACGAUCAAAGUCAACGUUGAUCAUUGACCGGUCAAAAUUAAGUUCAACGAUGACUGUUGACCGAGUCACUGGUCAGAUCGGGUCAAUGUCAACGGGUCACGGGUCACGGGUCACGGGUCCCGUUUAGGCUCUAAUGUUUAGGCUCUAAUGGGUUUAGGUUUAGGGCUUUAGGAUUAGAUGGGCUUUAGGGUUAGGGUUUUAGAUAAUUAGGUGGGCUGGGUUUAGGGGUGUUUAGGAUUGGGUAGGAAGUCUCUAGGCUCGGGCCCAGAUCCACACGGCCCGAGGGCCACAUUUGAAAGGGUUUUGGGUUUAACUUAAAGGGCUUAAAGCCCUAAUUCUGGCACGGCCCAAAGGGCCUUUAGUUUACUAACCUAAAUUAAAUAAAACAAUUUAAAUUAAAGGGUUGGGUUGGGUUUUCAAACGGGAUGGGCCUAAGGCUCGAGUUCUAAAACGGGCCAAAGGGCCUAGUUUGCUUGAUCUCGCCGGGGAAGGAGGUUGGAACCUCUUGACCUCCGGUCAACGAUAACUAACAACCUAGGGAUGCGAUCUAGGUAUGAAAAUAGAGUACAAGAUGAAAGGAAGAGGUUUAUACCCACAAUCCACCGUGAAGAGGAUUGGGGUGAUCGGAAAUUGGGCUUGCACACCCACGGCUCGCCUGGAAUUGGGUUUAACACAUCCAAAUCAAUUUCAAGUCCAACCUUCACCAAAACAGGUAUACAAACUCAGAAAUUCGUACUAACAUCCAACUUAAGAUAGGGUAAUACGAUUCCGAGGCUCACUUACUCGCAAAUGGUGGAGUUCACCGAAGUUUGCCAUUGCACCCUCUCGGUGCUUGCCGUGGCAGAAGGAAGAGAGAGAGACUUUGACGUGUUAAAGAUCCUGACAAGGGAGUCUCGAGGGUGAUGGGUUCAUCGAGGCUGCAAAGGGUGGGUGGUCUGUGUGCGUGCGUGUGUGUGUGUGUGUGUGUUUGACGAGAAAAGGAGAGAACAAAGAGAGACACCCGAGGGAAAAAAUGGAAAAGGAAAGAGAGAGUGAUGGAGGGAAAGAGUGAGACCGAGAGAGAGAGAUGAAAGGCUUGGACCCGGGGGACAACAAACAAAGGUGGGCCCCUUGGGACACCUAUUAAGACCCAAAAAUAAUUUUUAAAAUGAAAAAUAUCCCCAAACUUAGUGAAAAAUACAAAAAUACCCUUUUGUUCCGAUAAAAUUGGGAUGGGUUGUUACAAAUGCUAACAAGAAUACUACAAAUAUAUUGUUGCCAACGAAUAUUGACCACUGGAAUUACAAACUAAAUCACUAGGAUUAACAAAAUUAAGAACACUAUCAAUGCCCAUAAUCCUCAUAAUUAAGAGAUGAUAACUGAUGGUCGAGCGGGACCACUUAUGCAAUGUAACCAACGGAGUCCGAGCAAUACAGAGUUGCGUGAGCCCCGCUACGUUGCGAAAUCACGUUAUUAAAUUAUUAAUCACACUAUUACAUUAGCCUUUGUUAUGAUUUUCUUCCAGCAAUGGGGCUAAUCAGCAUUAUUAUUUACUUAUUAAUCAGCUAUGACAUGCUUUGCAAAGUUGUUCUCAAUUGCAAACAUGUCUUUUGAAGCGCAAUCAAUGCAACGAGCUUUAUUUGUAGAGGGACAAACUUUUAGUAGGCACGUCAUCAUUGCGCAUAUCUAAUAAUGAUUGAACUCACACCAACUCCGCGGAAAUCGCCUUCCAAUUUUAUAAGAGAUUUUAUUCAAGAAAAAUGUUAGGAGGUAUCUGAUUUUUUUAUGAAUUUUCUGUUAACUCACAAUUAAUAUUAAUUUUUUUACUAAUAUUAUAAAAUAUUGUUGGAUAAAAUGAAGUGGCAAGAGUCUAUUGAGAGUCUCGCUUUUUGAAAGAGUUCAAUUAGCAUUUCUAUUUAUAGAACUAUAUAUGGGUUGGGUUGACCUUUAAUUUCCCCCUUUGUGAUUAAAUUGCUAAGUAUACGUAUUUGAGCAUUAACAAGUUUAUGAUUAACUUGUAGCUCCAAAUGGUAUCGAACUUUACCAAGUGCUUUAAUUUACUUUGUUUUUGUUUCAAUUCAGAAGUAAAAAAUAACAUAUGGAAAAUGAAUUUACUUUGUUUUUGUUUCUUCCAUCCAUUGCUUUCUUGUUAUAAGCCACCAUUUUUGCUUUCUUUCUUUCUUUUAUUCUUUCAUUCUUCUUCUUCUGCUGCUUCUAUUUUGUCCCUUAAUCUUGCUUUUUUCAAACCCCAAAAUCUUUUUUUCAACGACAAAGCUGGCGCUCAGCUCGCAUUUUACAUAACCCAGUUUUCAGAAUCCCGCCGAAUCCAAUUUUGCAGUCCUGCUUUUCUCAAAAGUGCUUUUGUUCUGUUUCUUGAAGACGCUCACGGGUUCUUCAUGGACAGAGUCGGACUUGGACCCCUCCAUUUAAUCCCAAUCUGUACUUCUUUUUUCUCUCAGCAACAAUUCUUUCUCCGAAUAUUUGUCUUUCUUCUUUUGGGUUUUUGUGGCGGGUUUUGAAUCAUUUGUUGAAGUAUGAGUCAACUAAGUCUGAUAUUGCAGGAAGCGGUGCGGAGGGAGAGGGCGGCAAGGACGGUCCUCGAGGUUCUGAGAGAGCAAAUGGACGACGCGGAUGGAGCGAGGGGAGUUGUGGGCAGGCGGAGCUUGAAGCAACGGCUGAGACUGAGCGUGUUCGGCUGCUGUGGGGCCACCUGGGGAUUCGGACGGACGUCGGCGAUUGGCGCCAGAGAGGAUGAGGAAGAUCAAGAACCGCAAAAUCUUCCGCCACAAGAACGAGUGGUUAUAACUGUGGGCCAGGCUGGACCGGUUAAUAUUUGGGAUCCGGGUUGCGUGGCUCCGGUUUCGCACGGAUCGGGUAUGAAUUUGGCUGCCGCGCUGGCAGCCGAGCGACAGUUGCGGGCUCCGCAGGAUCCGGAGGGAGAGGGGUCUGUGGGUCCCACGGGUAAUGCAAUCGCGGGAACAACAGCGCCGGGAACGCCGAUGAGAGUGUCGCUGAUGAGGCUGAUUGAGGAGACGGAGAUGGACGGGCGCGACGAGUUUGGCGGUGGCGCGACGGCGUUGAGCGAAAAAACAGCGGAGGGAAAUAUAGGGAGCGAUUCGGUGUGCUGCGUGUGCAUGGGAAGGAAAAAAGGUGCGGCUUUCAUCCCGUGUGGGCACACAUUUUGUAGGGUGUGUUCCAGAGAGGUGUGGUUGAAUCGAGGCUCCUGUCCCCUCUGCAACCGUUCGAUCCUCGAGAUCCUCGAUAUAUUCUAGUGAUCGUCGGAUUUGAUUGGAUGAUCAAGAAAAAAACAAAAAAACCAGAAAAUAUUUGAUGUGAUUGUUUGAGGGAGGAUGCCUCGAGAUUCGUGACAGUGUUGAAACUUUGACGGUGGAAUUUUCAAUCACUAGAAAAAUUCAAUUUGUUCACAUGCAAUAUGAUGCAAUAUGGGGUUCUUGAAUUUCUGCAACUUGAAACGUACAAUGAAGCUGCCAUGAAUUUUGUUAUUUUUUGGGUAUAUUUUAAUGGGUAAUUUUUCCCAUUUUUUUCCAGUAAUGUUUCCUUAUGCAUGCCAUGCACUUGGUGCUUGGAGUUGAAGUUAUCUUACGUUGUCAAAAUAAUUAAGAACUAUUAUGAGUUUAAUUUUCUUAAAUAACAGUAAAUGUUAGCAUGUCGUUGUAUAACGAGUUUGAAUUUCGAUCAGUACACUUCUAUCAGUUAAAGUAGAAUAUUACUGGUACAUGUGAUAAUGCAUGAUUAUCUGAAAAUAUCGUCACAAUCAUACCAAAAUACCAUGUUAGCAUAGUCGUUAUAUAAUGAGUUUGAUUAUCUUCACAAUCGCACCAUAAUGCAUGUACAAGGAAGCUUUUGUUAAAACAAAAGAAAUUUUUAUCUUCUUUAUAUAUAUUUUAAAUUUUUUGGAAACGAUAUCUACACUAAGGGGAGGUAGAGGAGUGAGCUAAGCCUCAUAUUGGGCUAUCCAUAAUAAUGUGGUUCAAAUUCGCCUUUGCCAAGAAUCGAAUCUAAAAUCUUUCACCAAAGCCGAAAGAGAAAUUGUAAUACUAAGUGUUAUUAAAAAAGGGUGCAUUUUUGCUCACCCACACUAACUCUAGGGUAUGCUCACCACCCCUCUCAAUGUUUGCCAUGUGUAAUCCAUACUAACUCUAGUUAAGCCUUAUUUUUAUUUUAUUUUUACUUUAAUUAAUAGGUGAGAGAAUCCAACUUGUACUUAUUUACUUCCAUAUAUAUCCUUUCUUUUUAAAUAUUUUAUUAAAACUUUAAACUUCAUUUUUGAAUACAUACCGACUCAAUCUUCUCUCCUUUUUGAAUACAUACCAAUUCAACCUUGCAUGCAUAUCUGGAUUUUCCAUCUGCUAUGCUUUUCCAUCUGCUACGUAUUUGGUUUUUCCAUCUGCUACCUAUCUUCUGGGUUUUCCAUCUGCAAUUUUUUUUUCCUACUAGAAAAAGGUAUGCAAUUCCCAUUUAUUUGCUUUUUAGGACUAUUAUAGAUAAGGAUGGGCAUUGAACACCCAUUUCGUGUUGAGGAUGAGGCAGUGGUGGUGUAACCGAACGGGAUAGUACUGCCUAGAGUCUACAUCUUCAUCUUCAUCAUACAUACUUUAAAUUAUGUUCCAUCAUGGAUUAUAGGAUGUCAAUAUAUAAAUAUAUAUGCUUUUCUUAGGAUUAUUAUAGAGUGUCAAAAUAUAUGCUUUUUAUGAUUAUUAUAGGGUGUUAAUAUAUAUGCUUUUUAGGAUUAUUAUAGGAUGUUAAUUUAAUUGAAUAUUAAGUAAUUUGGUACUUAUACAGAUGGAACAUCAAGAUGAUGAGUUUCAUACUCCAUCUUCUCGUGAUGCCAAAGAAGCAGUUGAUUGUAUACACUUAGAUUCAGAUUCAGAUUCCGAAACCUUUGAAGUCUUGGAUCAAAAUGAAGAAAAAGGAGAAUUUACAAGCAAAGUUGGUGAUAUUUCUCUUGGGAUGACUUUUGAUAAUGAGGACGAUGCAUAUAAUUACUACAAUGCAUAUGCUAGAAGGGUUGGAUUUAGCGUGAGAAAGAAUAGAGAAAAUAAGGACAGGUCAGGUGUGCUAAAGAAAAAACAAUUUUGUUGUUCUUGUGAAGGUUUUUAUAAAAAAAAAAAAAAAGAACUCCAAAGAAGAAAAGAGAAGAAACAAGAUGUGGCUACAAGGCGAUGCUUGAAAUCAAACUUAAUUUAGAAAGGAAGUUUGUUGUGACAAAUUUUGUUGCUGAACAUAGUCAUGUUGUUGUUCCAGCAUCAAGUUCCCAUUUAUUAAGGUCACAACGAUUAAUAGAGUCUUCUUAAGAAAAAUUGAUAGAUCAAAUGCAUUCUGCAGAACUACAGUCAUCUCAAAUCUUCUCAUACUUUACCACAGAAGCAUGAGGGUCUCAAAAACUAAAUUUUAUUCAGUCUGAUUGUAACAAUUUGAUAAUGAGAAAGCGCAUCGGGAUUCUUAAAAAGGGCGACUCAGAAUGUUUGCUUGAAUAUUUUAAGAAAAAGCAAUCUGAAGACAAGUCAUUUUUCUAUUCUAUUCGAACAAAAGAGGAGAAUGAAAUAAGUGGUUGUUUUUUCUGUGAUGGAAAUUCGAGGCGCGAUUAUACUAUAUUUGGUGAUGUUGUGUGUUUUGAUACGACAUUUAAAACGAAUAGAUAUAAUAUGGUGUGUGCCCCAAUAGUUGGUAUCAAUAAUCAUGGUCAAACCAUACUUUUCGGGUGUGGUUUGGUAGAUGGAGAGAUAACAGAUGCAUGUGAGUGGCUUUUCAAGGCCUUUUUACAAGCCAUGGAUGAAAAAACACCAGGAACCAUAUUUACAUAUCAAGCCCAAUCAAUCACUGCUGCGAUUAGUGAAAUAUUUCCUAAUUGCCACCACCGACUUUGUUUGUGGCACAUAUAUCAGAAUGCUGCAAGGAACUUGAAUUGUUUUCAGUGAGUUUAAAUCAUUUACACAGGAUUUCAAAAGAUGCAUAUAUGAUCCGGAGACUAUUGAAGAAUUUGAAUCAAAUUGGGAUAAAUUACUUGAUGAUUAUGAAUUGAGAAGAAAUGAUUGGCUAGAAGGGAGAUAUCUAUUACGUGAGAAAUGGGCACAAGUUUAUGGUCGAGACCAUUUUUGUGCAGGUAUUACUCUUGAUCAAUUCCUAUUAUAUUAUUUAUAUAUAUUAUUCACAAGUUUCUUUUUUCACUAUACUGUGAUCAAUUUCCAUUUUUUUCUUAGGUAUGACAACAACACAAAGAAUUGAAAGCAUGAACAAGUUUUUGAAAAAUUAUUUUGCUCGAAACCUCCUUCUGCAAGAGUUCGUCAUCCCAUAUGGUAGAGCAAUAGCGGAUCGAAAAGAAAAGGAAAGGCAAGCAGAAAAUGCAACUAAACAGAAAUGGCGUAGUUUGUAUUCUGAUUGGAAUGUGGAGAUUGAAGCAUCAAAGCAGUAUACAAGUAAGAUUUUUUAUUAUUUCCAAGAGGAGGUUAAGAAAGUUUUAAAUUUGAGGCCACUGAAAUUAGAAAGUGAUGAUGGGCUAACACGUACAUACACAGUAAUGAACUCAAGAAAACGAGGAAUUAAUAGAACACUUAUAUAUGACCUUGCAAAUCAAAUAGUUUUGUGCAGUUGCAAAAAGUUUGAGUUUGAAGGGAUUCUUUGUGCACAUGCUCUAAAGUUAUACUAUGAUUUAGACUUAUCAAGUAUACCAUCCAAUUAUUAUUUGAAAGGAUGGAGCAAGGAUGCUAAAUGUGGUAUUGGAUUUGAUUCUUAUGGCGAACCGGCUGUGAGUAAUUUGGACUCAUCUUCUUUGGUUCAGUACAGUGAGCUAUCUAAUAUAGCACAAAGAAUCAUAGCAAAAGGUGCAAAAAAUAGUCAAAAUUGUAGUUUUUUGAAAUCUGAGUUGUUAAAGUUGGAGAAAAAAAUGGAAAAGCAUGCCAAUUUUGGAGAACAAGAUGAUGUAAAUUAUGUUAAGCAUAUGACUGAAGCUAAGAAAAAUCUUAAGAUCCAAGAUCCAAAAGUUCAGAAGUCCAUAGGUCGGGGCAAAGGUAGAAUGAAGAGUGCUUUGGAAUCUAAUCAACCUAAAAAGAAAGGUCCAUACAAGAGAAAAGGUUAGCACAUAUUUGGCUUGUUUUUAUUUACUAUUUGAUUCACAAUUUGCAAUUGUCAAUGUAAUUAUUAUUUUAAUUGUUUAAUAGCUUUUAAAGAAUCCAAUUCAAAUGCAUGCGAGAUGAACGGACCAUCAACAAGAUAUGCACAAACUCAGGUUUAAAGUUUAGCAAUUUUUUGUCAUGAAUGUUUUAUUUAUUUAUUUAUAUUUUUGUCCAUUACCAUUGUUUUAAUAUAUUUCUGAUGGAUCAAUUGGAAUUGGUAUCUAGGGUGAUAUUGGAAUGCCAAGUCAAAACCAAUUCAAUAUGGCACCCGUAAGUCAAGUCACAAAUUUUCCUUAUGGAUUUCCAAUUGUUCCUUGUGUUCAAGGGAUUCAAAAGCACCAACUUGGAUUUCAAGCUAUAAGUCCCAUGAUGUCCAAUUACUCAUUUAUGAAUCCUCGGGUUUGUAUCUUCACUGAGUGUACUAUAUAUAGUGUACUAUAUUUUUGUUCUCUAGUUUCAUAAGUAAUUUUUUCCUUUCUAUUAAUUUGCAGGAAAACAUUCAACCAAUACCUCUGGGAAGCACUCCUUAACUAAAAUUUUCAAAUCCAUCAACAUCAAACAUUCAACCGAUACCUCUGGGAACCACUCUUGAACUGAAAUUUUCAAAUCCAUCAACAUCUUAGAUCAAGUUGUAAUAGAAUUUAGAGAAAUUUUUUUGGAACGACAACCUUUGAAGUGGAGAAUAUUCAACCUACUAGUUUUGUAAAAAUUUAUUUGGAUGAGUUUCAUCUCAGACAAUUGUAUUUUGUUGGAUAUUGAUGAGUUUCAUCUCAAACAAUUGUAUUUUUUGGACUAGCUUUUUGUACAAUUUUAUUUUGAUGAAUUUCAUCUAAAACAAUUGUAUUUUUACGAUUUUGGAAAAUCCAGAUACGUAGCAGAUGGAAAAGCAUAGCAAAUGGAACAUCCAGAUACACAUGCAAGGUUGAAUUGGUAUGUAUUCAAAAAUGAGAGAAGAUGAGUCGGUUUGUAUUCAAAAGGAAGUUUAAAGUUUAAAUAAAAUACUUAAAAAGAAAGGAUAUAUAUGGAAGUAAAUAAGUAAAAGUUGGAUUCUCCCACCUAUUAAUUGAAGUAAAAAUAAAAUAAAAAUAAGGCUUAACUAGAGUUAGUAUGGAUUACACAUGGCAAGCAUUGAGAGGGGUGAUGAGCAUACCCUAGAGUUAGUGUGGGUGAGCAAAAAUGCACCCAUUAAAAAAAUAAGCUUGAAACGUUGGCAUUUGUUUCCUUGUGUGGUUUUGUGGAAUCUUGAAGAACAUUUGGGGUGGGUUUGGACCAACUACAACCACCAUCAACCUAUAUGUGGGCUCAAUGUGUUUUAUUUUUUCCAAACCCAUACAAAAAAGUCCAAUGCUGCUUUUCCUAUUAAGAAUGCGUACCAAACAACGCAAAUGAUGGUUUUCUUGCUCAACAUGAAGUUGAGUACUCCUUCGUAAAAAGUUAUAGAUUGAACCCAAAAUGAAGUUGGGCCUAGGUCCUUCGGUUUGAUCAUAUUCUAAACCACUGUUGGGGAUUCAAUGAAUUAACUCCGAUACACUUAAAAAAGUAAACAUUUAAGUUACACAUAAGAACAAUAGUCGUUACAUUGCGUUAGAGCAAACAAUCUAACACCUAUUAUUUCUAUGUGUAACUGAAAUAUGUACUUGUGAUGUGCGUUGUAGAAAAUCUUUAAAUUCAAUCUGUCAACAAGCCAUUAUUAAUAAGUUCAAUACGAUACUGUCUCGAAAUUAAACUACUACUCAUCGUCGAGGGAUUAUCUUUUGAUACCAUGUCAAGAUUCUGAGAAGUGAACCAACAUUGAACAACUAGUUUUCUCUAACAACUUUACUAUUUCCAACUCGAUCACAUGCUAGCGCGCAUAUACAACAGAUGUGCGGUUUUAUGUCAAAAUGUAUGAAAGUUAAUAAUGGUGGAACUUUUCAUUUACGAAUAGUAAUUUACUGGCCUAAACGACUUAUGAUUAACACAACACAAGUUGAAUCCAGCAAUUCGAAAGAGAUGCCCUUUUUUAUUUAUAUUUUUAUUGAAAAAAAAAACAUAUAUAUUUUUUUAUCAAAGUAAGAUGCCUUUUUAUGUGUGUCGUCGUUAUUAAUUUGUUCGUGCAUUCCUUGUUUACUAAAUUAUUCCGCACGCUUCAUUUGUGUGUGAGUCAAGAGAGGUCAGAGAGCUUAAUCAUACAGUGGCUCAAAAAGUGGUCACUAUUGCAGAAAAAGUAUAAGCAUGAGCAACCCACUUCAGCAAGAAUAUAAUUAAAGAACUCAUGAUAUAUCAAUCUGCAUGGCAUACAUGUAUCAAAAGAUUCACAUAUACAGUUUACAUAAAAAAUGGGCAUCAUAUUCAUGAACAGCAUAGACAUGUUAUAUGGAUUAUGGAGAAGGAAUUGUAUGAUCAUUGUUCUAAAAAUCUCUGUCUAGCGUCACUUAAGUUCGUUUAGACAUCUAGGAGUUAAGUCUUUGCCCGCCUAGUGUUUAGUGCCUAACGCUUUUUAGAACAUUAUGCAGGACACAAUUGUCUCGUGUCAAUAAUACAAAGACAUGCGUUAAUUUCUUUCUACGUGUCUUUGCAUUGAUGACACAUGAUGUUACUCUAGCGGUAUACGUUUUAUCAUACAAGUUGCUCUCGCUGAUAUGAGGUGCUGGUACGAAUAUGAUGAGCUGAGUUCUGUGAAAUGAAUGAACGUCUAUCUUUCGAUGUUGCGUGCAAGGUAUCCACAAUCUACAUGUCCUUUUUUAUGUGAAAGUGCAGCGUGACAAAGACAAAUCUCCGAGUUCGUGAAGUAUACAUUAUUCAAUCAAUGGCAUCAAAAUUCCACUUUUGAGAAAAGAAAAGAAAAACAUAAAGAGAAAGCUUCCUCUUCAAUUGGUUCCAAUUAAUAAUGUGGUGCUUUUUUUAAGCAGCGGGACAAAGAUAUUCCGCAUGCAAUAUAAAAUCCCAUUUCGAUCACUUUCUACUUUUGUUCGAUGUUGAUUCAUUCAAGAUGCUCUGGGUUUAUUCUUUUUCAGUUUUUGGCAUGAGGGAGGGAGAGAGAGGACUGGUAACUAGAAGAAGUUAAAAUCCAAAUGCAACCCUACAUUUCUAUUCGCACGCUUUCCCUAUGACUUUGUUUGCAACGAGAGCUUUUUAAUGUGCUCGAAAUACAGUGCAGUACACUAUAUAUUUUGAUAUACAUGUGUAAAGAUAUUUUUUUCUAGUAUUCAUGCACUUGUAUAAGAGGUCGCACUUGGUGCGAUGGCAAGUGUCUUCGCCCAUGAGCGGUAGGUCUCGGGUUCGAGACUUGGGAGCAGCCUCUCCAUAAAUGGGGGUAAGGCUAGCCGACAUUCACCUCUCCCAGACCCUGCGUAAAGCGGGAGCCUUGUGCACUGGGUACGACCUUUAUUCAUGCACUUGUAUAAUGACAUAACAUAUGUGUCUGUAUUCAAAAUCUCUUGUUUGUAAUCCUACAUUUCUCCUACACGUAUAUAUAUGUAAUCACAUGACAUAUCACCUAUACGUCUAUGUGAUCAUAUAACCCUAUAUGAUCAUACCCUAUAUUUUAAGUACUUAGUUUUAGAAACACUCUUUUUUCUAUUGCUUUUGUUUUAGUGUGAUGAUCUCAUUACUAUAAGAUGAUACUAAUUUACAUAUUAUAAUAUUGGACAAUAUAAUUAACCAUAGGGUAUUUUCAUAUUAUAAUAAUAGAGCCAAGCAUCUAUAUAUCUCUUAUUAUCACGUCAUUUAUCCAUGAAAAUGUUUCAAGUUAGAAUGAUGUUAGUGAUGUCAAAUUUUUAGACUAUUUUUUAUAAACUACAUGAUGUAGUGGUUGAUAAUUGAACUUUAUUUAUACCACUCACAUGUCACAAAAACUUGUAAAAUUAUUGAUUAAUGCAUUGUACACAUGGCAAAGCAAAGUGAUCACAAUCUUGAUGAUAUCAAAUUUUUGUUGUUAUAUAUUAAUCUAGUCGCCCAUAACAUUGCAUGGUGGAUCUACCCCAUCUAUGACUUAUCCAAAUUCUCAAUCACAUGACCGAAAGAGCAACCGGUCAAAUAUUUGCACGAUCAAGGAAGAAAGAAUCUCCUCAGGGAGGGUCCACUUAAUUAUAUAUAUUAUAUAUGUGAUCAACUGAUAUAUACUGCAUCACAUCAGAAAUCUUAAACUCGUUUGAAUGUGUUUUUAAAAUAAUUAAAAGUACAUUUAGAAAAAAGAUUUUUAAGUUCUAAAAACACUUAAAGUGCUUGCUAUAAGAAGCAUCAAUUAUGUGCUUUUUCCAUGAAGCACUUUAAGUGCUUUUUUAGGAUUUACUUGUAUUUUUACUAAAGAUUAGAUCUAAAAAUAUGUUCACAAAAAACACUUUUUAAUUAUUUUAAAAGCACAUCUAAAUCAACUAAAUAAACUCUUAAACUUGCAACCCUAAGCUUAGACCGUUUAUUGAUGGCAUUUGAUUUUCACACGUGGGGUUCAUAGAAAAAUAGUAAUAUAUCGGAUCCCGAAUAACAGGUUGCCAUGCAUGCGAACAUAAAUGUGAGAUGGACAACCAAUAGAGUUAAUCGAGAAUGCUGGGUAGGGAAGUAGGGAUUGAGAAGUCUAUGAUAUGACGAGUGUCUAUAACUUCUAUAUUUUUUAAAAUGAACUGUCAAUUUAGGCUCUUAAUUAUUACGUAAGUAAAAAUUAAAAUUUUAAAUUAAUUAUUUUUUUAAUUCAGAAAAUCAGUCAUUAAAUGAUAAAAAUUUUACAUCCUUAAUAUUAGAUCUGAAGCUACUAUAUUCAAUUUUCCGUUAAUUUAAGUAACGUUACUUACAUAUAAUACACAUUGGAGGGUAGAUUGUUAAUUUUUUUUGUAAAGAAAUAGUGUAUGGAGUUAACUUUGGAGGGUGAAUUAGACGUUAAAUUUGUAACCUAUAUGAAAUAUUAAGGGCUUAUAGACAAGAAAAUGAUUGUAUUACACUUUAAAGUGUGUUAAGUGACUUAAGUUGACGAAAAGUUGGAUAAAAUAAUUUUGAAUAUAACAGUAUGGAUGAAAUUAGCAAUUCUUAAUGAAUUUAGAGACUUAUUUUACCGAAAAAAUAAUUCAGGAACCUAAUUUUCAUUGAAAUAAUAGUUCAGGGACUAAAUCGGAGCACUUCACCCUAUUUUUUAUUAAGUGAUGUUGUGAGUAGUGUUUGAAAUUUUUUCGAAACAGUUGAUAUUAUUGGAGAAACUCUUAAAUUUUGGCUCAAAUCGAUAGAUUUUGUUGAUAUCUUGAACAUGUUGGUUAAAUAUCGAUAAGCUGCCAUAUGAUAUUCACUGUAGUUUCAUUUUAUAUUUCCACAAUUUUUAGCAAUUUUUUAUCAUUUCCGUCGAAAACAACCUAUAUCGAUAUUAAUAUUAAUAUAUUCAUCGAUAUCUCCAUAAAUUUAUAUAUCGAUAAUUAUAACACUGAUUGCGAGAAAGAUAAAGAGAUGUAACACUAGUUGCACUCAAUAUUCUGCACACGAGAAAGUUCAUCUGCAAUUUAUUAAGUAGGUUUUCUCCAUCCUCUUGUGGAAUGAUGAAUAUGCUUUUUGCCGAUUAAAAUCGUUUACAUGCAGUAGGGUAAGUAACGUUACUUAUUCACAAAUUUCAUUCAUAUUAUUCGAAUGCAAUUAAACAACUGAAUUGACUAAAAUAAUUACAUAAAUAAAUGUAAAUUGUUGUUUAUUAUAAGGCAACUAGCUAGUUGAGUGCCAAGAGGAAAAUCAUUCUCCAACUGAAAGGAAUUCAAUCCAUCUCAUCUCAUUGAUACGAUCCAAUUAUUCUAAUAAGCUGCUUAGAUUCUCAAAACCAUAAUGCUUAUUCUUUGACAGUCUAGCUCAUAUCUUAUAUUCUUAAUUCUCACCUUGUAGAUUGACAGAUCCUACGAACUCUCUUUAUAUAUCCAGUAUUAAUUUUUCAUUGGCAGUUUAGCUAAAAUAGUCUCUAAAAUUGACUUAACUUCUCACUUUGAUUCUUAAAAUUUGAAAUCGAUAAAACUAGUCUCUGAGUUUUUCCACCGUCAGUCAUCUUGGCCCUUCCGUGAAAAUCUCCGUUAUGCUAAUCUCAUGGACCAUUUUAGCUAAAAAACCUUUCUUGUUUCUUUUUGUACGUAUUAUAUAUAUAUAUAUAUAUAUAUAUAUAUAUAUAUAUAUGUGUGUGUGUGUGUGUAUGUGUGAUGUAUAGGAAUUUUUGUUAAUAACUUGUUUCUUACUUCUAAAUGAUUUCCUGUAAUGCACCAUUAAAUACAACUAAAUUGACACAUGAUGAAAGAUAAGUUGAGAUUAAUUGAAGUGCAACAUAAGAAAAAAAUGGUGUCGUAAACUAAUGAUGCGACAUUUUGCGAGUAAUUUAAAGGAGGUGGAUUGUCUGCCCUCCCAUUUCCAUACUCUUUCCAUCCCCUCCUAUUUUCUGUGAUCACGGUUAAGCCACGUCAACAUUUUAUAUUUCUAUUACUUUUUUGUUUUAUUAUUUUUAUAAAAAAAUCAAUAUAAAAUGUUGAUGUGGCUUAACCAUGACCACACAAACAAGAGAGGAUGAGAGAGUAUGGAAACGGGAGGGCAGACAAUCCACCUCCUAAUUUAAAACACUAGCAUUGUGUACUGAUUAGAGACGCCAGGGACGUCCCGAGGGUGUAGAUAUAUUAUUCAUGUAUUAUUGCUCAAGCAUAAAAAUAUAAUUAUGAAUUUGCUAAUGUUGUCUAUUAUUUUUAGUGGAGUGUGAAUGCUUGCAUGCAUGGAUGAUGACUUCAUCAAAAUGAACCAGCCAAGAAAUUGCAUUACUAAUUUGAAGAUUAUAAGACAAUAUAUAGGUAAAGCCAACAAAGAAAAAAAUACAUGGAAUUUGGAAUUUGAUCCAAAAACUAACAAAGUGAGCGUCACAUAGAUGGAUAUAUGAAGAGGGAUCAUGUUCCAGUUGUAUAUGCAUGUGCUUUGCUUUGCUCCCUUAAUGAAAAUGCAUGAAUCCUUGGCUCGAUCAAUAUGUAUGUAUGUAUGUAUGUAUGUAUGUAUGUAUGUAUGUAUGUAUGUAUGUAUAAGUUCUACACUUUUUUAGUUACGUGGUUUGUGCGUAAUUAAGUUCAAUUAGCAUAUAUUUGAACUGAACGACUAAAGAGAUAAAUCAAUAAGACCAAACUUUCUAUAUUUUGGGGUGCAUGCAGUCGUGCAGGUUUAGAACAAUUUUCUAAGAUGACUCGUAUACUUAAGGCCUAAUUAAUAUGUUAUCCUUUGAAAGUGUUUUGAGUUUCACAUUGCCCUUUAAAAGUUAUUUGAUUUAACAUGACUUUUAAAUCAUUUUUUAUGUCCUGUUUUACUUUUGCGUUUAAGUUUGUUAAGUUUUCCGUUCAAGAUAUUUACGUGGCUAGAGAUAAAGUGAAAUCUGAAAACACGAUUUAAAGUGAAAGUUAGGUCAAAAUGACAAGGGAGUGAGACUCGCAAACUUUCAGAAGGAAUAAAACAAUAAUUAAGCUUAUCAGUACUUAAUUUCCAAAUACCCAUAAAUAUAAUGUACAACCAAAAUUUAUUUAUUUAUUGGUUGCUUGCAUACAACACGAACCGUUGUAUUUGUAGGGCGUAUUCUGUCAAAGGUGGGAAGCAGACUAAAAGAAAAAAACAAGGGGCUUAGGGGCAUUUACUUAAAAACAAGGAUCACAAUCUAAUUAAACAAUUGGCGGGCGGAUCCGACUUGGGACAUGGUGGGUAAGCUGCCCCUUACCCCUAAUUGUAGAAAUUCUUUACAGAAAGUUUGGAAGUUUCCUUUUGAAAAUCUGAGAUGCUCUUGAAAGUUGCUCUCCAACUGUUCGACAAAUUGCCUCCAUGGGUACUGGACAAGGUAGCUGCUAGCUUUAUGUCUUUGUGCAUUGUUAUGAACAUUUUUCGAUAGGCUCACUUGGCAUAUAUUGACAUGUUGGCAUUCUUACUCAAAAGUUAUUGACAUCAGUCGACGUGCUUGCUCAAAAGUUGUUGGUAUAUGUCGAAACUGGUGUGUAAUAUGACUUAGCAAAUGAUCUCAGACAGUCAGACUUACUAAGGCUUGAUGAAACGCCAAUUUACAUGUUACUCAGUCCAAAAAAAAAAAUCUCAUUGCCCGAACUAUUCUUAGAGCAAGUCCACCUCUAAAGACUUUGCACCAGCACCCAGCGCAUUUAUCCACUCAAGUGAACAGUAAUAGACUCCAGAGAAUAGUAAUAGGCCAAAGAAUCUCCACCCUUAACAAAAAAUAGCCCAGUCAAUUUUAUUAAAAUAUUAUUAUUUUUAUUAUAAAAUAAUAAAAAUAAUAAUUUUAUUAAAAAAAAACGAAAAGUCAUGAACCUCCACAGUUCCACUAGAAUUCUCUAUACUCUCCCUCUACAUCCCCAAACGCCAAACGCCACUCCCGACGCCAACUCGCUUCAACCUCCCUCUGCAUCUCUCUCUCUCUCUGUUGGGUGGAGCUCUGCAAAAACCCACCACCCUGUGCAAUGAUAAUCCCACCGGAUUCCAACUUUCCUUCCGGUUCACAAUCCCCAAUCUUUAUUCCUCCACAAUAUUCCAACAAUUUUGCCUAUCAAAUUCCCUAUCAAUCCAACCCCACUAACCCAAUUUGAUCUUUUCCUCAACCGAUGGUUCCCUAGGCAGUAGCCGCCGUGGAUCCAGCCUGUCACCUGCCCGACACCGACCCUUAUGACAAUUUGGGCUGGUACCCAUGGACCCGUGUUGGAUUCCGAGGUCAGACGCCUUUUGGUGAAGGCCCCAGAAUCUCCCUCCACCCCAGAAUCAACCUCAGCCCUGAGGAGCUCUGCGACGUGUUGAUCGUGUGGGAGGUUGAUGGCCCGGCUGACCUCAGAUGGCCCGGCAUGUGGGUCUAUCGAUUUUAGGCCAGUCUCUUGCCUGGCUUGGGUUGGGUGCCGGUCAAAAUGCUCGGCUGGAGUGGAUAGCAUGAGUGCUGGGCUGGUUUUUUGGCUAGGUGAUGGCCUAUCAGUGUAAAAUUAACCAUAGGCUUUAUGUUAAUAUACUUAGCCAAGAACGCAAGAAUAUAUCAACUAAAUCACAACCAACACAUCAAAUAUGUUCUACAUAUGCAAAUAUUGAAGUGAUAUGUGCAACACAUACCUCCAGACUACUUCACGAAGUCUUUCCCAGUCUUUCCCAUGUGUGCUGUUAAAAGACAUCAGAUGGUGCUAGUCCAUUAAGCCAAAAGACAAGUGGAUUCCGAGGCGACUGUCAUCGUUCAAAAGCAAAUGACCAAUGUUGUGAUGAUUGGUGACGGUCCAACCAUGACCAAUAUCAGUGGAAGCAAGAGCCACGCGGAUGGUGUCAUAACCAUGAACACCGCAACCUUUGCUGCAGUUGAAAACUAUUUUGUUGCCAAAAGGAACUGGGUUCAAGAAUACAGCAGGACACGUAAAGCAUCAAGCCAUGGCACUGCGUGUACAAUCCGACUUCUCCAUCUUCUUUAACUGUCACAUGGACACAUACCAAGACACCUUAUACACACAACCUUCUUCUCUCUGCAAAACUCAAUGCUCUCCAAGUUAUAGGUAAUUGGAACAAUAAGAGCGCAUUUUUGUGAGAGCAGGGGCUUGUGGUUUUUAUACUACAAAAUAUGGAUUACCCUAUAAUAAUCCUACAAGGAAUACAAGACCAAAUCAUUGUACAAGUUAUAUUCUUAAGCUUAUCAACACAGAGUUUCAAUCCAAACCAAAGUCGAAUUAACUUUCAUAAACAUAUUAAGACUUCUCUAUAGCAAUAUGAGAUAACAAGGAUUAUUACCAAACUGUAUGAAUCACACUCAUACUCUAACAUUCUCCCACUUGAGUGUGAUUCAUAACAGUGAAUAAUCAUCUCAAAUUCAAUAUAAAGGUGAUCACAUAACUCAUUCAUCAACACACUGGUACAUAGACACAACUAGCUUACAUAAACCAAAAUAAUGAAUUUAUAAUUGCCUCUGCAACACAAAAUACAGAUUUAACUUACAAAUCACAAUGUCCAGUUCGUGUUCAUAGCAAUGUAUCUAAGCUCAAGGUAAACCAAGACAUCUACUCCCACUCAUAUAGCCCAAAAUUGAUAUAAAAAUACCAAACAUUCUUGAUAAUAGCCUGUCAACUAAAAAUUAUUCAUAAUUCUAUGAAUAGCACAGUUAUAUCAAUCAACAGCUUUAUCAUAUCACCAAAUCUUUUGGAUAACAAAAGCUUAACCUCACAUACAACUUACCUAUGCAUUUUAAAGUAUUGAACUUAAGAAUCUUUUCUGUUACAUUGCAGAAUUAACUCAAAAGUCACAACAUACUUAAUUUGCACUUCGUAAUUAUGUGAACCAAUAUAGCAAAACCAAACCAAUUUGCUCCCACUUAACUAGGCCAUACUUAACACAAUCAAGUUAAGUACAUGUUAAUAGCAACUAUAUUAACUAAAAAUCAUUCCAAUACAAUGAAUGACUAAUUAGAAUCCAUAUGGAAACCAAAUUCGUUUCCUUUUGAAUGCUAACAUAAUAGGAGUUAGGAUCUUUCUCAUUACUUAAACAAAUUAAGUAACACAAAUAAUUCAACCAAUUGCUUCAAUAAAACCAUAAACUGGUUUGUAAGCAUCCAUAUGAAUUAUAAUGGCUGGCCUAAAUACUCUUAGCCUUAUGCUUACAUUCGAACAUACGAUUCUCCCACUUAAGCAUAAGCAGAAUGUACUGCACAGCCAAUAAAGAAAUCGGAGAUAUGAACCAAUUGAUUCCCGAUUUCUCACAAAUUGCAUAAUCUCAGUUUAGUCAUAUACACCUAAACCAUUAUGCAAACGGUCUAUGUAUCAAAAGAUAGUCACAAUCCAUUCGGAAAAACUUAUCUCACAUAAACCCAAAAUCACCAGUUUCAACAACGAUCAAAAUCAGAAUAGCAAGCACAAUAUCUUUUGCAUUCAAUUUGAUUCUAACUAGUUCAAUAUCCAUCGAGCAAGAUCAACCAAAUAUUGAUAAUGUCUGGAUAUAUAUCACAACAAUAUGUCUUGAUUAAAAUGAGAUAAUCAAGACCACUAUUUCUUUUGGAGAACUCAAAGUUCAUCUUCCUCCCUAUUUGUGAUUUCAACCAAAAUAUAAUAGCGGAAGCAUGCAUCAUGAAAUCACAAAUAUUCAUAUACAAUAAGCAUGCAUCGAUAUAUACAUAACAAGAUUAGUCGACAAUAAUCCAAAUUAAAAAUCUUCAUGCCUUUAAUUCAUUGUCAACACCAUCAUCAAUUAUAUACAGAUUCGUAAGCAAGUCAUUGGAGAAAAUAAUGAUAGCCGCAUAUCAUUAAUCUUAUGAAUUUCCAAUAAGAUGACAAAAUAAUUAUUUGCUUUCCGAUUCAUAAUAGAAUAUACAUUUUGUAAAUGGCUAAAAGUUUAUUGUCGCAAGACUCAUUGUAGGCGAUCAAUAAAACAUCUACCUUAUAUAUUCAUCUGUUCAUAUAUUUUCUUGUGUGCAGGCAUGCAUCAAUAUGCAGAGAAACUUAUGCAAGUUCUAUUUGAUAUCGAUAAAACCGCAUGCUCAUAAUUACAACAUCUAUGCACGAAUGCUAUCUCCAUAUAUAUACAGAUUUCAUUCAUAUAUGUUGUUAUGUAUAAAUCACAAAGCAAUUGGCAUCCACUUUAUAUAUGCAUUUGUUUUUGUCGCUUUAUAAUACCUCCCGAUUUGCAUAUGAUAUGCAGUCAAAUCCAUUCCAACCCAAACUUGAUAUAAAUCAAACCAAUUGAAAAUCAGGAAUUGACACUAAGAUGUGCAUGUGUAGCUCCCCGCAAUCGAGAUUCAUAUAUGAAACAAUGCAUACACAGACUCUUUAAUGAAAAAUAGAAGAGUAUAUCUAGACAUACACUAAUUUAUUUAUGCAGCAAAGGAUGAUUCUAGACAUCUCACAUAAAUCACAAGUUGGCAUCUAUAGGGAUUUCGAGUUUAAUCAUGACUUCACAAUAUAUAUAAACAAGCAUACUCGAAAUAGCAAAAGCCCUAAUUCAUUAUGCUCCAACUCAUCGCACUAUAAUCACGCAUAUAGGAGAACAAUUAAUCAUGCAUGAAAUAGUGAACUGAGUUACCUGAAUGCAUCAUUGGGCCCGUAUUUGUCAACCCGAUUGCAAUUCCUCGACUCCAAAUCAACGAAACAAAUUAUCCACCAAUGCUCGAGACCCAUCCAUGCGGAUUGCCAUCACUCCCAAUUCUCAUGGACCUCAUACCAUUGCAGAUUAUCGAAGUAAAUCGCCAUUGUUACAGAUGCGCCGGACCAAAAUCAUCGCCAAAGCGAUGGCCAGAAUCUCAUCGACACAAAUUCCCAGAAAAAAAAAAAGACAAACCAUGAGCGUUAAUAUCUCUUAGACAAACAAAAACUUAUUAAUGUCAUCAAACCAAGAUUUCAUCUUUCUUUUAUCUUACUAAUAUUUGGUCUGUGCAAGGCAUAUCUUAUGCACAUCUUUAUAAUCAUAUUCAUUAAUUCAAAACGAUAAGACCCACAAAAAGCCACAGAUAAUUGAUAACAACAAUAAUAGUUUAUGUACUCACAUUCCAUAACCAGCCAAUGAAUCCUUGAUUAAUUCUUAUAAAAAUUCAUCAUCAUGGAAUCAAACGCACAGAAGAAAAAUUAAUAACCGUACAAGCUUAAUAGAUCAAUUCUAUCAAAUUGAGUUCAACAUGUAGCCAUCAUUCGUUUGGCAGCUACCGCAAAUAUGACAAACCUGUAUUGCGGCAAACAUGAUAUGCAUAACAAACUCAAUUCAAACCCUACAUGUUUUCUCACAAACUAAGCUUGACCACUGCUAAUUUACCAUUACAUCUUGCUGGCUUUUUUUUUUUUUUUUUUUUUUGAUCGAAUUUAGAUGUUAAAUUCUUUGGCUCUGAUACCACAUGUAAGAUUAACCAUAGGCUUUAUGUUAAUAUACUUAGCCAAGAACGCAAGAAUAUAUCAACUAAAUCACAACCAACACAUCAAAUAUGUUCUACAUAUGCAAAUAUUGAAGUGAUAUGUGCAACACAUACCUCCAGACUACUUCACGAAGUCUUUCCCAGUCUUUCCCAUGUGUGCUGUUAAAAGACAUCAGAUGGUGCUAGUCCAUUAAGCCAAAAGACAAGUGGAUUCCGAGGCGACUGUCAUCGUUCAAAAGCAAAUGACCAAUGUUGUGAUGAUUGGUGACGGUCCAACCAUGACCAAUAUCAGUGGAAGCAAGAGCCACGCGGAUGGUGUCAUAACCAUGAACACCGCAACCUUUGCUGCAGUUGAAAACUAUUUUGUUGCCAAAAGGAACUGGGUUCAAGAAUACAGCAGGACACGUAAAGCAUCAAGCCAUGGCACUGCGUGUACAAUCCGACUUCUCCAUCUUCUUUAACUGUCACAUGGACACAUACCAAGACACCCUCUACACACAACCUUCUUCUCUCUACAAAACUCAAUGCUCUCCAAGUUAUAGGUAAUUGGAACAAUAAGAGCGUAUUUUUGUGAGAGCAGGGGCUUGUGGUUUUUAUACUACAAAAUAUGGAUUACCCUAUAAUAAUCCUACAAGGAAUACAAGACCAAAUCAUUGUACAAGUUAUAUUCUUAAGCUUAUCAACACAGAGUUUCAAUCCAAACCAAAGUCGAAUUAACUCUCAUAAACAUAUUAAGACUUCUCUAUAGCAAUCUGAGAUAACAAGGAUUAUUACCAAACUGUAUGAAUCACACUCAUACUCUAACAAUCAGUUCCCCAGUAAAACUGCUCUUAUUGAUCCCAACAAUAUUUUCCAAAUAUACCACUGAAAUUGCACGUAAAACUAAACCAAGUGAUUACGACACUACUAUUAACUAAGCGACAGGUUUAGAAGUCGUUAUGUUAGGUUAAUUCCAACAAAGAAUAAAUAGGUUGUGGCAGUGACACAUUUACUAAGCGACAUCAUGCAUGUGACGAAGAGACCGAAAGUUGAAAACUGAGAUUUCUCUGACUGGUUUUCAUUGGUCAGAAUGUUGAAAGUUGAUAUGGAGCCAUCAUUGGAGGAGAAAGAGGGUGCAAACUUCGUCAACUUAAAUUAGUUUUUUUUUUUUUUUUUUUUUGACUAAGUCAAGGGUAUCCCAAAGGCUUCCUAGGCCCAAGGACUAAUCCCUCCGGCGCAUGUGAAAUGCUCCAACUGUGCAUUGCAGCACAGUGCCUGGCCACUUUGACAGCUUCGGGGUUCGAACCUAGGCUGGGGAGCAAACCCAACUAGGCAGUUUCAUAGCCCAUAGUUUUCCUCUAGUCUCUGGUUGAAUCUUAAAAGCCCCUUGAUUUUAGGAGAAUUCUUUUUAAGAGUACUGGGUUACUUGAAACACAAGUUAUGUAGUGUAAUAUGUAAGAUAUAUUUAAUUUGUUAUAAUAAGAGUAUAGGACAUCGUUGAUGCGUAUCAUAUCUAGAGUAUAUUAACAAAAAAAAAUUCACAUUCUAUAAAUUUAGGGCUCGUUUGGAAGUAUUUUAAAAUAAUUGAAAGCGCUUUUAGAUAAAAUGUUUUUGAGUUUCAAGUUUCACUUAUAUUUUUACUAAGAAUUGAUUCCAAAAAUAUUUUCACCAAAACACUUUCAACCAUUUCAAAAACACUUCUAAACGAACAUUAUAAGUUAGAGUGAAUUAACGUCAUAUGGGUGCCGUCAUGGAGGAGAAAGAGGACCAAGGCUUCGUCAACUAAAUCAGUUUCAAUGUUUCAUAGCCCAUGGCUUUUCUCUCUAGUCUUUGGUUGAAUCUUAAAGCCUCUUGGUUUUAGGAGAAAAUUUGAUGGUUACCGGGUUAUCUGAAGCACAAGUUAUGUGGUGUGUUAUUUAAUGUGUUAUACUAAGGUAAAUAACAUGAUUGAUGUGUAUUGCAUCUAGAAUAUAUUCAAUAUUUAAAAUAUUGAUAUAGGUGAAAAUAUUGAUAUUCAAAUUUAUGAAAAUAUCGGUAUACAAAUUUAUGAAAAUAUCGAGGAAUAUAUCAUAUAAAUAUUGAUAUCGGUUGCCAACGACAGAAAUUAUAUGGAAUUUGCAAUGGCGUGGGUGUUUCAACACAUUUAGAUUUAGUCGAAAUUAGAGAAAAAUUUCUCAAAAAAGUCUAAAAGUUUAAAAUCUGCAAUGGGUUUUGGCAUAUUUCUUUUAGCAAAUUGAUAAAUAUAUAUCAUCGAUAUUCAUUGAUUUUCUCAGAUCUUGUUGAUAUAAGGUGAAGUUUGCAUUUCACCCCCUUUCAUAUCAAUCAUUGAUUUUUCGGAUAUUUCGACAAUCAACAAUUUCGUGGAUAACAUAAACUUUGUAUAUUAAUAGAAAACAAUUACUCAUGUUAUAAGUUGAACGUUACAUGUGUUUCUGAGUGCAAGAAAAAAUUUCUACUUGUUUUAUCUUUUGAAAAGGAAAAUUAACUACCACAUCCAAUUUCAACCACCAGUAAUUACUAAUUAAGUAGCCCACUCUCUCCGACAUAUAUGAAGCCACGCUCAAGAAGUUCAAAUUAUAAGAAAAAUAAUAAAUAAUUAACACGAGAGUUGAAUCUUUCAUUGAUUAAUUAAAGUCUUAAACCUCCUCUGGUUACGUGUUUUUUGUUUGAAGAUACACAAUGUUGCUGUUCCUUCUCAAUGCAUGCAAGCAAUCUAGUCAAGCCAUGCAUUUAACAAAUGAUAUUUGUUAAUUUGCUAAGUACUAGUUCUAAAUCCUGUAAUCUAUUGUUUAACUAGCAGGUUAUCGAUCGAAAGCUAGAUGUUGUUUGGUAAUGAUUUUCACUAAUUUGCGCACAACGUUUUUUGCUUUUCGACUUCUCUUUUUUUUAUGAAUGAUGAGCAAUGCCUUUUGUGGCAUGCCUUAGUUUUGUUUUUACUGCUUAAGCUAUAAUUGCCAAUAUUAAGAAAAAGAAAACAUGGCAAAUGACAAUAUUAUUAAUUCACAUAUUUCAGUAUAAGUAAAGAUCUAGUCGAUAUUUCAUGGAUCUAGAGCUAAUACAAACUAAUUAAUAAAUACAUGUAUAUGUUGUAACAUAUAUAAAUAAAAAGACAGCACCGCGUAAUGACGUGACAGAUGAAUAGUAAUUAAAAAAUAACAUAUGUGCGCGUGAUCUCUCUCUCUCUCAACUUAUUAGCAAAGGAAUUUGGGACAUGCAUGAUUGAUUCGUGCACCCAUGAGACACUUUUCCUAUUUCCAGGCUUUAUGGUUGGGUGAUUCUAGCUUCUUUAAUCAUUCAAGUGAGGGGUUCGUGAUCUCUUUUAAAGUUGAAAAAAGAAGCACUGCUCCGAUAAAAUUAAACUACAGUAAUGUUGACAGAUAGCUAGGGCGAGUGUAUGCUUGCAUGGGGAAAAAGUAGUCAUGGCUUUGCGUUCGGUCAUGUCUGGAAGAAUAGCUAGUUUGUAAACAGAAACCGUAACAUACAGAAACCCCAUAACAAAAAUAAACAUGUAAAAAAGACGAGAAAAAGAAAGAUGAUUCAACAGGGCAUAGAUUAUGGCCAUUGGCCACAGCCUCAGGACAAGUUGGUAGGGGUCCAUCAGGACGUGCUUACGUACUCCCAGGAGUCCUGUUCUUUUUAAAUAUAUCUUAUUUCAUUUUCUAAUUUUAUUUUCUAAAAUUUCAUGCCCUUUUAUAAUUUUUUAGAUACAAUAAUAAACUUGUUUGAAAGUGCUUAUAAAUGACUAAAAAUAUUUUCGAUGAAAAUAUUUUUAAAAUCAAUUCUUAAUAAAAUUCAAGUGAAUCUUAGAAAGACUCUUUAAAGUGUUUUAUGCAAAAAAUCAACUUCAACAAAAAUGUUUUCAAUCAUUUUAAAAAUAAUUUCAAACAAGCCUAAUAUUGGUUGAUAUUAUUUCCUUUUAUAAUUAGAUAUAUGUAUUUUUUUACUUAUGUAUACUUUUUCUUUAAUUAGUGUGUAUUAUUUUCUUUUACGUUGAAUCUAAAUACAUUGUGUCUAAAUACAAAUGCUCAUAAUCCUCAACAUCAUAAAAUAUAUUUUUUCGAUUGUUAAUUCUCUACCAUACAUAUUUUGAUUUACAUUUUAAUACUACCAUGCAUAUUUUAAUUUAGGUAAAAUCACAUUCAAAUUGAAUUAGUAGAUUAUAAAAAGUUAUAUAAUAAAUCCAAACUAUUUACAGAUCUCCACUCCUUUAGAGCCUAUAAAUUGCAGCAUAGCUGGAAGUACUCCACAACUGAGCAAGUGAGCAUACUAACCAAGGCCGGUUAAGCUUGUGAGAAAGAGAGAGAAAGCGAGAGAAAACUAGAGAGAGAAGGAAAUACAAAGAAAGCAAUCCAAAGAGAAAUGGCAACUUUCCCAGUUGUUGACAUGGACCUUAUCAAUGGUGAAGAGAGAGCAGCAACCUUGGAGAAGAUCAAUGAUGCAUGUGAGAACUGGGGUUUCUUUGAGGUACGUAACCCCAACAAAGCUUUGCGAUAUUUUUUUCUUCCUCAAGGCACAAAACUCCGUCCCUCGUGUGCUUAGAGUAAAUCCGUCUCUAAGCAUAUGAGAGUCGGAAAACAAAUACACCGCCCUGGUUGCUCAGUUUUUUUGGUACUGCCUUAAUUUCUGUAGAAAUAUGACAACUCUUUGUUUUGUGUAUAAAUAACUGAAGUUGGUGAACCAUGGGAUAUCAACUGAGCUUUUGGACACUGUGGAGAAGAUGAACAAGGAUCACUACAAGAAGACCAUGGAGCAAAGGUUCAAGGAAAUGGUGGCAGCCAAAGGCCUCGAAGCUGUCCAGUCCGAAAUCCACGACUUGGACUGGGAAAGCACCUUCUUCUUGCGCCACCUUCCUUCCUCAAACAUUUCCGAAAUCCCUGAUCUCGAGGAAGAUUACAGGUCACACACUAAUUACAACAAACUUAAUUAAUUUCCCGCUGAUUUGGAUUUAACCAAGUUAGCUAAAGCACCUUGCGGCCCCAUUGCACCUAAGUUUGGAUCUCGGUUUUGUAGACUAGAUUGUAUUAGAAUAUCAUAUUGAUUUCUUGUAUAUAUUUUGAACAAUAUUUCAGGAAGACCAUGAAGGAAUUUGCAGUGGAAUUGGAGAAGCUAGCUGAGAAGCUUUUGGACUUGCUGUGUGAGAAUCUUGGACUUGAGAAGGGCUAUCUGAAGAAGGCUUUCUAUGGAUCCAAGGGUCCGAAUUUUGGGACCAAGGUCAGCAACUACCCUCCAUGUCCCAAGCCAGACCUGAUCAAGGGACUCCGGGCCCACACCGACGCUGGUGGUAUCAUCCUGCUUUUCCAGGAUGACAAGGUCAGCGGCCUCCAGCUCCUCAAGGAUGGUGAAUGGAUGGAUGUCCCCCCAGUGCACCACUCCAUUGUCAUCAACUUAGGUGACCAGAUUGAGGUAUACCAAAUUACCAGUUACCCAUGUCUUAUUGGCCGGACGUCCGAUGUAUCAUCAAUAAUAUAUUAGUAUCACUGUCGUCAACAAAACGUACAGACAUGUUACCGAUACAUUUCAACGCUCAACCGUUUUAUAAUAAAGAGGACGUACGUCAUACACAGAUAAUUUUUACUUUUACCAUCAAGUUUACUAAAUGUUAGACUAUAAUUAUUUGAUGCAGGUGAUCACCAAUGGGAAGUACAAGAGUAUAAUGCACCGGGUGAUAGCUCAGUCGGACGGAACCAGAAUGUCGAUAGCCUCGUUCUACAACCCGGGCGACGAUGCGUUUAUCAGCCCGGCACCGGCAUUGCUGGAGAAGAAAUCUGAGGAAACCCCAACUUAUCCCAAAUUUUUGUUUGAUGAUUACAUGAAGCUGUAUUCUGGCCUCAAAUUCCAAGCCAAGGAGCCAAGAUUUGAAGCUAUGAAGGCCAGGGAAACCACCCCUGUUGAAACUGCCCGAGGUCUGAGAGCCGUCCGAUGGAACACGACAAAAAGAAAUCAAAAUUAGGGUUUUGGGUUUUAUCGUUUGUGCUAAAUAAAGUUGGGGAGGAGAAAGUUAGAGUUUUACUUUUUUCUCCACUGUUCUUAUAGUUGAAAUCUAUCUAUAUAAAAUAAAAAUUAUUAGAAUCCUAAUCUUUGAGGGAUCCAUGUUCUUCAAAGUUAACUCAUCCUCAUUUGUUAAAUUAAAUUUGCAGGGGAUCAAAUCGUUGAGCUCAUUUUAUGUGUGACAUCUAUUAUUAAUUGACACAUGUUAAGAAGAGUUAAGUAAAUAUUGCUGAUCGCCCUAAACCCUAUAUAGAGGUCACAACAAUAUUGAAUACGGAAGAUUUGAACUCAAUUUGUAUUGAGUUGUUGGAGGCGCUAAAUAUAUAUUGUUGGUUCUCAUUCUAUCUGUUUACCCAUAUUAUAACACGCAGAUUAGUAAUACCAUGUGAUAAUGAUGCGGUAACACGGAUAAAGUGAUAAGAGAACGAAUUGUGCAUUCACAACUGAAAUUGAAACUCGACAAUGCACGUAUCAUAAGAACAGAGGUUGCAUUCAUAGAUCACACUCCAACAUGAUUGAAGCCGCAAGCGAAAUAGCAGGGCUUAUGCACGGAGACUUGAAACUCAUCAGUAAUGCGAAAAAUGUUCACUUUAUAAAGAUAAAGAUUGCAAUUACAUACCACGCUGCACUGAAUCGGAGCAGCAAAGCUCAAUAAUCGGACCCCACGCACAUAAAGUCGACACUAAAAACUCAUCAACAUUGCGAAAAAUGUGUAGAACAUUGCCCAAAAUCGUUUUGGUACACAGCUGCCUAUCCCGGCACCCGACCUUUUCAAACUGAAUAAAAAGUACUCCAGAAUUCCAACAUUCAGUACAGAAAACCAAUGCCUCUUCUCUCCGGUUAUUCUCAUGAUGAACACGCAAAGAAUGAAGAUUUUCAUGGAAACCAGUGUUAAAAUAAAUGAUCCUACUUCCCUGAAAGAAUAUCAUCGUCUUUGUCGGCUUCAACAGGCGCGUCACUGCCUAGAACCUUUUUCUCAUCCCCCUCCACUCUAUCGACAUUGGAGAAGUGAUUCUUCAGAACCAUUGAAAUGUCACCCUCAGAAGCUCCAGCAAGCUUAAAGCGCUCAACAGCAGCGUCCAGGUUUUUCUUCCAACCAUCCAGCCCUAAUUUGCAUUCGACCUGGGAUCGCUCAAAAAGCAUGUUACCCCAGAAGAGAUGGAUCUGUGAUCUCAUAACAGCUGCCUGUUCUGCAGCUUCAUCUGCCGAUAACUCACCCUGACCAGAUGCCUCACCUUCAUUCCCGGUACCCUGUUUUUUCCUUUUUUUCAACAACUCUUCCCUCUUGGCUGCACUUGGAUCCUUCAGUUCCUUUGCUCUCUGCUCCUCCAGCUUCUCCCACAUCUCAGUUGCAACUUUCAUCUUCUCCUCUGCACUGUCAAAAAGUGUCAGCAUUUCUGUAGAAUCACAUGUCGAGAGAUCUAUUUUCCUAGCAAGUGCAAAUGACCAAUGAAGUUUGGCCAUUUCAAAUUGUUGCUGCCCCAGCGCCAGCAACCCCUCGUAGAAGUCUGGCUUGAUCACAAGUGCCUCCUCAUACUUCUCUCUGGCCAAGGAAUAUUUGUCCCUGACCCAGUCAUAAGCCGUUUGAAGCUGCGUUGCCACGACCUCCUUUCCAGCAGACUCAUCUAAGGGAAUCCGCUUCCUUGCCGCACACAUAUAAACAUUUCCCCAAUUAAAGAACGCUAAUGCCGCCACCUCCUGGAACUUUGAGGCAGCCUUGUCAAAAAGACUCUGAGCUUCUUCACUAGUAACUGCCUCUUCAAGAGCCUCCGAACAAAGCUCCAUUCCAAGUUCAUGCAAAUCAAUAUGAGCGUCUGGGUCAAUACCAACAUGGCUGCGGAAAAGCUGAGAAAACUCAAACAACCAGUCAUCCAUCUCCAAUUCCUUGCACUCGGGAUCUUCUGAAGCUCCUGGUUUCUCCUUUGGAGCUUCUUUCUCUGACUUAACAGUUUCAUAAUCAGCAGGCUCCAAAACAGAUUCACCAAGUGAUGAGUUACUUUCAUCUUCCUUGACACCCUCGCUUUCUACAGGUUUUUCCUCCUCUUCUUCCAAUAAAGGCGGUUCCUGUUCAGGAGUCACGUCCACGAUAUGCAAUCUCAACAUCCCAAUUGAGUCAGCUUUAUCUAUUUCAGGCUCUUCUGAAAUGACCUUGUCAGCACAAGACUCAGCCAACCUAAGUUCAGCUGUAGAGGUUAUAGUCACCAUGUCACCAUCAUUAUCCUUAUACUUGACCAAAACUGACUUUGAUGAUGGAAAGCGCUUCGUCACAACUUCCCUCAACACUCUGAAAUUGCUAUUCACAGGCAUUUGGGCAAGCCUUAUGUCAUGAUCAUAAACAAGCUUCAAUGGUCUCCAACGAGUUGCAGCCUCUGAAAGCUGCCUAUUCACGGGCAAUGAAACUGAUGAAGACGAUGGCUCCAUUAGGAUACCCUUCCCUGGAUUAGCAGAUUUUGAAGGACCAUUGGACGGCUUCAAUGUGAGCUUUGGCAUUUGGGUUUUGUUCUCAGGUCCAUUCUCAGCCGGUAAACUUGUUUGUGGCUUCUCAGUCCUACUAAUUGGGGAUAUACCAGAGCCCCCAGCUGAAGCAGCUGCCUUCUUUAGAACCGGUCGGGCAGGUAAAGAAGGCCCUAACCCACCAACUGGAGCACCGCGAACAGCAGAAGCCCCAAGAGCAGCAGGUGAUGGGCGGCUCUGGAGGUCCUGCUGAACCUCCUGACGCAGCCCAAGCGCUGUCCUCAACCGCUGGGCAAUCUCCAAAGCAUCCCUGUGAUUCGGGUCAGCACCCAAUAACACCUGAACAUCCUGCAUCGCCAUUUCAUACUUCCCUAUCGCAUCCAGCGCCCUUGCCCUCCGAAGCAGAGCCCUGACAUACCGGGGCUGCACCUGGAGCGCCAUGGUGCACUCAGCAAUGACAGUCUCAUAAUCUAUCGGCUUCAUUUGCAUCAAACAAGCCGCCCUAUUGCUAUGGAAAACCGCGCGAUCAGGGUGGUUCUUGGGAGUGAGCUUAAGAGCAUUAUCAUACUGGUCCAGAGCACCCACAUAGUCCUUUCCCUGAAAUCUCUUGUUCCCUUCUUCUUUGAGCUCGUGGGCUCUUUUCAAAAAGAUUGAAGAGUCAAAAUCAACACUACCGUUCGAAAUCGGAGUCGAAUUCGCAUCCUUCGGGACCUGGUUCGAAGCUCCCUUCUUCUUCCUACCCCCUGAUUUCCCCAUAUAACCCUCUCCCACUCUCCCACUUAUAUACACAAAAUCUUGGGUAUAUAUAAUCCAAAAUUGAUGAUACGAAGAAUCAAAGCAGCAAGCUUUCACUGUUUUCGACGAGAAUUGAACGAAAAAUGGAGAGAGAGAAAUGGGGGCACUUACCGAUGAACAAGCUCGAAAAGCAUCAAUCUUUGACGCAAAUGGUUUGAAUCCGAGUGAUGGGGUUUGGAUUGGAUGAAAUCCAAUCGGCGAAAUGUUCGGAGGAGGAGGAGGAAGAGGAUAAAACCCUAGGCCCCUGGAAGCAACACUGAACUCAACAGCCUCUCACUCACUCUUGCCCUUUAGGAUGGCUCAAACCCUAGAGAAGUGGAGGUAUCUGCAAAUGAAUUCCAGCGGGGUUUAAUAUAAUCUGAGGCGGGCCCCACAGACACGUUCAUCUUCCAACGUCGAUCUAUUUUGGGUGGUAUCAUUCACUUUUAACGCUUAUAUUUUGAUCCAAAUGAUAAUGCAUAAUAAGAAAAUAGUUUGAAUCCGAGAUAAGUGAUUUGAAGAGAGUUGUCAUAACCACCAGAGUAAUAUACCACUCACGUCUUGUGCUAGACUUGGCAAAUCAAGUCGUGUUGGGCCGGUUCAUUUUUAAAUCGACAAUACUUGUGCUCGAUUCGGGUCGACUCGAUGUUGUACACUACACCUCCUUGCGUUUUUGAUAAAUUCGUUGCAUCAGAUGAACAGAUAUAAGCCGAUUGGUUCCAUUUUUAUUUUAUGAUGGAACAAUUUAAUUUCCCAUAUGCGAAGGAUUUUUUGAGGCCUCAUAUCAUGUAAGUUCCUGGUUUAAUACCCUUCGAUCAAAUCUUCAAGUGUACAGGUAAUAUGGGGAGGGGGGGAUUGAUUUGAUUGAAUCAGGAGCCUCAAAAAUACGAGAAAUACUUUUAAACAACUAAGUUACAAGCUCCGUUACAUAAAAAUGGAUCUGCAUAUCAUUAAAAUGUGAAAAAAUGGAUUGUUUGAUAAGUGUAUAAACACGUAUAGAAAAUUCAAAAUUUAAAUUUUGUAUUUAAUAUUUAUGUACAAAAACACCCAAAGGAUGACAGGGACUUGGAGUAUUUGCUCUCUCUCUCUCUCGCUCUCAAUGAUCUUCUUCUUCUCCAGGGAGGAGUGAAUGACUCUGCACUCUGCAUAAUGAUUCUGCUAUCUCUUUGAACACGAAAACGACAUUGGACAGUUCAUGAAGCUUGAAAUAUCAAACGCUUCGAUGAACCUCUGAUCCGAAACUCGAGAUUUUGCAGCUGCAAACCUCUGGUACUCAUCAAAGAUUGAGGUCAGGCACCAUCUUUGCAAUCUUCUUAAGCAUCCCACAAGACAGCCCGUCCGGUGCUGCACAACAUUAAUAACAAAAAACACUCGUUGGAAGAUGGAGCCCAAGAUUGUUUGAGAAAACGCAAAAGUGGGAAAUCAUAGAGCACCUUCCCUCGCUUGCAAUGGAUCAGGAGUGGGUGGUUUCUUACAUCUGGCAUAUACACAGGCAAGCCAGUCGAUAAGCAAAUCGUAAAACAAACAAGCCGUGGCCUAAUAUUAAGAACAAAAAAGAGGCUUUAAGUUCAAGGGGGUUAGUGAUACCAAGGACAACUCUUAAUGCUUCACGAAUUGUGUGCUCCGGGAUUUUCACGUAAGGUUCCUGUACCGAAUAUGUUAGCACAUGACUGAAAAUAUCAACUGAUAUCAUUUAUAAGUAGCUCAAAGCAAAGUCCCAAGUUAUAAACAUCAGUGAGCUCAGACAUAUCCGUCAAUAAGUCUUCCAGAUUGAAGUUACAGUAAAUAGAGAAACAGUUUAAAGCAUUUUCCAAUACGUGUAGGGUGGUAAGUUGAUCAAAAGCAAGAUCUGAUCAUCAGAAGACCGGUAUCUGGAAAAGUAAAAUACAAUCCAAUGAAACAGCAGACUGACAUUUGGAAAAGUAAAAAACAAUCAACGAAAAGUUGAAAACCAGGAAUGGCCAUCUAAGAGAUAACAGCAGAGGACUUAUUGGCAUAUUUUGAAUAAGCCAGAGUACAAAGCAAAAGCCAAUGAAAAUCUAAAUUCAUUGCUAGCUGACAAAACACAAGGCAACUGAAAUAGGUAAAGUAAACCAACAAAGCACAGGGAAAGCAAAACAACCUAAGGCUAAAGGUGGACGGCUACUUCAAAAUGGAAAAUACGUCAUUAGCGAGUAAUAAUCCAUAUAUACAAAUAAAAGUGCUGAGUAGGAUUGUCAAUAUUGUUUGUCUAACCACCCAGUUUUAAUGUAUUUUUUAGAGCAAAAGAUAAAGCAACAAUAAACAUGCAAUUUACAGGUGUUGGGGAAGCCAAUCAAUCACCUAAAAUAUGUGUAGACGCAUAUAGUGGUGCUCCAGACUUUUAUCUUGCAGUUCCAUUCAAGUUUAGUAUUCAUGCAAGGCAAGCCACAACGACGCGUGAAAGGUUUGGGUCACUGCCACCUUGGCGUCCCCAUUUCAUGUUAGUGAGUAGUCUCUCUCGCAAAGCUGAGGUUUGGCAGAAAAGGGGCAUCAUAAAUUCAUAGUGGGAAUAAAAAUACAAUGGGCAAAGGGCUUGCACAAGGACAUAGUGGGAGCGGGACACAGCAAGGCCAAAAGCCUCAUCCAACUACCACUUGAGCUAAUGAAGUGAAGUGAUAUAGACAUGCAAUUUGGCAUCUCUCUUUCUAAAAUGGGUUGAUGGUGAAAAUUAUUUCCAAAAUCUAUCAACUCAAACCCGAAACCCUUCACUCCAAAACGAUUUUCUAUCCGAUAAUAUCAACAAAAUAAUCCUUUGUCCCCAACCCCUCAUAUGAUUUCUACUAAAUUCUGGCUUUUGUCUAAGCAGUUCAAAUCUUAUCCACCCGCACAUUUGGUACAACCGACGACCAACGGCCUACUAAUCAACAAUGAUAAUGUCCCUCCUUAACCACCCGCACAUACUAGCGGGUGCGGACUUUACAUUCGUCAUCGGAGAAGGGAACAUCCCGAUUUGAAAAUACACACGAUUAUAAAGCAAUUACUAUAAUCUUAUUCUCUAAUCCCAACUUCCAAGCAAUCCAAGCAUAACCCCAGACACAAAUUGCAGAGUAAUUAUGUCAAGGUUAAUAUAAUAUCUGCAAAAGAAAUCGAAAAGAAAACGAAACCUGAGAGCCAUCGAUCCCAAACUGGAAAAGCCUAAUCCCAUUUGCUCUCAUAAACUCUUUGUUCUCCUCCGGAUACGGCUCCGGGCACAAAUAUCUAACCCAAUCAAAACAACGAUCAGUCGAAAUUCCCCAAAUCUAAUCAAAGCAAAACCAAAACCAAAUUUGAAGCUAGAUUAAUCAACGGAAACAAAGUUCACUGCUGGAAUUUGACUCACAUGACGGAACGGAGGCCGAGGGAUUUCAAGAAGCUGAAAUUGGGGGAAUGAGGGAAGCCGGACCUAAACACGCCAUUGUCGACCAUCGCGAAGUUCAGAGGCGGCACGAACGCCUCUCCGCACCUCUCAUUCUCGUCUCCGAUCUCCGGAGCCUUCGCCACCGGCGACGCCGUGGAGACCUCCUGCUCCCCGCUCUCUAUUUUCAUCGCUGCCUCCUAUUUUUUCGCGCUAAAUAAAAUGUGAAAGCAGAAAAAAUAUAAUAUUUGUUUAUUAUUUAACUGAUUCGGAAGUUGUGUUAGGAUGAUCAGAGCGAGAGGGAGGAGAGAGAGGGAUUCUGAGAAUCUAAGGGGAAAAGGAAGAUCCGUAUUUAUAGGAAGAGAGAGACAGAGGGAAUAUUAGCAUUGCAAGGUGGCUGCGUGGGCGUAUGAUGACUCGUGACUGGGAUUAGACUUGAUGGAGACAUGGAGAAAAUUUUGCGUACGGCCGAUCAUAUGCGGCUUUCGCUCCCAAAAGUGGGGCCAGAGGUGGGAGCCGGUGAUAACCUAAAAUUAUGGCACGAAACACUCCGACGAUGAUGUACUAGAGUAGUUACACUGUGCGAAAGGCUUUCAAGGGCUAUUUAUUAUUUAAUUCACUAGCGAAUAGCAAUUGCUCUUAAUGAACCGUAAUUAUAUUUUGCAUCUCCAUCCAUAUACUUAAAUAGCCCUGACAAGUAAAUAAAAUAAUAAUAUUUUUUAUAACUUGCUUGGAAUUUCCUGUGUACUCUUCACUCCCUCUCCUUCCACUCAUCUUUCUCACUGCUCUCCAUUUUUUUUUGAAGUUCCUUGCUCUCUCUAGGCUCUCGACGCUCUCACUCUCUCUAGAGCUCCGAGAGCUCUCACCCACUUUCCUCUCCGAAAAUUAAACAAAUCAAACUCCAAAACCAUUAAACCUUAAUCUCUGGGACUAAAAAUCUUAGCUAUACCAUUGCAUGCAUCAUCGGACCAUCACGGUGUAAACCACCAUUGAAGUUGAGAGCUUCAAGAUCUGAAACUCGAACCCAAGUGAGGUUUUCUAUGCAAAUCUUGUUUCAUUAUGUCUUAAUGUUGCUUGGGACAAGAUUUGUGGUGUUUUUUUAGUUCGAAACCAGAGGUUUAACCCCCUACAAUUUCUCUGAAACCUUGCCCAAUUUUUGGUCACCUCCUCGGAGUAAACUCUGGCAAGUUUGUGGGCGACGUCAGCAUUGCCUUCGGGCUCUCGGGCUGGCAACUCGUGUCGGGGCUCUCCCACGGGCCUGCUCGGGCUCCCUCGCCAGCACACGCUGGGCUUGCUUGCUCAAGCUCUUUGCCACCAUUCGCAUGCCUGAUCCUCGGGCUCCAACACAUGCUGGGGCUGCUCUUUGGGAAAUGGGUCAUCUCUAGAUCCUUUCUUCCUAAUCCACCAAAUCAGUAGAUCUGUGUCAUUAAAAUUGAUCCAACACGGCUGAAGUUAUUAUAACUUUUAAAGUGAGUCUGUGUUUGUAACCGUUGGAUCAAAUUUCAAUGGCACGGAUCCACGGAUUUGGUAGAUUAGGAGGAAGAGAUUCGAAGAGGACCCCUUUCCCAUUUAAGUCAUUCUCUAAUACAAUUUGGCACUUUGAGGUCUACUGCACCUUGUUCAUUUGCAGGGGCGUUUCGUACUUAAUACUUGUUUGUUCUGUAUCAAUAAAAUUGAGUGUCUCAAAGUACAAGGAGGUUGCCUUUACCACCUACUGUUAUGACUUUCUUGCUACACGAUCUAGCGAUGCCAUUUCACUCUAAAAUUUCUCCUGCACUGUGAUAAGGCGAGAGCUACACACUCGGCGGCCAAUCUUGGGUUCCAUGCCCCCUCUAAGCACAUAGAAGUUGACUACCACUUCGUUCGCUCUUCCCUAUCUCACUGAGCCUCCUAACCACAGUAGCUGUCGGCUGUUAUGUUCUAUUCAUUCCAUGCAUGGAAUGUUCCUUCCCUCCUAGUUACAAUUGUCAAAGAAACUGGAAAGAAGAAACCGUCGUCUUCUUCCUCAAUGGAAGAGAAAACUAGAAGAGCAAUCGUCAUUCAAUAACCAAAUACUUCUUUUGUAAUUAGAUCUAUACCAUAUGAUCGUUCUUUCGUAUACAAAUUUCUUUCGCCAUUCACUAAUUCUACCUAAUUUUCCUGUCCUUUUAUGUCGUGUAAUCAUCACUUUGCUGGCGUUGUCGCGAUGGAUUUCUUUAUGCAAUCUACAAUACCUUCACAAUCUGUUUGAGGAAUAACGCAGGUAGAGUCAUCUUCUAAGGAGUCUUCUGUGCGUGCGUGAGGAGACGAGAGGUUCCCAUGAGUCUGGCAGGCCUUCAUCGUCUUACAGUGUUCAGCUUCAUCGUCUCUUAUGUUCAGAAAUGUGUCAUACAAGUUCUCUGAAAAAGAAACAUUUAUCAAAAACGCAGUUCAUAAUGUGCCAACAACAAUUAUUGUGCACAGCUGUGCAAGAUUAGUUUAUGUUCAACGCGAAACUAAAACUAAGUCUAAAAAUUGAGCAAACUCGUAGCAUGUCCCAUUAAAAAAUCAGAUCUGAAGGCUUGCCUAUUUUUGGCCUUCGAGAAUUGGGAGGUCUUGGAAGUUUGAAAUUCAUCUGCAUAAAAUUUUGGGGGGGGGGGAUUGUUAAAUCGUCAAUUGUUACCUUUCAGGACACAAAUUAAGAUUGAAAAAUACACAAAACUUACCAAAUAAGUACAUGUCACCACUAGUAUAGUAUUUCACAGCAACCUCAGGAGCAGGCAUCUUUUUCAAAUCCUCUACAACAGAAGAAAAUACCAUGUCAAGAUAAGUGAAUUUGUAUUUGAGGAAAAACAGUGCAUUUUACAACCGAUCAAUUAAGAUCGUCACUUGGACGUUACAUGCUUAGAAUAUUUGAAGUGACCCAACAAACACCGUUUGAUGAUUCAACCUAGUCAGUCUUAAGGCAUCAAGUCCUGAAAAACUCUAAAUCAUACCUCCUCGGGCCUUGAUAAACUUGUCGUAGGUUGAAUAUGCAUGGCUCUCUACACAUUCAGAGAAGUGAUCUGCAAUAGUCAUCAAACAAAAUACAUAAACACGCAUUUAAAUAUACCGGAUAGUUUUCCGAUCACCUAUUUCUGUAGUGUCAUUUGAAGAUGAACUUACAAACUUAAACAGAAUUGGGCAGAAAGGAUCCAAGAAACAACGCUGUAACUACAAUCCAUAUCACAUGCAAUCAACAGAAUACUUCUUAAUGCAACUGUUGUUAAGUUUUACAAAGGGAUUUUAAGAAAACGAAAUUUUGACCAAAUUUGUCUACCCCUUCAUAAAGGCUUGAUAUUGAUUUCAAUGGACGAAAUUCUUCUAAGUUUGUAACCACUAAGGAUAAUGCACCAAACACGACACUGGUAUGCGAGAGAGACAACAAAGCAGAGGAAUUAUAGCACAUUAAAAAUUAGAUACUAAUACUUACAUGCCAUCCUUGGGCUUAUUAAAUACAUAAAGGCCGUCAUAAAAUAAUAGAAGACUGCAAUGUGCUGAGCAAGAAAGCGGUCAAACCACCAAGCAUUUCCCCCCAAUUCCUGCAAUUACAUCCAUAUUCUAUCAUUAAAUCAAGCAAACCAUGUAGACGAUAUUACAGAAGGAAGAUCCUUACUUCCAUGAGAUAAGCAGAUGGUGCAUCUCAUUCCAGCUCUCAGCAAAAUGCACCUUCAGAUAAUCUGCCCUUCUCCACCAACCAAAACUCUCAUACAUGUGCAGAACAGACAUAAAGGCUGCCACCGAUAUACCACAAAGACAUGAUUUAAAACUUGCAACUGGGAAUCGCAGUUGACAACAAUAUUGGGAAACGAACUACACAAGAACAAGUUCCUAAGCAGCUUAUACACAGAGUCUGAGAGAAAAUUAUAAGGAAUUUUGAGGCACAUCCUUCCAUGAAAUCAUCACCAUCAUCUUGACCAACAAAACAUGAUACUGCAAAGGUGCACGCUCCAUAUGUCAUAUGAAUCAUAUUUCUAACACAAGAUAGGGCCAAUUUAUGAUGUUUGUCAGCCUUGUCAGGACAUGCAUGAUUGAUGUACAUUUCUUGACAUACUAAUGUAACAAUAUACAUACAAUGCCUUCAAAUGAAUUGACAACUUGUCCUCGAUCAUUUGAAGAUUUCCUCUUGCUUGAAAAGGAAGUUCUUUGCAUCUCAUUACAAAUACCAUUUCAGAGAAGUGCAGAAAAUUCAAAAUUAUUAAUAAACAAAGUUUAGCACUCACCGAAGUAAGGAACCCUUGCAAUAGUUUCCAGUACAAAGAACCUUGCAUAAUCCCGGUCGCUGUACAGAGUUUCAAGUACCUUUAUAACUGUAUCCUGGAAUGAUUAGUAGAACUGAAUUAAAAUCUAAACAUCAAUAACAACUGCCAGAGACAAAAGCUCCUAAGCAUAACCCCCAAACAAUCAACAAAAAUGAUUUAACAUUUCUUCGAAAAAUCGACAUUGGAACUAGGCAAGCACGGCAAAACGAUUAAUUUGACAAUGAGUAAAGAUUUACCGUAAGGAAGAUGUUGAAGGAUUGUUCACACUUGAUAACCCAGAUCUCAAAAGCACUUGAAGACGAACUCUCAGAGAGAUUCCCGCUGCUAGCUUUCAAUUCAUCAAAGGUAGAAGCCUUGAACUCAAAGGAUUCCUCCACUUCCACCUUCUCUUCAUCUUCGUGCAGCAUAGUUGCUCGAACUCUACACAAAUUUUGUUAUCGAGUGAAUAAAAGGCCCACAAAUUUGAAUUUAGAAUCCAGUUCAUAGAUCCCAUAAAGCACAGACAACAAAACUUCAGAAAUUCAUAACAUAAAAUAGCAAAAAAAAACCCAAAAUUAAAGAUCCCAUUUUUCUACGUUUGAAGUGGUGGAAAAUUAGCAUACCUGGAAAUCGACGGACGAGAUGAAAUGGGAUUGUAUGGAAAACGAUUCCGAGAUGAAAAAGCUGAAGUCUUGAAGCUCCUCCUUGCUCUGAGAGACGAAGAAGAAGAAGAGCAAGAGGCGGAGAUUGCAAACACCGUCGAAGACAGAGUCGCCGCAGCCAUUCUGCGCGGUUGUUGCAGAGAAUUCAAACCCAAAAAAAAAAAAAAACGCAAUCAAAAUUGGAAUUUGGUUUUUCGAUUAGUCAGUUGGUGUGAAGUGAAAUUGUCAACCGCGGGAGGGAGAGAGGGAGUGAAGAGAAAAAUGGCAUCUUUUUUCAUGUUUCGUUGGGGAGUAAUUUGUGUCGUCUUGCAAAGUUGCAAGUUCGGCAAAAGCGGCCGGCGGCUUGCGUGGCGCAUAAAUUAGGGAAUGCGGAUCCCCCUUAGAGCAUUCAAAAUUCGUAAAUCGUAUAUUAUAUAAUCAUAAAUUAAUUUAAAUUUUUUUAUUAAAAAUUAAACAUAAAUAGUACGUAAUGAAAAUAAAUACUACCAGUCGAAAAUCGAUCGCACGAUAUCAUGAUGAAUCAACACAAUUCACAAAUGUCAAAUCCCCAAAGAGGAUCCGGAGGCGAUGAUAUUGGUAAUUUAGGGAGACGACCGUUGGUAUUUUUGCUUGGUGCUCUUGAGCUACACGACACGAAUUGAGAGAUCUUUGUUUUGGUUUUUUGCGUUUUAAGUAUCGUGGCUAUUUCGAUCGCCAGUUUCUACUGGACUGUGGGCUUUUGGUCAUUCUUGGUGAACUUGACAAGCUUAAUUUAGACCCUGGGGCUUGAAUUGGGGCCUUUUCUCUCUAUGAACAGUAUUAUUUAGAAACGUCUUUCAAGGAAAUACUUAUUUAGAAAUCACUUUUGCAAUUAAGUGUGUCACUAUAAUCACUUUUUAUUAGAAGGAGGAGAUUUAAAUGGACACGUGGGCAGGGAGACAGGCAACUAUGAAGGUUUUCAUGGUGGCCAUGGUUUUGGGGAGAGAAACGAGGAUGGGGAAGCUAUCUUGGAUUUUGCAAUGGCAUAUGAUCUCUUCUUAGCCAACACCUUCUUUAAGAAGAGAGAAGAACAUGUGAUCACCUACAAGAGUGGGUCGUCAAAAACACAAAUAGAUUUUCUUCUAAUGAGGAAAGGGGAUCGUAUAACUUGUAAGGAUUGCAAAGUUAUACCAGGAGAGAGCGUGGCUAAUCAACAUCGCUUGUUGGUGAUGGAUGUACAUAUCAAAAGAGUGAGACAAAAGAACAAGACUUGGAAGUGCCCAAGGACUAGAUGGUGGCAUCUAAAAGAAGAAAAACAGGCCAUUUUCAAAGAGAAAGUAAUCACCCAGUGUGUGUGGGAUGGAGAUGGGGAAGCUAGCCAAAUGUGGGAUUCCAUGGCUAGUUGUAUCCGAAAAGUAGCAAAAGAGGUAUUAGGAGAGUCCAAGGGCUUUGCCCCAUACCAAAAGGAAUCUUGGUGGUGGAAUGAGGAGGUACAAACAAAGGUGAAGGCUAAGAAGGAAUGUUGUAAAGCCUUAUACAAGGAUAGGACCGAUGAAAAUGGUGAAAGGUAUAGAAAAGCGAAGCAAGAGGCGAAGAAAGCUGUGAGAGAAGCUAAGUUAGCGGCUUACGACGAUAUGUAUAAACGACUAGAUACCAAAGAAGGAGAGUUGAAUAUCUAUAAACUAGCUAGAGCAAGGGAAAAAAAGACAAGGGACCUAAACCAAGUGAGGUGCAUCAAGGAUGAGGAUGGAAAGGUUCUUGCUACAGAGAACGCGGUUAAAGACAGAUGGAGAGGUUAUUUUCAUAAUCUUUUCAAUGAAGGACAUGAAAGGAGUGCUUCUUUAGGGGAGUUGAGUAACUCAGAAGAGUGUAGAAAACUACUCUUUUUAUCGUCGAAUCCGGAAGGAAGAAGUGGUUGUAGCUUUGAAGAAGAUGAAGCAUAGAAAAGCAAUAGGCCCAGACGAUAUACCAAUCGAAGUGUGGAAAGUUUUGGGAGAGAUAGGUAUAACAUGGCUCACUGACCUUUUCAAUAGGAUUUUGAAAACGAAGAAGAUGCCAAAUGAGUGGCGAACGAGCACUUUGGUGCCUAUCUACAAGAAUAAGGGCGACGUACAAAAUUGCAUGAACUAUAGGGGUAUUAAGCUAAUGAGUCAUACAAUGAAGCUCUGGGAGAGAGUCAUUGAGCAUAGAUUGAGGCAAGAGACACGGGUUUCGGACAACCAAUUCGGGUUCAUGCCAGGGCGCUCAACCAUGAAGGCAAUCUAUCUCUUACGAAGAUUGAUGGAAAGAUAUAGAGAUGGGAAAAAGGAUUUACACAUGGUCUUUAUAGAUUUGGAAAAAGCGUAUGAUAGGGUCCCAAGAGACAUUCUUUGGAGGAUUUUAGAGAAGAAAGGAGUACGAGUAGCAUAUAUCCAAGUUAUAAAGAUAUGUAUAAAGGAGCAAAGACUGCCGUAAGAACUCAUGAAGGACAAACCGAAAGCUUUCCCAUAACUGUAGGAUUACAUCAAGGCUCAUCCUUAAGUCCUUACCUUUUUGCGUUGGUAAUGGAUGAGUUAACAGGACAUAUUCAAGAUGAUAUUCCUUGGUGUAUGCUUUUCGAAGACGAUAUAGUGUUGAUAGAUGAAACUCAGGAAGGGGUAAAUGCAAAGCUUAACCUUUGGAGAGAAGUGUUGGAAUCUAAAGGUCUUCGCCUAAGCCGAUCAAAGACAGAAUAUAUGGAGUGCAAGUUCAGUGCAAAUGGAGGCCAAGACGAGUUAGGGGUGAGGAUCAGAGAUCAAGAAAUACCAAAGAGCGACCGUUUUCGUUACCUAGGAUCUAUCUUGCAAAAGAACGGAGAAUUAGAUGGAGAUCUCAACCAUAGAAUACAAGCUGGAUGGAUGAAGUGGAAGAGUGCAUCCGGCAUGUUGUGUGACUGCCGUAUGCCACUAAAGCUCAAGGGAAAAUUUUAUAGGACGGCAAUAAGGCCGGCGAUGCUGUAUGGCACAGAAUGUUGGGCGGUGAAGCAUCAACACGUACACAAAAUGGGUGUAGCAGAGAUGAGGAUGCUUCGUUGGAUGUGUUGGCACACGAGAAAGGAUAAGAUUAUGAAUGAGGAUAUCCGGGGUAAAGUAGGAGUAGCCGAAAUUGAAGGAAAGAUGAGAGAAAAUCGGUUACGGUGGUUUAGACAUGUGCAAAGAAGGCCUACUGACGCUCUGAUUAGAAGAUGCGACUAUGGGACAGAGGUUCAGGGCCGAAGGGGUAGAGGAAGACCUAGGAAAACUUUGGAAGAGACUCUAAGAAAAGACUUAGAGUACUUGGAUCUAACGAAGGACAUGACACAGGACCGAGCACAAUGGCGUUCUAAGAUUCAUAUAGCCGAUCCCACUCAGUGACUUGGAUUUUCCAAGUCUCCAACCGAGAAGUUUUCCUCACUCGGGAAAUUAAGGGAACACUACCUCAACCUACAUGCUCCACUCACAAAGCUUCAACAUACAAGCUUCAACAAAAGAAAAUUCAAAGAACUUAGCGAAGAAGGCUUUGGUGUAUUUAACACAAUAUGUUGAAAUGAAGGAAAGCUUAUUUAUUGAUAUCCCCGAUAAGCUACAAAUAUGUACAUAUACAUGAGUCAAAAUAAACAAACAAGAGGGAGCCUUCACAAAGGUUGCUUAGGAGAAGUCUCAGCAAUCGGUAGAGCCCCAGAAAGAGAAGGCACCGGAGGGGGAUCAUUCGGAGCCUCAGUACUGGACAGAACCCUAGAAGGAGGAGGCAUCAGAGGUUGAUCAUUUGGAGCUUCAUUACACGGUACAGCCCCAAAAGACGAAGGCAAUAAAUGCCUUUGGAACAAACCCACAAAUCUCUGAUGAUCAAGUAAAACUUGACCAUCAGAUUCCUUCAUCUGGUCAAGCUUCCUCUUCAUGUUUGUAGCAUAGUCAUGUGCGAGCCGGUGCAACUGUUUAUUCUCAUGCUUGAGCCCUCUAAUCUCCUGUUUGAGACUCAUCACUUCAGCCGCCAAUGACUCAACUUGACGGGUUCGAGCAAAUAGGCGUUGGGCCAUAUUAGACACAGAACCUGCACACUGAACACUGAGAGCCAGAGAAUCCUUAACAGCUAACUCAUCAGACCGUUUGGAAAGUAGUCUGUUAUCUUUGGGAGUGAGAAUGUUCCUGGCCACCACCGCAGCGGUCAUAUCAUUCUUCAUCACGGAAUCCCCAACGGUAAGAGGACCAGUUGGGGAGACGAAGGAUGGGCGCCAUAUGUUGUCUGGAGAAGGCGGGGCUGCCUCUUCAACAAGGUUCAAGUCAAAACGACGGUCGGAGGGGCCAGACAUUUUCAAAGAUGUUGAAGAGAAGAAGUCGGACAAAUCAAGAUCUUAGAAGUGCAAGAAUGGAGCUUCUACUGGUGGAGAUUCAAGUGUGCUUUGGAACUUAAUGCUAGCCCCUAUAAAAAUCUGCACUCGAUGGAGCUUCAGAAAUCGAAGAGGCGUUUGCUUUCUCAAAAGCUGGGCUGCUCAGAGACCACGAGGGUGAUCUCAGAAAUCGAAGAGGCGUUUGCUUUCUCAAAAGCUGGGCUGCUCAAAGACCACGAAGGCUGAUCUCAGAAUCGAAGAGGCGCUUGCUUUCUCAAAAGCUGGGCUGCUCAGAGACCACGAGGGCCGAUCUCAGAAAUCGAAGAGGCACCUACUUUUCCAGCCUUGUCAGCACCUGUCAUACGCACACUCAGCUUUGCGGAAAUUAUGGGCAUUCUGUCAAAGACUUCUGGUGAAGUAGAAAGCACAUGAAUCUUACUGUUCAAUCACCCACUUCCCACACGCAACAGUAGCUCAUGGGUACCACAGAUAACUUUGCCAAAGUUCUCUGCCAAAGUUGAGCACGUGAAGCUUGCAGCUCCCACUACAUCACUCUGACCAAGAAGGGUAAAAAAAAAUAGCAAAGAAACAGCACUAACAAAGUCUAGACACAUAAAUUUUGAAAGUCUAGCUACCAUAUUAUUACCCAUAAGGGUAAAGGAACAGUACCACUGCUGGAUAAUUGGAAAGUCCCUGUGUGUCAACCUCUGUGCUUCAUGGCAAGGUAGACUAGCAAACAUGCCCAACCUUUACUCUCAGAGACCACGAGGGUUGAUCUCAGAAAUCGAAGAGGCGUUUGCUUUCUCAAAAGCUGGGCUGCUCAAAGACCACGAAGGCCGAUCUCAGAAAUCGAAGAGGCGCUUGCUUUCUCAAAAGCUGGGCUGGUCAGAGACCAUGAGGGCCGAUCUCAGAAAUCGAAGAGGCACCUACUUUUCCAGCCUUGUCAGCACCUGUCAUACGCACACUCAGCUUUGCGGAAAUUAUGGGCAUUCUGUCGAAGACUUUUGGUGAAGUAGAAAGCACAUGAAUCUUACUGUUCAAUCACCCACUUCCCACACGCAACAGUAGCUCAUGGGUACCACAGAUAACUUUACCAAAGGUCUCUACCAAAGUUGAGCACGUGAAGCUUGCAGCUUCAACUACAUCGCUCUGACUAAGAAGGGUAAAAGAAUAGCAAAGAAACAACACUAAAAAAAGUUUAGACACAUAAAUUUUGAAGGUCUAGCUACCAUAUUAUUACCCACAAGGGUAAAGGAAUAGUACCACUGCUGGAUAAUUGGAAAGUCCCUGUGUGUCAACCUCUGUGCUUCGUGGCAAGGUAGACUAGCAAACAUGCCCAACCUUUACUCACAUUCGAGAAAACACUCCCAACAAGAUUACAAGAUUGCUUGCUCCAAAAUCGAAGAGGCACCGUCCUGUGUGUCAACCUUUACUCACAUUCGAGAAAACACUCACUUUCUCAAAAAUCGAAGAGACACCGCUCUCCGAAUCUCGAGAGCCAGACCCCCAGCAUGAUUGCUUUCUCAAAAAUCGAAGAGGCAUCGUUAUCCGAAUCUCGAGAGCCAGAUCCCCGAUAGGAUUGCUUGUUCGAAAACCGAAGAGGCACAAUUUUCCCAACUUCAAGAGCCGAAUCUCCUUGGAUAAAGCUUGUCUGUAAUCUUUACACGCAACAUCGGCUUUCCAGAUACCACAGACCACUUUUUCAAAGUGCUCUGACAGAGUUAAAACAUGUGAAGCUGGCAGCUCCAACUACCGUGCUAUGACCAAGCAGGGUAAAGGAAUAGCAUUACUACUUGUUGUUAGGGAGACUCCUAUAUAUGUCGACCUCCAUCCCCAAUGGACAGGCAGACCUGCAAAAAUGCUCAACCCUUCCUCAUAUCUGAGAGGGCACUCCCAACGAAGCCUUUCGAAAUAUUCAGCUUUCUUUCCCCCCGAUAAUACCUCUGCAAACAAGCUAUACUAAAGCAAGAAUAUCUCAUAUCAUCAGGGUUAAAAGCAAGAGUAUCCCAUAUCAUGCUUUUUCCCUAUCUUUUCCUUUGGCCUUGUUCUUACCUGCAAGACAAAGAGAAAGAGAGCAAUCAGUCAGCACUUGGAAUCAAGCUUCCAGCUAGGAACUGACUGCUUGGAACCCCUUACCUGAUUACUUACCUGGCAUUGCUCUCGAGUACUCAUCUUCAACAUCUUAUGCUUCCAGGGAAGAUACCGCAUCUGCUUGAGGAACAUAUAGGGCAAGUGAGAAGGAUACAAGGAAGCAUGUGGAGACAAGCGUAACAGCACACGUGCCGAUACAUCCAUUACCCUGUCAAAGCAAAAGUAUCCCAUAUCAGCAGGGUCGAACGUACUCUAGAUUUGAUGGACUUGUUUUGACCCUCAAAUUCUUUAGUCGGCCUUAUACUCUGGAGGAAACCAGAAAACCCUCCAGCUCAGUUCAAGAAUAAGCCUGUGGAAAGUUACUUCUUCAAAAGCAAAAGUAUCACAUAUCAUCUCUUCUCAUUUUUCUUCUCUUUAUCCUUCAUGCUGCCUGCAAAAUAGGGAGAAUGUGAACAAUCAGCCGGAGCUCUGAUUGCUUACCUUGUCUGUCACCUUUUUCAGCAAAUCCCCUAGCUCGGCGACUUGGGGGACUCCUACUACAUGGUUUGUAUCGCGCUUGAUCAAGUCUGAAACUACAAGUAAGCUUCAAGUGAAAUUGAUACAUUACCUUGUGCAUCUCCACCAGUUAAAGAUACCACCCCUGGAUGGAGGAAAAGUACUUCCAGAGAAGAUGCCCCAUCUACCUAUGAGAUAGAUAAGGCACGUCAAGACGAUACCACACUCCGAUACUUAGAAGUUUCGUGAUUACGAGAUCAUUCUCCCACAAUAUUUCCUAAUGUCAUUUGUACUAAAUCAUUCACUUGUACUCACUAAAGGAGAGCUUGAACCUAUGUACUUGUGUAAACCCUUCACAAUUAAUGAGAACUCCUCUAUUCUGUGGACGUAGCCAAUCUGGGUGAACCACGUACAUCUUGUGUUUGCUUUCCUAUCUCUAUCCAUUUAUAUACUUAUCCACACUAAUGACCGGAGCAAUCUAGCGAAGAUCACAAAAAGCGAUCGUUUUCGCUACCUAGGAUCUAUCUUGCAAGAGAACGGAGAAUUAGAUGGAGAUCUCAACCAUAGAAUACAAGCUGGAUGGAUGAAGUGUAAGAGUGCAUCCGGCGUGUUGUGUGACCGUCGUAGGCCACUGAAGCUCAAGGGAAAAUUUUAUAGGACGGCAAUAAGGCCAGCGAUGUUGUAUGGCACAGAAUGUUGGGCGGUGAAACAUCAACACGUACACAAAAUGGGUGUAGCGGAGAUGAGGAUGCUUCGUGGGAGGUGUGGGCACACGAGAAAGGAUAAGAUUGGGAAUGAGGAUAUCCGAGGUAAAGUAGGAGUAGCCGAAAUUGAAGGAAAGAUGAGAGAAAAUCGGUUCCGGUGAUUUGGACAUGUGCAAAGAAGGCCUACUGACGCUCCGGUUCGAAGAUGUGACAUGACACAAAACCGAGCGCAAUGGCGUUCUAGGAUUCAUAUAGCCGACCCCACUUAGUGGGAAAAGGCUUUGUUGUUGUUGUUGGCGUAUUUAGAGAACAAUAGCGUAGGAAUGACAGUUUUCGGGUUCACAGAGGAUUGAAUGUGGCUUCACUCCAUUUUUGCAUUCCAAAUGGCUGUUCUGCUAUGGCUGCUAAACAAGAAGAUAUCAAGAUUUUGAUUUGAGGUCGUCAUAUAUUUUUGAGAUUAGGAUUCAGUCAAUCAGCAAUUACGUUGUUUGCUAGCUUAAUAAGCCUAAACACAUCACUACACCUUGUGUUGCUGGUGGAGAUGAGCCAAAUGUUAUAGCCGUAAAGAUUAAUUGUUAAUUAGUGUUAAUUGGAGAGUUUAAGGAAAAUGAAGAAAUACGAAAGGGAAAUUCGGAGAAAGGAAGCAUUCUAUUUGCAUAAUUGCUUUUUAAUACAUAUUUUGGAUGCACCAAAGGUAAUCAAACACUAAUUAAUUAUUUGAUCAUCACAGAACAUCUGUGUUUUAGCUGAUCCUUCCCCAUCUUAUUUAUAUCAUGCACUGCACGCACACCCUUCAGACACGAGGAAUUUUACACAUCAAAAUAGUAAUUAAAAACACAUUAGCCCAUAUCAAUUUAUGAACAGCAAUCUAGAAAAUUGUUAUCAACUAGCACUCAAAAACAGUCACCAUACACUUUUAUUUCUUUUACUAGGGACGAGUGCAAGAUGAUUUUUUUAAGUGUCAAUAGCAACUCAAAUAAUAAAAAAAAAUUGAGAGAGAGCUUACGAUCCACAAUCGAUUUUGGGGUCGAGAGGAACGGGAAGGGACACAUGGCAGAAAUCAGGAAGCUGCUUGAGUCUGUCAGGGUUGAUCGGCAUGCCAGCAGCUGCUUUCUUGAAGCAUUCACAUUGGUUCCUGCGACACUCUCUGGUGGUAGCCGCAGCCUAAACGGUUUGCACACCAACGCAACAUGUAAUCGGAGGAGUCCCGGGGCCAGACCCCGUCAAGUAUUCCUUACAUGGCAUCAAAUCCAUCAAGGCCUGUUGGCAUGUGAUGUCGGGAUUGGAAGGACUUGCAUGGUUCAGAACCAUAACCAUUGAUAGAGAUAGUGCACUUGAGAUGUUGACACUUGUCUAAAUCCUAGAUAGGCAGUUAGUUUAGUAGAAUCUAGUGAGUUGUAUAAAUACCUCAUUCAUGUAAUAACUUCUUAGUUAAGUAAUCAAUACAUGAGAAAUAGCUUGAGCUUUUCAUAUCUCUCUCUCUCUCUCUCUCUAAAUUCUCUCUGUGAUAUUGUUCUUACAAAUUCGUAGUAUAUACAUUAACAACCAUCAGCCCGAAAGGAUCACCAAUUUCAUCUCCAUUUUCUUUUGGAACACAAAAACAAGGCAAAUAUUUAGUUUGGAUAUGCAGAAGACUUGAAGAAUUGAGUGUGACUUGGAGCAUGAACUGCAUCCUCUUCUUAUAGGGGAGUCGCAGGCUGCUUUUUAGUGGCUCAUUUAACGUGUAUAGGUGCAGUCAAGAUUUUUUCUCCUCCUUAAAGAGUUACUUUUUUUCCUUAAACAGCUGGUUUUACUUAAAAGUGAAAACUAUGUCAGACCAAAAGAAAAACAGGUUCAAAACUAGGUAAAAACCACAGGCUUCAACUAAUGGAGGACAUUGCAAAUACCAUUAAUAACCUGUGUUUCUUUUAGUGUUUUGGAUUUUCAUAAUAUUAAUUUUGCUUCUUAUUUUUCCGCAUUUCUAACAAUUUAAAAUGCAAAGGAGCUCUUAGCUAGCUCUGUUGAGCAUUCAUUUUUGGAUCUGAAGUCUCAAACCCUAGAUAUAACUUGUGUAAAACAAUUCGAAAAAGGCAACACUAAAGCAAAAGUUGCACAAACAACUAAUAAAAAUCUCCACAAUGACCGAUAUCUAGCAAAAUCCGAAUGUAGAUGGAUAGUAUAAUUAUAAUUUAAUUCUUUAUUUUUUAAGUUUAAUUUUUGGGUUCAAAAGAUUUUUCAUGUAUAGAUUGUGAAGUUUGAAUUAGGGGGUAUUUUCGAAAAAUUCAUAUAAACAAAACAACAACUAGUUUUUCCAGUUGAGAAAGCGUUGUAUGAUCUGUGACAGCUGGUUUUUAAUUUUAUGAAGAAGAAACGUUUUCUUUGCUGCUAAAACGCUUUAUAGGCCAGAAAUAUAAAAAAACUGAUCAACUGUGCUAAAAGCAUGCUUGUAUUUCAAUAAAAUCCAAAGCUAAUUAACCCGUUGAGGAUUAAAACUCAGCUCUAAUCUUCUGCUCAAUGGAACUCGUGAGUUUCUUGUGUUUGUUUGCAUAACCACGUGUUUGGAGCCAGUGCAUGCAUUGUAUAUAUUGAAUCCAAUUCUCAGGAUGUAAUUAGUCGGCAAAGAAUUGUUGAAAUUUUGAUUUUUUGCUAACAAAGAAGAAAAACCAACUCGAACAAUCCCGGGUUCGUUUGUCUUCCUCCUUAAAAACCCUAGCUAGCUAACACCCAACUCAGAGUACGUACUACAUACGCAGGUCAAGUUUAUGAAUUGUGAGUUAUGACGGAUACUAUAUCAUUAUACAUAAGAUUACACUGACAAUAUUGAAUAUUAUUAAGAGUGUUUCCCUACGGAGAGUUGCUGGUGACCUAACUCUUUAUAAGCUCAGUAAAAUUUCAUAACUUAGUUUACGAUGUGAGACAACACUUCACAUUCUCAAACGCCUUGUCACAUGUACGUAUGAUGACACUCAAGCUAAAUACAUGAACAACAUUUAUUGGGCAAUGACAUAGAACAUGUGUUGUUGUUGGGCUUCAAAAAAUGACCAACAUACUAUGAUAUAUACCAUGAAUAAAGUUAAUAUUCUAUAUAUAUCUAGAGAAAUUUGGAGCAAUGGUCCUUAAAUUUUCGUCCAGUUAAAGCUUUGGUUCUUAAAUUAAUAAUUUAUGAGUAUUGAUUAAUCUUUGAACUAGUUAUAAUGUGGAGCAAUUAAUCAAAAGCUGGGUGGUGAAGGUGGGAAUUAAUUAAAGGCUUGGUGGAUAAUGUUGAUUAUGAUUGGCUGAUUUUCUGGAAAUGCAAAGACUUGAAUAUUUGAGUGUGGCUUGGACCGUGAAUUGCAUGCUCCUAUAAGAAAGUUGCAAGCAUUUUAGUAGCUCAUUUAAUUUGGAGUUAUGCAGUCAAGAUUUUUUCUCCUCCUUCUCAGAUUUGUUUUUACUUAAAUUAAAAACUGUCUGACCAAAAGAAAACUGUGUAAAACCACAGGCGCCAACUAAUGGAGGUGCUAAAAAAAAGUUGAGGUUCCACCAUAAAAUUACUUGACAAUAUAAGGAGUAGUUCAGUUACUUAUAAGUAAGUGUGGCUGCUGGGCAUCACACGCGGGACAACUGCUCUAAUAUUAUGAAGAAAGUUGAGGUUUCACUAUAAAAAAAAAUUGGCAAUAUGAUGAGGAGUAGCUAGCGCAGUUACUUAUAACCACAUACAAGGUCCCUCUUUUCCUCAAUUUGGGAUUGAUACUCUCAACAGGCGCAAAUAUUUUUACUAGGGUAAUGCUAUGAAGACCAACUUUUUAACCCAAAUUUUGUAAACUGUAUGACGUGAUUGUUGAUAAUUGGAUUAUUAUUUAACUGUUAAUUAACAUGCUUAUUUCAUAAUGCUAGAUACACUAACUUUUUAGACCACAUUUACAAACCAUGUGAGAUGUCAUUAAUAAAAAAUAAAUACGUUAAUCAACACUUAAGAAAAGACACAAGUUCCUCCCUAUAAGUAUACUCUCAUUUACCGCUCCCUCUUAUCCUUUGAUGAUGAUCGGUUGCAUUUAACCAUUUUUUAUCCCUUAAAUUAAUUAAUUAAAAUAAAAACUUGCGGUCUCGGGUUCGAAACCCGCUGCUGGUGUGGAAGCCAGACUUAUGGCCAAAGGGAGGCUGAAACACCUCUGUGAAUCUUCCCGGCCCCCUAAAGGAAUGGAUAACCGUGGCUUGCAACUAGUUGUCCCUUUUAAAAAAAAUAAUAAUAAGAAUAAUUAAUUAGAAGGAAACGUUUUACUUAUUUUGGUGUUGGGUUAGAGAUCUAAAGAAGCCAUGGAGAAUCAACAAACAAACUGCAAUGCUUCUGUCGUUAAGCAAGUUUUUGGUUUUUUUUUUUUUUUUUUCUUUUUUUUUUUUUUGCAAUUUCUGGUUAUUUGAUAUCUUGCUUUAGGAGUCCUUUUAAUAAAGCACAUAAUUAUUCUUAUUUUGUUCUUCUUUACUAUAUAAUAUUCAUGUUCAUAAACUAUAUUUGUUUCAUUUCCCCAGGAAACUUACAUAAAUAUAUAUAUUGAAAUGAAAAAACAACUAUGGAAUGGUUAGUGCUAUUCACAUACUCAUUUUUACUUCUCAUGCACUCUUGUUAAUUUUUGGCCUUGAAUAUUCUUCAAUUUAUUCGAUUUGACCACUGAAAAUUGAUAGAGGUAUAUGAGAAGUAAAAAUAAGUGUGUGGAUAGCACUUUCCGGGAUGAUAAUGUUUAACUUGUGUGAAAAUUCCGACAUUGAAGAGAAGAUGCGCACGAGGACGCGCAUAACCUUCACUCUCAUGGGAACCAUGGCAUAUGCUUGUUCUCUUGUUCUUGUUUGUUUUGUUUUUUAAAAGUUUCACCAAUAGGAGGUUUUUUAUGAAAAACUUGAACUUAUAGUAAGCUAGCAAACAAAUUAAUACACUCUUGGUCAAGAGUUUGAAAUGGUUUAGACGCUUAGAAAGCCUUGUAGCCAUCGGAUGGGCAAUAUUCUAAGGCACGUCCAUGUCCACAGCCUUUCUUGGUGCUCGAAAAUCCCGUACGGAAUAUUUUUUCUGAAAACAAGGAAUUGGAUAUCAAUCGGCCUCCUUCUUUAAGUUUCGUCAUCCCCUUCACUUGUUCUCGUUCUUCUUUAAGGACUUAUUUCUGCAAUAAUUUAUCCACCCAAUAUUAUGGCCGUAAGUCAUUUUCUGUUUUUAGUAUUGAAGUUCUUAGUGUAUAUCAUGCUUUUUUGAAUAUUAGAAUUUGACUUAUAGCCACUAAAUGUGUUUUUUCAAUUGUUGAAGAAACUGAUUAUGAUUUAUUUCAUAUAUAUAUAUAUAUUAUGAUUUUAGGGCAUAUAUACUCUCUGGGUUAUGAUUGGGACAUUAUUUCAUUUUCUUAAGGAAUAUCAAUGUUUUAUUGAUUAAUUCAUACCGUAAUGACGGGAUUUGAAACGAUAAAUGUAGAUGUUUGUCUUCGUUGAUUGGAGUCCUGCUCUCUAAGGUCCUCAUUUUGAGGAUCUGUCGUAAUGUCAUUUUUGUCUUCUGUCUUUAACCGUUAUGUCGUUGAUAUUUAAUCGAUAUGUUGUUUGAUAUUUAGUUUUUUUUUAGCUCAUCAAUUAAGUUUUUUAUCAUUUUAGUCAAGUUCCUUUUCUUCACGUGGGGAUAAUAUGAAAACUUACCUACAAUCGAAUUGUUAUUGUAUAUUAUUAGCUUUGUUGAAAACAAAGAAACCUUCUUAAUUAAAAAGAUUACUUUGUUGCAGAAAAAACCCCACGUCCCCAAAUUUGGCGACUGGGACAAUGAUUACAGUAUAUCAUACACUGCAUGUUUUGAGACCGCUAAAAAAAAUGGAGUGAAGGGAAAUCCAAAUGACCCCGAAGACAAUCCAGAGGCCUUAAAAGGCAUGUUCGAGUCCUCCGCCGCACAACCUCCUAACAGCGCCUCGAGUUCGAGCAGCAAGCCACGAACCUCAAGCGAAAAUGUACGCCAAACUGAGGGAGACACUAGCCACGGUGCGCUCCGGCCAAAUGGCGUUGUGCAUGAGCGUAGGGUUUCUGGAGGGAGCUUCAAGAGUUACAGAUCGGAGUCUGGUAGCGAAAGGAGCAACUCCGAUUAUUCUCUCUUGCAGCAACAACCGAGACACCGCCGUGCGAGGUCGGAAAGAAAGAGCAGAUUGGCUUCAUCAGGGAGUGGUCGCAGUCAUAGCAUUCGUAGUCAUAGCAUUUCCAAUUCUCCGAGCAAGCCUAAAAGUACUAACAGUAGUACUCAUCAGUCUAGUGAUCUUAGUCAACACGAUACUGUAAGUUAUCCUUCUUCAUGUUUCUGUCUAAUUAUAGCAUAUAUCUGAAUUCUCUGCCUUUUCUCCCUUCCUAUUUGAACGCUAAAGAUUAAACCACAUCAUCAUCUUAUUUUACCUUUACUGUAGAGAGAAAUAAGAAGAGGAAACUGAGAAAGGAGGGAAGGGAGGAGAGAUUUUUCAGUGUGCAGUAACACGGCUCGAUACAAGUGUCAUUAUACAAUUGGUUAGAAACCUAUGAAAAAAAAAUUCUAAACAAUUGUAGUAUGACACUUGGUUUACCGAGUCGGGGCACACUAAAAAAAAUUCAAUAGGGAAGGGAAAUAAUCCAACUCCUUAUAGCAUAAGGUUUAUUAAACAUAUUAACAAGGAAAAGAAAUGAAAGUGUAACAAUCCCAUUAACGUUAUAAUACGCGUAUAUCUAUUUAUUGAUAGUGUUCCUUAAUUCAUAAAACAACAAAUCUCAUAUCUACUCAUAUUAUAACACGUAAAGUGUGAUCGUCACACUAAAAAAUAUAUUUGAACAUAGAAUUCAUUGCUAAAGCGUGCAAAAUUUGUACUGUGACAGCAUACAAGAGUAUCUUCAAUACCCAAAUUUGGGGAUUGGGAUGAAAAGGAACCCAAAUCUGGUGAAGGUUUUACUUACAUAUUUGAAAAAGUGAAAGAAGAAAAGAAAAUUGCAUCAGCGUUCCCAGUUGUGCCUCAACAACCAAGCAACAAUCUCAACAGUGCGAACGAACGUGAAAAAUCUCCGUCCAAAUCAAAGGUAAUUUUGCGGCCAAACCGAGUUUUGUGAUUAUAUAUUCACGAUAUUGUAAAAUAUCUUCGACGAAUUACUUCUGAUACAUAACUUCUUGUGUUCUUGUGCAGAGAUGGUGCUGCAUCUUUUGAACCGAAAGACAGUGAGAUGGAUAGUAUUUCACAUGUUUAAUAUUUAUGUAAACAAAGGAUUUCUAGCAUUUUAUUUUGUUAAUGGAAGUAUAUUUGAAUUUUUUUUAAUAAACGAUAUUUUCUACGUUAAAGGAGUGGAGGAGUAUGUUAAGCCUCACAAUAGAUUAACCAUAAUAAUGUGGUUCAAAUUCGCUUUUUGGCGAUAAUCGAACAUAAUAUCUCUCAUUUAUAAGUAAAGAAGAUUUAAAUUCAGUUUGUUGACAUUGCUAUUCAAGUUCUUUAUUUUUGAAGUGAAAAUUACCUUUUGAAUUUGAAUAAAUUUUUCAGUGUACCGGUAACACGGCCCGGUACAUCAAUUGUCAUAAUAAAAGUAGUUCAUUUUUUUUUUCAAAUAUUUAACCAUUUAUAUUAACAUUUAAAUGUUGUUGAUGCACAAAAUUUGGAGGAUCUUAGACCAACGUAAAUCCGGUCGUGAAUCACACAAACGCACAAGAACACAAAGAUGUAUCGUGGUUCACCCCAAUAUUUGGGCUACGUCCACACUGAUGUUGAUUCAAUUUCACUGUAUAAAUGUAUGAAUUACAAUAGAUCAGCAAGGGUGCUCUCUGUGGAUGCAGCCCUUGCCAUUUUGCUCUCUGUUUAGCUGAGAGGGUAUUGCCCUCUAUUCUUGUGAGGAUGAAUGUGAGACUCUGUCCCUUAGUGAAGGUGAGACUCUCUAGUUCCUCUUAGUGAAGUUGAGGCCCCUUUUUAUAGAAUAAGGGUUUCCUCCCUUCUUACAUAAAUCAUGGGCUUAGGGAUGAGGCCCAAAGACAAGUCCCAAUAUAUGGUACCAACAAGAGUCCCCCAAGUCUUCAGUCAAGAAAGUCUUUUGGCUGGAGACUUCAAAUCCAAUCCAUGUACGGGGCAAAGUGACUAGAUGUCUUGAACCAAUAUUCAACACAAGGCAAUGCUUAACAUAAAGCAAUACUCAGUUAGAGGUAUCACACGUUGAGAGACUACUCGGCUGGAGGCGAUGCUCGUUGCGAGGCUGCUCAACUAGAGGCUAUGCUCCCGACGAGGCGGUUACUCGGCUGGAGGCGAUGCUCUUUGCGAGGCUGCUCGGCUAGAGGCUAUGUUCGCUGCGAGGCGGCUCGGCUCGUGGUGUUCCUCAUUGCAAGUAUGUACUUUAUGUCAGCGUGUACUCAAUAUGAGUUGAUUCUCGACAUGAUUUGGGUUCGCUUGUCAAGUUCGCAUAUUGGGUUCUUUUAAUCAGCAACAAUGUUGAUCAAUGGAUCUAGUUGCUCAAUAAUUCCUGACAAUAAAUGACAGUAUAAGUAUGACCGUAUAAUGAAUAAAUCAAAUUGACAAAGUUUGUCAAGGCAAAAUAUUGUACUAUGUGUCUUCUAUAAAUAAAUAAUUUAUUCAGUUGUGUGGUAAAUCACAUGUUGUAGAAGUGACAUAGUUUAAUGGCAAUCACAAUACUCUAGGCCAAUAAAUAUUGUAUAACAAAGUUUUACCCUACCACUUUAAAUAAUGAAGUCAUGAAUGAUUAAAGAUGCAAUAAUAAAAUAUUAAUUAAUAAAAUAAUUAUAAGGAAGAUUGCAGACAAGCGUUUGUAAAGCAUAUGCACAUUGUAAAGCAAUUUCAAACCGGGAAUGCACUACAUAGGUGUGAUAGAAAUGAUGUGACCUCAUUAUGCAUACUGUAAAGUAAGUGCUGUCACUUUCCAGUAAUGAUGUGAUGAUGUGGUUUCCAGUAAUAGGACCACCACAAAAUGAUAAUGAAAUAUUAAAUAGUAAAAUAAUUAAUGAAUUUGGAGAACAUUUAUCUCCUUUAUUGCUUUUCCUGUGACUUUUUCAGAAAAUGGGCAGGGACAUGCAUUCCCCUUCAUGAUUCCCCUUCAUGAUGAAAGUUUUAUCUUUCUCAGAAGUUGGCGGGCAUCUUCUGACGGCUUGGUGCUGCAGAGAGCACUGAGCUUUCUGGAAAGCAAGUUUCCAAGCAGUUUCAUCGUAGGCAUGAACAUGUAGAACACAGAUCUGGUCAGGGAGAGCUUCUUUGCUAGGAAGAGACUAGAUGUCACGGCCGGAUUUACGUGAUCAUCGAAACCCAAAUCAGAGGUGGUGGAGAUGGGGCCACGGCUACCAUCGGAGGAAGCCCUAAAGGAAGCGGAGGCGGAAGGAGAAGGCUUAGAAAGCCUACAAUCGGUGGAGGCUUUUGGGGCUAAAACCACAGGGGAAUCUCCAGGCUUCAUGACGAGAAAAUCAUGGAAGAUGGCGUGCUUCCUCCGCUGCUGCUCCUCUAGCUUCUGCUUUUGCGGCUGCUGCUUUUGCUGUUGGCUGCUGAGAGUUGUGGCAUUGCUGUUGGGGAUGCCUUGCCCGCAACCAUAGCAUUAGACGUCAUGGAGGUCUGUAUGCUACACUCAUAAUAAAUAACACCUAGAAGAAAGAGAGGGGGAGGAGAAGCCCCAAAUGGCGGAGGGCCAUUAUUCUCUGCAUGCGACCUGAAUCCUCAAUCCAGUACGGAAGAGUCCAAAAUCCAGCGAAUAAUGCAGAGGAAGACGGAGACGACCACUCCUCUGUAUCUGCGUACGUGCGUUUAUCGCUCUGUGCUAUUUGUAAUUGUAUGUUGAAAGCAAGGAGAGAGAAAGAGAGAGAAAUGUGGUAAUGAGUAUAGAGAGUGGGUUUUCGAAAGGAAUAAGCAACAAACAGCAAUGGGGAAGGUUUGUCCUGGUUCACGCGCUUGGCGGCCUGGAGGGCGACCACCAGAUCAGACACCCAUGAUUCUGUUGGAUCGGAAUUCGUGGAAGAAGUCGACGCAUCCAACGGUCCAAAUUCAUUGUCUUUAAACACCCCUAUCUCUUCGAACAAAUGCAUUAGCAAGGCGAUUCGCCGGACCAGAUCAGUGCAGUCAUUCUUAAACAUGCUGGUAACAUCGCCGCCGAACUUCCUUGCACCAACGACGUCGUUUAGUAAUUGCAGUAACUUCAAUGUACGGUCGAUGCCGCCGGCUAUUGCUCCAGGCAUUGGGUUCUUCUGUUUUCCAUUUGUCUAUGGGAUUCUUUGCGGGAAAGCGAAGGAAAGUUCGGGGUGUGGUUCAUAAGGAACACAACCCGCACCGUGCAGUUAGAGACUAUCGCGACGGGUGGCGCGUACAUGUGUGAGGGAUUGGCUGUUGGGUUUGGAAGUGACACGUUUGGAGGUUCCGGAUGUGUCUUGGGUGUCUUUGUGGCGAAUGAAAGUUGAUGUUUGGUGACGGGUGUUGUGGAGGUUCUUGGGUUUCUGUAGAUUCACGGUGGAGUGUGGUGAGGUGAAAAAAUGAAAGAGAACCGACAUAGCUGUUCGUGUUGUUUUCCACAGACGGCGCCAAAUGUUGAUGCACAAAAUCCGGAGAAUCUUGGACCAACGUAAAUCCGACCGUGAAUCACACAAACGCAUAAGAACACAAAGAUGUAUCGUGGUUCUGGUUGUUUAAUUAGAUGGUGAUGGUCGAAUUACCGGAAACGAAGCCACUAAGUUCUUCGCCAUGUCGAGGCUUUCUCGUGAAGAACUCAAGCAGGUUUUUCAUUCAUUUGUGAUAGCAGCCUAAUAAGCUUCUUUGUUUUAGGGAUUGUUUAUGUAUAAAUCACUUCUGCUCAUAAGUGCUUUUAGUAAAAAUACUGUGAAAAUUUUGUCAACUACUUAUUUGAAAGCACGUUACACUUGCUCAGAAGCACUUCUAAAUUUUGUGCCAGUCAUUGUCAAAAGUGAUUUUAGUUGUGAGAAAAUGCUUUUAUCUUUUCCGUAAGUAGUACUAAAACUAUAAUAUUCGACUAGGAAAGUACGAUUCUAUGGUUUUACCCUUUGGUCUAUAUGUGUUGGAAGUUAAUUUGAUUGUAUUUGGGAUUAGGGCAUAUGAUUGUUUGGAACUCACUUUUUGUUUUCUCAUUUAUCAUUCAAGGUUUGGGCGAUUGCUGACACGAAACGACAGGGAUUUGUAGGUUUUUCGGAGUUCGUUACUGCAAUGCAGGUUGUGCAUGAUUUUUGGGAUAUAUUUCCUUAUUAGUGUAUGUUGUAUUAGGCUAUUGAAAAUUGCCAUAGAAUCUUUCCCUCAUUUGUGGUUGAAUUUGAUAGAUGAUUUCUUUAGCACAAGACCAUGAAUCAACCCCCGACAUCCUCAAAACUACAGGCAAGAAAGUUUGUUUAAUAUCGUAUUUCCUGUUUUUGUAAAUGUGGAAGAAUCCAACAUAUACAUUUUAUCUAUGUCUCAUUCGAUUUGUUCCUCAAGUUCUUCAUGUUCAAUUGCAGUUGAUUGGGAAAACAAUAAACCUCCAGUUAUAGAAGGUUUGGAUGAUUUGGUAGCUGUGAGUAUCUUCCUUUUCCCUCCCUUUUGACUUUAUAACAUACAUUGUGACUUUCACUUAUUAUUUUCUCGAUUCUGUACUAACAGAAAACCAAGAGUUUAACAACAUAUGGAGUUGAAGUAAAUGGUUAGAAAAUCCAUCCAACUUUUUAAGGAAUAUACUUGUUAUAAUCUUGUACUGAAGUCUUCGUUGGAAAUGACCAUCAGUUCAGCGGUUUGGUUCAAAAUCAGCAAAGAAAGUAAGAUCAAUGUCCAUUGUGCCAUUGACUACUGCUGUAUUUUUAUACUUUUCGUUCGUUUUUUCAUGAGUUAAACAAUCUCAGUUUCUUUACUUAUUCGAUUGAAACAUUUUAUCUUUUUUGUCACCUAUAGAUCAACUUGUUUUUACAUAUUAAUGGAGGGAUGUCUCCUCUUUCCUUGUUGCCUGACUAUUUAAAACAUUUUUCUUCAGCUCCCUCUUAAUGCUGUGACAUCUAUUGUUGAUGGCUUGAAGAGAAUGUACAAUGAGAAACUAAAGCCCUUGGAACUUGCAUAUCGUUUCAACGAUUUUGCAUCUCCAUUGUUAGUGAGUGGAUUUCUAUAUGUUUGGAUGUAUAUCCUUCAAAGUGUGUCGGGGAAUCAAAUAUCCUUUUGCUCUUCUUUGCACUGUUUCGUUCAGAUACUACAUUUGCUAAACCUAUGGCUGAUUUAUUUCUUUGCAGACUGAUAGUGAUUUUGAUUCUAAACCCAUGGUCAUGCUUUUGGGUCAGUAUUCAACUGGGAAAACAACAUUUAUUAAACAUUUGUUACGAUGCAACUAUCCAGGUUGGUUAAGUUAUCGCUGAAAUUAUUAAUUGACAACCUCGGCGUUGAAGGAUUUAACAUUCGCUUGUUGGAACAGGAGCUCACAUUGGACCAGAACCUACUACAGAUGGAUUCGUUGUAGUGAUGGUAUAAUCGCUAAUCACCUGGUUUCCUUCCAAAAAGUUUAUCAAGUUUAUUUCUUUGUACUUUCUGACGUUUAUAUUGUAUGUUAAAUGUUUUUGGUAAUUCUAAUUGUUGAUCACAACACAUGGGAUGCACUUAUUCUUAAUCAUUGAAACCACAUUUAGCCAAAGGAUUAUGUCAUUAGGUUAAAAAUUAAGUACCCAAAAAAGUGAGACUGUCCUUGGAACUGGCCAUUAUAUGAACCUUCCUGCUUCCUCUUCUCCAAGUCUGUCUCAACCAUUUGAAUGAGCAGGCAACCUAGUGGUAAAAAUAAAGAUUAGCAUGCAUGCUGUAUUGAUGUGCCCAGAAAAUCCCCGGACAGAUUUAAGUCAAAUUGGAAAAUGAAAAAUAUACCUGAACAUUUCCAUGAGGAUCUCUUUCAAGCAUCAACUGCUCUUGGGAUUGCUUCAGGUAGAAAAUCAAAAAGCUCUAGAGAUUGGCUUGUAAGUUUCUUUUUCCACAGCCCAUCUUCAUCUAUAACUUCAUGGGCCAGAAUUUCAUUCAAUUCAGCAAUAAGCUGCUGCACCUGCAAACGGAAAGGUUAAAAACAUUAAUGUUAGUCAAUGCAGUUAUUUGAGUGUGCAUCUAUGUGUGAAACAGUAGAACACUUGCUUUCCAAGUAAACAAAGGAAUAUGAAGAAAGAAGGGUUUAAAGUUGUUAUAUUAAGGAUCAAGGAUAAUACCUCAGGAAUGAAAUCAAUUAGACCCUCAGGGAUAAGUAUAACACCAUAGUUAUAACCCAGGUCAGCACGCUUCAAGAUUACAUUCACAAUGUGGUCAGUGACAUUUUUCAGUGUCAGCUUCUUUGCAGCAACCUGAAGAAAGAUAUAUGUCAGAUGUAUUCGGCAAAUGGAUAUCUUUUGGCUGCACCAAUAGAUUACUUUGCACCAUAUUACUUUUUAGAAAGUAAGUGUCAAUCAAGUUGUGAGAGAGACACCAAUGCUUAUUGCGUUAAUAUUCCCACAACACCAAUUUAAUAAAUAAAAAAGCAAUAUAAGCAAUUUGAAUAUGAAGAACAAUAUAACUGACCUCUUCUCCAAUAAUUGUAAUGUUUGGAUGAGUUUGCAAAGCACAUUCUAAAGUAAUGUGUGAAGCCGCACGCCGCAUAAGUCUUACAACUGAAGACAGAUGCGCCAAAUUAUAUUUUAUACCGCAAACAUAAGCUUGAAAAAUUUAAGUAUGUAUCUAGUAGAAAUUUGAUUUACUAACAACGAUAAUAUUUUCCAGUUGACCGGGCAUUUGUCAUCACAUUGCCAAUCAUUUCUGCAUAUAUCUGCAUAAAGUUUUUAACAGCCUAUUACAAUUAUGCUGAAACAGUGAAUUUAGCUAAAUGUAUCAAAUAAGGUGUCUAAAUGCUCAUUGAACUCCUGUGAUUAGGAGGAAUUUACACAUGAUACUUUAGAUACAGGAAUUAAAGGUGCUUUCAUGUUUGUGAUGGGAAGAUGAAAAUUAAUUACAAUACAACAUGGAUCUGUACAAUUUGAGUUAUUAAUUAACAUUAAAAAGCCAAAAGAAACAAAGAAAAAAAGUUAUAGUCACCUUGAAGCAGUGUCCAAUCCAAAACUUAUGGGGACCUCUUUGCAUUUCAAGUCACUGUCAAUGGUUUUGGGGCAACCUAUCACACGAGUUUUCAAGUUCUUCCCCCUGGUUUAACAGAUACAACAACAACAACAACAACAAAGCCUUUUCCCACUAAGUGGGGUCGGCUAUAUGAAUCCUAGAACGCCAUUGCGCUCGGUUUUGUGUCAUGUCCUCCGUUAGAUCCAAGUACUCUAAGUCUUUUCUUAGAGUCUCUUCCAAAGUUUUCCUAGGUCUUCCUCUACCCCUUCGGCCCUGAACCUCUGUCCAGUAGUGACAUCUUCGAACCGGAGCGUCAGUAGGCCUUCUUUGCACAUGUCCAAAUCACCGGAACCGAUUUUCUCUCAUCUUUCCUUCAAUUUCGGCUACUCCUACUUUACCUCGGAUAUCCUCAUUCCCAAUCUUAUCCUUUCUCGUGUGCCCACACAUCCCACGAAUCAUCCUCAUCUCCGCCACACCCAUUUUUUGUACGUGUUGAUGCUUCACCGCCCAACAUUCUGUGCCAUACAACAUCGCUGGCCUUAUUGCCGUCCUAUAAAAUUUUCCCUUGAGCUUCAGUGACCUAUGACGGUCACACAACACGCCGGAUGCACUAUUACACUUCAUCCAUCCAGCUUGUAUUUUAUAGUUGAGAUCUCCAUCUAAUUCUCCGUUCUCUUGCAAGAUAGAUCUUAGGUAGCGAAAGCGGUCGCUUUUUGUGAUCUUCGCUAGAUUGCUCCGGUCAUUAGUAUGGAUAAGUAUAUAAAGGGAUAGAGAUAGGAAAGCGAACACAAGAUGUACGUGGUUCACCCAGAUUGGCUACGUCCACGGAAUAGAGGAGUUCUCAUUAAUUGUGAAGGGUUUACACAAGUACAUAGGUUCAAGCUCUCCUUUAGUGAGUACAAGUGAAUGAUUUAGUACAAAUGACAUUAGGAAAUAUUGUGGGAGAAUGAUCUCGUAAUCACGAAACUUCUAAGUAUCGGAGUGUGGUAUCGUCUUGACGUGCCUUAUCUAUCUCAUAGGUAGAUGGGGCAUCUUCUCUGGAAGUACUUUUCCUCCAUCCAGGGGUGGUAUCUUUAACUGGUGGAGAUGCACAAGGUAAUGUAUCAAUUUCACUUGAAGCUUACUUGUAGUUUCAGGCUUGGUCAAGCGCGAUACAAACCAUGUAGUAGGAGUCCCCCAAGUCGCCGAGCUAGGGGAUCUGCUGAAAGAGGUGACAGACAAGGUAAGCAAUCAUAGCUCCGGCUGAUUGUUCACAGUCUCCCUAUCUUGCAGGCAGCAUGAAGGAUAAAGAGAAGAAAAUGAGAAGAGAUGAUAUGAGAUACUUUUGCUUUUGAAGAAGUAACUUUCCACAGGCUUAUUCUUGAACUGAGCUGGAGGGUUUUCUGGUUUCCUCCAGAGUAUAAGGCCGACUGAAGAAUUUGAGGGUCAAAACAAGUCCAUCAAAUCUAGAGUACGUCCAACCCUGCUGAUAUGGGAUACUUUUGCUUUGAUAGAGUAAUGGAUGUAUCGGCAUGUGUGCUGUUACGCUUGUCUCCACAUGCUUCCUUGUAUCCUUCUCCCUUGCCCUAUCUGUUCCUCAGGCGGAUGCGGUAUCUUCCCUGGAAGCAUAAGAUGUUGAAGAUGAGUACUCGAGAGCAAUGUCAGGUAAGUAAUCAGGUAAGGGGUUCCAGGCAGUCAGUUCCUGGCUGGAAGCUUGAUUCCAAGUACUGACUGAUUGCUCUCUUUCUCCUUGUCUUGCAGGUAAGAACAAGGUCAAAGGAAAAGACAGGGAAAAGCAUGAUAUGGGAUACUCUUGCUUUUAACCCUGAUGAUAUGAGAUAUUCUUGCUCUAGUAUAGCUUGUUUGCAGAGGUAUUAUCGGGGGGAAAGAAAGCUGAAUAUUUCGAAAGGCUUCGUUGGGAGUGCCCUCUCAGAUAUGAGGAAGGGUUAAGCAUUUUUGCAGGUCUGCCUGUCCGUUGGGGACGGAGGUCGACAUAUAUAGGAGUCUCCUUAACAACAAGUAGUAAUGCUAUUCCUUUACCCUACUUGGUCAUAGCACGGUAGUGGGAGCUGUCAGCUUCACAUGUUUUAACGCUGUCAGAGCACUUUGAAAAAUUGGUUUGUGGUAUCUGGAAAGCUGAUGUUGCGUGUGAAGAUUACAGACAGCUUUAUCCAAGGAGAUCCGACUUUUGAAGUUGGGAAAGUGUUGCCUCUUCGGUUUUCGAACAAGCAAUCCUAUCGGGGAUCUGGCUCUCGAGAUUCGGAGAACGAUGCCUCUUCGAUUUUUGAGAAAGCAAUCAUGCUGGGGGUCUGGCUCUCGAGAUUCGGAGAGCGGUGUCUCUUCGAUUUUUGAGAAAGUAAUCAUGUUGGGAGUCUGGCUCUCGAGAUUCGGAGGGCGGUGCCUCUUCGAUUUUGGAGCAAGCAAUCUUGUUGGGAGUGUUUUCUCGAAUGUGAGUAAAGGUUGGGCAUGUUUGCUAGUCUACCUUGCCACGAAGCACAAAGGUUGACACACAGGGACUUUCCAAUUAUCUAGCAAUGGUACUGUUCCUUUACCCUCUUCGAUUUUUGAGAAAGUAGUCAUGUUGGGAGUCUGGCUCUCGAGAUUCGGAGGACGGUGCCUCUUCGAUUUUUGGAGCAAGCAAUCUUGUUGGGAGUGUUUUCUCGAAUGUGAUUAAAGGUUGGGCAUGUUUGCUAGUCUACCUUGCCACGAAGCACAGAGGUUGACACACAGGGACUUUCCAAUUAUCCAGCAGUGGUACUGUUCCUUUACCCUUGUGGGUAAUAAUAUGGUAGCUAGACCUUCAAAAUUUAUGUGUCUAAACUUUGUUAGUGUUGUUUCUUUGCUAUUCUUUUACCCUUCUUGGUCAGAGCGAUGUAGUGGGAGCUACAAGCUUCACGUGUUCAACUUUGGCAGAGAACUUUGGCAAAGUUAUCUGUGGUACCCAUGAGCUACUGUUGCGUGUGGGAAGUGGGUGAUUGAACAGUAAGACUCAUGUGCUUUCUACUUCACCAGAAGUCUUCGACCGAAUGCCCAUAAUUUCCGCAAAGCUGAGUGUGCGUGUGACAGGUGCUGACAAGGCUGGAACAGUAGGUGCCUCUUCGAUUUCUGAGAUCGGCCCUCGUGGUCUCUGAGCAGCCCAGCUUUUGAGAAAGCACGCGCCUCUUCGGUUUCUGAGAUCGGCCUUCGUGGUCUUUGCGCAGCCCAGCUUUUGAGAAAGCAAACGCCUCUUCGAUUUCUGAGAUCGACCCUCGUGGUAUCUGAGCAGCCUUGCUUUUGAGAAAGCAAACGCCUCUUCGAUUUCUGAGCAGGCGCCUCUUCGAUUUCUUAAGCUCCGUCGAGUGCAGAUUUUUAUAGGGGCUGGCAUUAAGUUCCAAAGCACACUUGAAUCUCCACCAGUAGAAGCUCCAUUCUUGCACUUCUAAGAUCUUGAUUUGUCCGACCUCUUCUCUCUUCAACAACUUUGAAAAUGUCUAGCCCCUCCGACCGUCGUUUUGACUUGAACCUUGUUGAAGAGGCAGCCCCGCCUUCUCCUGACAACAUAUGGCGUCCAUCCUUCGUCUCCCCUACUGGUCCUCUUACCGUUGGGGAUUCCGUGAUGAAGAAUGAUAUGACCGCUGCGGUGGUGGCCAGGAACCUUCUCACUCCCAAAGAUAACAGACUACUUUCCAAACGGUCUGAUGAGUAGAUGUUAAGGAUUCUCUGGCUCUCAGUGUUCAGUGUGCAGGUUCUGUGUCUAAUAUGGCCCAACGCCUAUUUGCUCGAACCCGCCAAGUUGAAUCAUUGGCGGCUGAAGUGAUGAGUCUCAAACAGGAGAUUAGAGGGCUCAAGCAUGAGAAUAAACAGUUGCACCGGCUCGCACAUGACUAUGCUACAAACAUGAAGAGGAAGCUUGACCAGAUGAAGGAAUCUGAUGGUCAGGUUUUACUUGAUCAUCAGAGAUUUGUGGGUUUAUUCCAAAGGCAUUUAUUGCCUUCGUCUUCUGGGGCUAUACCGCGUAAUGAAGCUCCAAAUGAUCAACCUCUGAUGCCUCCUCCUUCUAGGGUUCUGUCCAGUACUGAGGCUCCGAAUGAUCCCCCCUCCGGUGCCUUCUCUUUCUGGGGCUCUACCGACUGCUGAGACUUCUCCUAAGCAACCUUUGUGAAGGCUCCCUCUUGUUUGUUUAUUUUGACUUAUGUAUAUGUACAUAUUUGUAGCUUAUCGGGGAUAUCAAUAAAUAAGCUUUCCUUCAUUUCAACGUAUUGUGUUAAAUACACCAAAGCCUUCUUCGCUAAGUUCUUUGAAUUUUCUUUUGUUGAAGCUUUGUGAGUGGAGCAUGUAGGUUGAGGUAGUGUUCCCUUAAUUUCCUGAGUGAGGAAAACUUCUCGGUUGGAGACUUGGAAAAUCCAAGUCACUGAGUGGGAUCGGCUAUAUGAAUCUUAGAACGCCAUUGUACUCGGUCCUGUGUCAUGUCCUUCGUUAGAUCCAAGUACUCUAAGUCUUUUCUUAGAGUCUCUUCCAAAGUUUUCCUAGGUCUUCCUCUACCCUUUCGGCCCUGAACCUCUGUCCCAUAGUCGCAUCUUCUAAUCGGAACGUCAGUAGGCCUUCUUUGCACAUGUCCAAACCACCGUAACCGAUUUUCUCUCAUCUUUCCUUCAAUUUCGGCUACUCCUACUUUACCCCGGAUAUCCUCAUUCCUAAUCUUAUCCUUUCUCGUGUGCCCACACAUCCAACGAAGCAUCCUCAUCUCCGCUACACCCAUUUUGUGUACGUGUUGAUGCUUCACCGCCCAACAUUCUGUGCCAUACAACAUCGCCGGCCUUAUUGCCGUCCUAUAAAAUUUUCCCUUGAGCUUCAGUGGCAUACGGCGGAUCACACAACACGCCGGAUGCACUCUUCCACUUCAUCCAUCCAGCUUGUAUAUUCUAUGGUUGAGAUCUCCAUCUAAUUCUCCGUUCUUUUGCAAGAUAGAUCCUAGGUAACGAAAACGGUCGCUCUUUGGUAUUUCUUGAUCUCCGAUCAUCACCCCUAACUCGUUUUGACCUCCAUUUGCACUGAACUUGCACUCCAUAUAUUCUGUCUUUGAUCGGCUUAGUCGAAGACCUUUAGAUUCCAACUCUUCUCUCCAAAGGUUAAGCUUUGCAUUUACCCCUUCCUGAGUUUCAUCUAUCAACACUAUAUCGUCUGCGAAAAGCAUACACCAAGGAAUAUCAUCUCUUGAAUAUGUCCUGUUAACUCAUCCAUUACCAACGCAAAAAGGUAAGGACUUAAGGAUGAGCCUUGAUGUAAUCCUACAGUUAUGGGAAAGCUUUCAGUUUGUCCUUCAUGAGUUCUUACGGCAGUCUUUGCUCCUUCAUACAUAUCCUUUAUAACUUGGAUAUAUGCUAUUCGUACUCCUUUCUUCUCUAAAAUCCUCCAAAGAAUGUCUCUUGGGACCCUAUCAUACGCUUUCUCCAAAUCUAUAAAGACCAUGUGUAAAUCCUUUUUCCCAUCUCUAUAUCUUUCCAUCAAUCUUUGUAAGAGAUAGAUUGCCUCCAUGGUUGAGCGCCCUGGCAUGAACCCGAAUUGGUUGUCUGAAACCCGUGUCUCUUGCCUCAAUCUAUGCUCAAUGACUCUCUCCCAGAGCUUCAUUGUAUGACUCAUUAGCUUAAUACCCCUAUAGUUCACGCAAUUUUGUACGUCGCCCUUAUUCUUGUAGAUAGGCACCAAAGUGCUCGUUCGCCACUCAUUUGGCAUCUUCUUCGUUUUCAAAAUCCUAUUGAAAAGGUCAGUGAGCCAUGUUAUACCUGUCUCUCCCAAAACUUUCCACACUUCGAUUGGUAUAUCGUCUGGGCCUAUUGCUUUUCUAUGCUUCAUCUUUUUCAAAGCUACAACCACUUCUUCCUUCCGGAUUCGACGAUAAAAAGAGUAGUUUCUACACUCUUCUGAGUUACUCAACUCCCCCAAAGAAGCACUCCUUUCAUGUCCUUCAUUGAAAAGAUUAUGAAAAUAACCUCUCCAUCUGUCUUUAACCGCGUUCUCUGUAGCAAGAACCUUUCCAUCCUCAUCCUUGAUGCACCUCACUUGGUUUAGGUCCCUUGUCUUCUUUUCCCUUGCUCUAGCUAGUUUAUAGAUAUCCAACUCUCCUUCUUUGGUAUCUAGUCGUUUAUACAUAUCGUCGUAAGCCGCUAACUUAGCUUCUCUCACAGCUUUCUUCGCCUCUUGCUUCGCCUUUCUAUACCUUUCACCAUUUUCAUCAGUCCUAUCCUUGUAUAAGGCUUUACAACAUUCCUUCUUAGCCUUCACCUUUUUUGUACCUCCUCAUUCCACCACCAAGAUUCCUUUUGGUGUGGGGCAAAGCCCUUGGACUCUCCUAAUACCUCUUUUGCUACUUUUCGGAUACAACUAGCCAUGGAAUCCCACAUUUGGCUAGCUUCCCCAUCUCUAUCCCACACACACUGGGUGAUUACUUUCUCUUUGAAAAUGGCUUGUUUUUCUUCUUUUAGAUUCCACCAUCUAGUCCUUGGACACUUCCAAGUCUUGUUCUUUUGUCUCACUCUUUUGAUAUGUACAUCCAUCACCAACAAGCGAUGUUGAUUAGCCACGCUCUCUCCUGGUAUAACUUUGCAAUCCUUACAAGUUAUACGAUCCCCUUUCCUCAUUAGAAGAAAAUCUAUUUGUGUUUUUGACGACCCACUCUUGUAGGUGAUCACAUGUUCUUCUCUCUUCUUAAAGAAGGUGUUGGCUAAGAAGAGAUCAUAUGCCAUUGCAAAAUCCAAGAUAGCUUCCCCAUCCUCGUUUCUCUCCCCAAAACCAUGGCCACCAUGAAAACCUCCAUAGUUGCCUGUCUCCCUGCCCACGUGUCCAUUUAAAUCUCCUCCUAUAAAUAACUUCUCCGUCUGAGCAAUUCCUUGCACCAAGUCUCCAAGGUCUUCCCAAAAUUUCUCCUUCGAACUCGUAUCCAACCCUACUUGAGGUGCGUACGCACUAAUCACAUUGAUAAGUUCUUGUCCUAUUACAAUCUUGAUUGCCAUGAUUCUAUCUCCUACCCUCUUGACAUCUACAACAUCUUGUGUCAAGGUCUUGUCCACGAUGAUGCCAACACCGUUUCUCGUUCUAUUUGUGCCCGAAUACCAAAGUUUAACCCUGAGUUUUCUAGAUCCUUUGCCUUACUACCAACCCACUUAGUUUCUUGUAGGCACAUAAUAUUUAUCCUUCUCCUCACCAUAACUUCCACUACUUCCAUAGACUUUCCCGUUAAGGUUCCUAUAUUCCACGUUCCUAAACGCAUUUUGCUCUCUUGAACUCUACCCUUCUGUCCUAGCUUCUUCACCCUCCCCCGUCUAAUAGGAUCAAAGUACUCCUGGUUUAACAGAUAAAGAAAAAAAUUACAAAACAGGAGAAACAAUUAUAUCAAAACAAAAUGUAACCUACUCUCAUAAUUGCAUCAAAAGGCACCACGUUUGGAAUGGCAAGUAAAAUCAUUCCAAAGAACUUCGUCACAACAAACCUGAAGUUUUCAGCAAGGAGGCAGGCAUUUGUGUUUGAGUCAUCUCCACCGAUAACAACAAGCCCAUCCAAAUCAAGCUUCACGGCUGUUUCUUGUGCUUGUUUAAACUAUAAUACAUAUCCAUUUAAAAUGGUUAGUUGGUUAGAUAAACAUACUUAACAUGAAUAUCCAUUUAAAAUGGUUAGUUGGUUAGAUAAACAUACUUAACCUGAAUAUCUUCACAAAGGAAACAAGAGCCACCUGCUCUGGAGAUUCAAUCUUGUCCCUUCCACUGCAAAUCAUAUCGAAACCACCCUGAUAAGACGAAAAUACAAGCAACACGUCAAUUAUUUUCUAGCCAAAACGAACUUACACGUAAAACAGAUGCAUAUAUGUAGCUAUGUAUGUGCUGUAUAUAUUGCUUUCAAGAAUUUAAACAUAGACACGCACAUAUCCCUGUGCCAAAUAAUCGAUCCUUACAACAAUUAACUUGAGGUAAAGGCUUCACACAAGGUAAAAAUUCACAUUCAAAACACUCACGUGAUUCUGUAUGUAUAAAUAUACACGGGGGUAAGUUAGAUGUAUUUGUUUUUCAUGAUCCCAGCAGGCCCGCCACUAAAUUAAUCUAACACCAAAACACCAAAACACGGAUCGAAUUCAACCAAAAUUCGAAAAGAAAAACGAAGUUUACGAAACAUAUAACAAAUUGAUACUUAAGACCCUCACCGAAAAUUCCAGAAAUCACAUUGUGUCCUCCGGGCGCUUGGCCUCCAGAUAAAACGACACCGAUCUUCAGCUUCUGCUCCGGUAGACCCGAAUCGGAAUCUCAGUAACCUUAACUGUUUGAUCCUUUAUGCUUGGGGGUGGGGGGUAUCGAACUUGGGUGGGGGGUAUCGAGGUGGGAGUUUCUUUGGCUCUAGUGCCACUGCACUCGGCCCCCAUCCUCAGUAACCUUAACUGUUUGAUCCUUUAUGCUUUUCCAUCCAACAUUCUUUGUUACUUAAUUAAGCAUAUAGCAAAGGUGGAUGAAAUCUACCAAGAAGGGAUUAAUAGGCUAAUUUUAAAUAGUUUAGAGGGUUAAUUUAUUAAAAAAAUAGUUCAAGUAAUUAAUUUCAACUGGAGUAAUAGUUCAAUGACUCAAAUGACAGUUUACCUUAAAAAUAAUGAUGCAUAACUCAUACUUGUUUUUGGGUCAAGUAUAUAACUCAUACUGUCCAUUAGGCAAAUGAGAUAUAUAUCGUUUUAUUAAUACGAUGUUAGUUGAACAAUGUUAGACUCUAGGACUAAGACAUUUUUUUUCCUCUUUCAUUAUACAGUUACGUAAUGGAAUGAUACCAUAAGCGGUGUUUAAAUCAUCAUUCAAAUAAUAAGGUAGGUCCAAAUCCUUCUUUGAAUAAUCCUGGUAGUUAUCUAGAAGGAUUUGGUUGUCCAAAUUUUGUAGGACAAUUUACCCUUUUAAAUUUUUCCUAUUCCCUUGACAUUUUUGGCUUCGCCAUUGUCUGCAUCUAGGUUGGAGUCUCCUCUCCGUAAUUUAGAUUACUAGAUCAAAUUCAAACGUCUUACGAAUCAAAAAAUAUAUAUUAUAUUAUUAUUUGUGAGACAUGUGUUGCACAGUUGGUGAAAAGAGUACAAUUGGAAACUAAUAAGCUAAGCAACGGUAGAUGUUUGUAUGGAUAAAGAGCUUAUAGCUAAGGAACAAUAAGUUAUAUCCACAAAUCCCAUUUUACUUCUCACACUUUUCUAAUUUUCAACCAUCAGAUCAAAUAAAUUGAAGAAGAUCAACGGACAUAAAUUAGUAAGAGAAGUGUGAGAAGUAAAAUGAGGUGUGUGGAUAGCACACCCCAAGUUAGUAACCUUAAGUGUUCGAUCCUUUAUGCUUUAUUAUCCACCAUUUUUUGUUACUCAAUUAAGCAUAUAACAGAGGUAGAUGUUUGUACAGAUAAAGCAGAUCCAGCUAGAAAUCAUUUUAAGCUUUUAUUAUUUCAAAGCAGAUAGCAAAGACGCUGCUUGCAGACAAUCUCCAGGACAUGAGAUGUAAUUUUCUACAAUGAAUGAAUAUUAUAAAACUGAAUAUUAAUUUCUUGACAAAUAAAAAAAAUGCUAUAUAUAUGUAUUGUAGCGAGGCAUGUGUUGCACGCUUUGUGAAAAGAAUCUACAGUUAAUCAACUAAGCAAAGGUAGAUGCUUGUAUGGAUAAAGCACGUACAGCUAAGAAACAGUAAGUGAACUUAACUCUUCGAUCCUUUAUGCUUUAUUAUUUAACACUCUUUGUUACUUAAUUAAGAAAAGCAUAUAGCAGCUAGCCUAUAAAUCAAAGCCACAACCGCCGCAUUACAUUCCCCAAGCUAUCUAGUACACUAGAAAUGGAGCACUGGGAAACGCUAACGGAUAGGCCGGUGGAGGAGGAUGAGGUAGCGAGAGAGGUUAGCUUAAUUCACAUUGAAGAAUUGAAAGAUCCCUAUGAAUAUGUCAUGACGGAGAACUGGGAAGGCGUGCAGGAUUUCUUCGAGAAGAAUCCGGAACAUCUGCUCUCUAAAAUUACAAUGGACGGAGGCACUGUAUUCCACCUUGCGGCUUCUUGCAGCAGCAAAUCACAACGCAAAAAUCUCAAAAUGGUUAUCGAUAUACUCCGCAGGAAUCCAUCCGACGGUGACGUGAGAAGAGCUCUGACGAAGAAAAAUAAUGCCGGAAACAAUACUCUCCAUGAGGUGAGUAUGACCGGCAACAAGGAAGCGGCAAUGUACUUGGUGAGCAUUGCUGAUAAAGAGAAAUGUGCACUGGAGCUGCUGGAGACUCGGAACUCUUCAGGAGAAACUUCGCUCUUCAAGGCGGCUGCUUACGGUUUCACUGACUUGGUCAAGUUUUAUGUUGGCAAACUGGAGAAUUAUGAUCGGGACAACCUUUGGAAGCACUUCCACAGAAGUGACAAAACGUCCAUUCUUCAUAUCGCAGUCGUUGCGCAACAUUUCGGUCUCUCUCUUUCUCAGAAAAAAUGCACACAAUUAUAUGCAAUGCAGAUUAAUAACUUUUGCUCUUUUGUCUUCCACAAUGCAGAGACCGCUCUUUGGUUAGUGGAGAACAACCCAUAUCUAGGGCCCCUAAAGAACAAUAAAGGAUUGACAAGCCUUCAGUUGCUAGCCCAAAUGCCAACUGCCUUUGAUCCACAUUUUGAAAAAUGCAAAUGGAAGAUGCUAAUUUAUUAUUGUACGUGCCAUUACCUUAAUUACAUGCUUACAUGCUAUAUAUACACAGGUGCAAGCAUGGAUUUUUAUUUAUUUUUAAUGAAGCAGUAAUCUCAUACUUAAUGUUGUUAUAUAUAUAUGCAGGCCUUCCUGUUGGAGGAGAUGUGGUCACACCAAAUCAGAAUAUGAAGGAUAAGGAUGAUGUGGAGAGCAAUAGGAAGGAUGAUGUGGAGAGCAAUAUGAAGGAUGAUGUGGAGAGCAAUAGGAAGGAUGAUGUGGAGAGCAAUAGGAAGCAUAAGGAUAAGGAUGAUGUGGAGAGCAAUAUGAAGGAUGAUGUGGAGAGCAAUAGGAAGGAUGAUGUGGAGAGCAAUAUGAAGGAUGAUGUGGAGAGCAAUAGGAAGGAUGAUGUGGAGAGCAAUAGGAAGCAUAGGGAUGAUAUGGAGAAGCAUAAGGAUGAUAUGGAUGAUAUGGAGAAGCAUAAGGAUGAUGUGGAGAGCAAUAGGAAGGAUGAUGUGGAGAGCAGCAUGGAGAGCAACCAGCCGCACCGCCAAUCCAUCUUUCGGAACAAGCUUGCAGGUAACCUAAUUAAUUAAUCAAAUAAAGUACACAGUUAGCUAGCUAAACGCUCCUUUAUUCGGCAUUUUUUCCAAUGCUGAUGAAGCUGCACGCAUAAAAAUGUUUUGCAGGCUUUGUGAAGGUUUACAUUUCACUACGGGACUCCCUUGCUAAAAGUUUGCUUACGUUCUGGCUUUUUUUCGGUACAUUUUUAUCUAGAUGAACACUUGUUAAAACUCUAAAAAAAUCCUUAUGCACUCAUUUCUUAUAAUUUUACACAAGAAGAUAAAGAGUGCAUGAUAAUUUAUUUGGAGCGCCCAUGUGACCUUCCUAAUUAUAACACGUUAAUUAAUUUUACAUAUGUUUGAUCAUGUGAUGAAUAGAAAUAGGAGGCCUGAUAUGGGAGGACAAGAAAAAUAAAAAAGCACUAGAUAAACUCAUCCCACUGCUCGCCAAGUGGGACAAAUCUUGGUGUACUAUAGAUGCUGCAGGCGAAGAUAGCACUUCUAUGCUGUCAGAGAAAAAAGGUUAUGAUAACGGAGGCGAAAAAAGAAAGGCGGCCGUAUCGGAUGAGACAAAUGGUGAUGAUGGAGGUGGAAAAGAAAAGGAUGCAGCCAAAUCGGAAAAACUUAAUAAAGAUGGUGAUGACGGAGGAAAAAAAGGACAGGCGGCCGCAUCGGAUAAGACAAAUGGUGAUGAUGGAGGUGGAAAAAAAGAGGAAUUAGCCAAAUCGAAAGAGGAGGCGAGGAAUUCUAGCGCAUUGCUUAUGGCAACUAUCAAUGGAAUUCUACCCAUUGUGAAGGAGAUAGUUGGCCAGCAUCCUCAGGCAAUCGAGCAUGUUAACUAUAACAUACGCAACGUUUUGCAUCUGGCCAUUAAGUACCGUCGGAAAGAGAUCCUUAAUCAUAUCCAAAGCUUACCACAUGUGAUGCCGAAGCUGAGUAAGAGGAUAGACAAAUAUGGAAACACCAUAUUGCACCAGGCUGCAGAUAGGAGUUACUACUCCAUAUCAUUGUCUCAGAAAUUAAUAGGCCCUGCCAUGCAAUUGCAGGAUGAGCAGCACUGGAUGCUGGUAAUGUUCUCUUGCUAGAUUUAUGUUCUUACACAAAUAUUUAUAUUACCAAUUAAGUCUACUGAUCUUUUAAAAUACUUGUAUUGUCAGGAAAAUACUUAUGUUACAAAUUAAGUUAAUUUGUUCACUUGGUGAAAGACUUAUGUUAUCAGACAACACUAUUAAUGUGUGGACGUGUGCAUGUGUCAGCGUGUACAAGAGAUGAUACCGCCUCAUUACACUCUUCACCACAACAACAAGGAUCAGACAGCGGAGGAGCUGUUCAACCAAGAGCAUGACAAACUUCUGGAGGAAGCACAAAAAUGGGUAAAAGAAACGGCUCAGUCAUGCUCAACCGUGGCGGUGCUAGUGGCCACUGUGGUCUUUGCAGCCGCCUAUGCCAUUCCUGGGGGUUUUAACGACCAAAGCGGCCGUCCUAUUUUCCAGGACAAUCCUCUCUUUUUGCUCUUCACCUGCAUGGACGUUGUGGCCAUUUCCUGCUCACUAUCUUCUGUGGCAUUCUUUCUCUCUGUCCUCUCCUCCCCUCUCGAGUACCCACUUUUCGUUAACAGCAUUCCUCGCAAGGUCAUGGCAGGAUUCAUCUUGCUCUUCUUGUCCAUGGCAACCACCAUGCUCGCCUUUGCUGCCACCAUUUUGCUCGUGAUUCGCGUCAAGAAGAAAUGGACCAUGUCUAUACUUUACCCUAUUGCCUUUUUCCCCGUCCCUCUAUUCGCCUUGCUUCAGUUUCCUAUGUAUCAAUCCUUCAUGGUCAUGCUUAAGACAAUUAAUGCUUGGGUUUUCAAGGUUUUCAAACCGUUAUUGGCCUUUCUCCGCUUUCAUGGCUCUAGGCGGAUCAAAUAACCUAAACUUUUCGUCACAACACAAUAUGUGGUGCACAUUCACAAUCUUGCAAUUUAAGUAUUUAUUUGUUGUUAUCAUUUGAAUAUUUCGGAUUUUUCUUGUUUUCUCCCCUAUUUUCACAAUGUUAUUAUGUCUUCAUUCACAAGUAUGGGUAAUAAGUGAAAAAUAAAGGCUUGUCACAAAUUGUAUGCCAAAGAUUAUCUCUUGCAUGCUUGUAUUGGUUUGUAAUCAUCAUUUGUGUUUAUAUGUCAUCCUUAAGUGUAGUGGUGGAUUGCUUUAGUGGAUUGAAUUUUUUCUUCAACUUAAGUUCAAAUCCUGCCCUAUGCUCUUUGUGUAAAUUAAAGUAAUAAUAUCACUUGUAAUAAAAUGAAGAAAUAGAAAAUAAAUCAUGUUUAAGCGUAACCAAGUUGAUUAGAUUAAUCUGCUUCUCUUCUACACCUCGCAUCCUCCUUAGUGACUUAGAAGGAGAAAAAUACUUUUCUUAGUAGAAAAGGAGAAAAAUAUUUACAAUAAUGAGUGCAUAGUUGCUCGCCCAAUAAAUUGAGGUUGAUGCUCACCCUUCAUUGAUUAUCGUUAGAAUAAUUGAUUAAUUGAUUUAAGCUGCGAAUCUCAAGUUUAAACUAGUUUAAUGAUAAUCAAUGAAGGCAGAGGUGAGUGAAAAGACAAGGUGAGGCGUGGCCUGGGAUAGGCCUGCAGGGUGGCAUAGUAUAUAUUAAUUAAGCAGCAUAGUGUACAUCAUUCACACUCAAAACACUCACCUGAUUUCUGUGUGGAUAAAUAUACUCGGGGGUAAGUUCGAUGUAUUUGUUUUUCAUGAUCCCAGCAGGCCCGCCCCUAAAACCAUACAUUGUGCUUCCUUUGGCGCGGUCUUGCAAGUAAUCUAACACCAAAACACGGAUCGAAUUCAACCAAAAUUCGAAAAGAAAAACAAAGUUUACGAAACAUAUAACAAAUUGAUAAUUAAGACCCUCACCGAAAAUUCCAGAAAUCACAUUGUGUCCUCCGGGCGCUUGACCUCCAGAUAAAACGACACCGAUCUUCAGCUUCUGCUCCGGUAGACCCGAAUCGGAAUCGCUUAGCGCGUGCAGAUGGCUGACCGAAAACAUUAGGAAACAACUUCACGAUCUCCUCUGAGGAACCGAAACGAGAGACGAUCAAAUACGGAAUAGAAAAUCCCAAAACGCACAUAUUCUACAGCAUGAUCGCUAAAUCUGGUCGACUAAACUUGAACUUCAAAAUUUCUCCGAUAUCAAACGCUAGAAAAACGCAUGGAUCCUAGCACAAAGCGGAAGAAGAAGAAGAAGCUGACCUGGAUUGCCGGCGGCGGAGCUAGCUGGACCAUCGACGACCUUGAAGGGAUUUCUGAGCACGGAAGGGAGAGGAAGUGCAUGGUCGAUACGACUGACCUGGACCUCGCUGUAGACGGAGGCGAAUCGGCCGGUGACAGGUGCCGGAACUGACUCAACACCGGCAGCACCGCCGUUAGCAACCAGUGAUGGUGGAGCCAUUAAAAACUAACACGCACAGACAGUGUCUCCGAUAUCUUCGAGUUUUUAGGUGCGACUGCGAACGGAGCGUGAAAUCUAUCGAAUCGCGUUUGACUCCCGACAGUGAGCGUGUGGGUGUUUAAACGAGGAGUUGAGAAGGGUGGGAACGUCAUUUCAGGUCAUUGGACUCUCCGCCGCAGAGCGGAAUGUUAGGCCAUCUCCAACCGAGGGCUGGCUAGAUGGUUCGUUUUAGCUCUCUGACCCUUCAAAAUUCUCUAAGAUAUUAAUAUUUUAAUGAAUAGUACAUGACCAUAUUUGUCUCCGUCUCCAACCGAGGGACAAAGGGCCAGAGGGCUCAUUUUAGUCCUAUCACAAAAAACCGUCUCCAAUCGAGGGUCAUAGGGCCAAACAUAAUUUAUUAUUUAAAUUUAAAAACUACAACAACUUAAAUUUAAAAACAACAACAACCUAAAUUAAAAAAACUACAACUUAUAUUUAAAAACUAGAACUUAAAUUUAAAACGAUAAAUUAAAUUUAAAAACUACAAAUUAAUGGUGUAGGAAUGGUUAAUGAAUAGUUUAAGUAUUUAUAGGAAAAAAAAAUAGAAUUUUAAGAAUUUAAAACAAAAAAAAAUUGGCCCAAAAAACCAAAAAAAAAAAGAAGAAUCCAACGGCUAGCUGACUAGCCGUUGCAUUUGAAUUUGAAUUUAAGCAUUCCUGUUGGUUAUAACCGACAAGAAUACAUUUGUAUUAUUUAGUAUAAAUGUAUUUAUGUCGGUUAUAACCGAUAGGAAUAACAAAACAAUAAAAAAAAAUGACCAACCCUCUCCGAUUCCGUGGGGUCCUCCCAGAUUCCAAAGCCCUCUGGCCUAGACCCUCGGUUGGAGACUGUUUUCGGGCUAUUUUUGGCCCUCUGAUCCUUUGGACCCUUCAGUUAGAGAUGGCCUUAGGUGGCCCAUUGGAUGCAAGGGUGUUUCUGGAAUUGGACGGACGAGAUUUGGCGAUGAGGUGGUGUAUGGUCUGUUAUGGUGGUCUAGACGGCAGCGGAUGUUGGUGGAAGGGUUUUGCGUAGGUAGACACCUAACCUGGUGGGCGCCAGAAAUCUAGACGCGAUUUGGCAUAUUCCGGAAUCCCGGAUCUUUCGUUUGCGUUCGAAACAAGGUUGUUUGUUUGGUGACAAGAUUUGAUUGGCAAUUGGGUAUCAAGCUAUUAGGCCCAAUUGUUUGGGCCAACAUUUGAGUUUCCAAAUUAUAGGCCCAAUUCAAAACCCAAAAUUAGUGGUUCGAGUCAUAAUUUUGUGUUCCCUCAAUACAAGUAAACCUGACAAUUCCUGACACGACCUGAUAACCUGACACGACACGACAUGAAAUUAACAGGUGUUCGGGUCGACACGAUAACGAAUCGGGUUGUUAUCGGGUAACCCAAUAAGCAUCUGUUAAGAUAAUGGGUUAGUUCGGGUAUACACGUGGAUAACACGAUACACGAUAAGCAUAAUAUUAAUUUUAUAAAUUUAUAACCCUAAAAAAAUACUAUAAUAAUUAUAUAUAUAUAUAUAUAUUAAUUUAACAAUUGUAUACCCAUAAAAACUAUAAUAAUUAUAUAUAUAUAUAUAUAUAUAUAUUAAAUUAACUAUAAUAAUUAUAAUAAUUAUAUAUACUAUAAUAAUUGGACUUGGAUCCUCUCCUGAGCUAAUGGAGAGGAUCCUCCUGACCACUAAUCAUGGACCGUUGGAUUUUUAUCCAACGGCUACAAACAGGGGGGUCCCUUUAAAGUUAUAAUAAUUAUAGCCGUUGGAUAAAAAUCCAACGACCCAUGAUUAGUGGUCAGGAGGAUCCUCUCCAUUAGCUCAGGAGAAGAUCCAAAUCCAUAAUAAUUAUACCCCCAAAAUAUUAACUAUAAUAAUUAUAUAUAUAUAUAUAUAUUAAAUUUUAAAUUAAAUUUUAUACCCCUAAAAACUAUAAUAAUUAAUAUGCAUCCGCCCUUUGAAGAAAAAGGGAGGGAAAAAGUUUUCCAAAAAAAAAAAGGGAGGGAAAAAAGAAAAUUAUAAGAAAAGGAAACAAAAAAAAGAGGUAAAGAUGGGUGUAGUGGUAUUUUGCUUGCUACUAGUAUGGUGGGUUUUUCCACCGUGGUCUCUCAAGUGUGCACUGGUUAGGAUAAGAUCCGACAACUGUGUUAUUGACACGCGUACGUCAUUUACCUCCCUCUCUCUUUUUUUCUUGAGAAAUUUUUCAUUGUAACGGGAACACAAAUAGUACACCAUGUGUUUUAACAAAAGUGGUGAGAAAUUUCAUUUUUUAAGUUAUUAACUUUUUAUCACAAAUGACACGUGAUGUACUACUCCAUGUACCGGUCAAUUAUAUGUACAAAAUAAAUAGAUUUAAAUCUACUUAAUAAAAUAUAAAAUAUAUAUAUAUAUAUAUAUAUAGUUAUAGUUAUAGUUAUAUACCAUUGAACUAGAUGGGAUACGAAUUAUACGAAACUAAUUUCAACGAUCCAACUGUCAAACUUGUUUGUAUAUGCUUCGAUAUUGCAUUAGCAAAAAAUCGCAAAAAACAAACAUUCAGAGAUCCAGUAACGGGACAAAACAUUUCGACAAUUAUAAAUGAAAAUCACGAUUUAACGAUUAUUUUAACUCCGAUUUUGAUGAUUUUUUACAGCUACACUCCUUGACCCUAUAUGAAUACAAUGAAUGAAUUCGAUCUUCAAUUUAAAAUAUUUACACUAGUGGGUACCACAAAAUAUUAUGUUAUACUUAAUGAAAGUAUAAAUAAACUCUAAGUGUUAGUGAAUCUAUCGUUUUGAUGGGAUACGAUUCCUACGAAACUAAUUUCAACAAUCCAAACCGUCAAACUUGUUUGUAUAUGCUUCGAGAUCGCAUACGCUAAAAAUCGUAAAAAACAAACAUUCAGAGAUCAAGUAACGGGACAAAACUUUUCGACGGUUAUAAACGAAAAAUCACGAUUUAACGGUUAUGUUAACUCCGAUUUUGAUGAUUUUUUACAGCUACACUCCUUGAUCCUAUAUGAAUACAAUGAAUGAAUUCGAUCUUCAAUUUAUAAUAUUUACACUAGUGGAUACCAUAAAAUCUUAUGUUAUACUUAAUGAAAGUAUAAAUAAACUCCCCGUGUUAGUGAAUCUAUCGUUUUGAUGAGAUACGCAUCCUACGAAAUUAAUUUCAACGAUCCAAACCGUCAAACUUGUUUGUAUAUGCUUUGAUAUCACAUACGCCAAAAAACGCAAAAAACAAACAUUCAGAUAUCAAGUAACGAGACAAAACUUUUCGACGGUUAUAAACGAAAAAUCAUGAUUUAACGGUUAUUUUAACUCCGAUUUUGAUGAUUUUUUACAAUGACACUCCUUGACCCUAUAUGAAUACAAUGAAUGAACUCGAUCUUCAAUUUAAAAUAUUUACACUAAUGGAUACCACAAAAUCUUAUGUUAUAUGAAAAGUGUUAGUGAAUUUAUAUAUUAAAUUAAAUUUAAAAAAUUGGUGACCAUUGGAUUGACUGAGAUUUAAUCUCAGCUGUCCAUUAGGCAUUAGGUUGGACUUUGGAUCCUCUUCUCUUCUCAGACAAACUUCUCGAAUCUCUGCCACUCAGCUUUGCAUCUCCUUCGCCUUCGCAAGUCGCAAUCUUCCUCCUCAUCCUCUUCCAUGUAGCGGCCCUUUCUGUGAACUUCAGCUCUGCAUCUCCGUUCAAGGUUUGAUUUGUAUUUUGUAGUGCCUGAUUGUGAUUGUGUGUAACAGCUGUAGCCUCUCGGCCUCACUCUGUGAACUUCGCAACCUUCUUCCUCACCCUCUUUCAAGCAUGAAUGUCCUUAGAUUUAUUGUAUGUUAGGGGAUAUUGUCACGCCCCGAUCCCGACAUACGUCCAGGAUCGACACGUGACGUCACCAAAUACUCAUAUAUCUCACACACCCUGUCUCCGAGACAUGGCAAAUCACAAUUCGAGAAUCAAAUUGCAAAAUAAUUUUCGUUUACUUUAUGGCUGCAUCCAACCUCCUCAUUAGACUGCCUACGUACCCUCAAUAAGGAUCAAGCCAUUCGUAGUUCACUAAUCACAAAAUCAGAUGUUUAUUCCAUUAAGUUUAAGCAAAAAAACAUAGCAUUCCUCAAUCAUUUAUUAUAACUUGACAACAUGUAAUUCUUGGACUCAGGCUACAUAAUCAAUUCCCAUGAAAAACAUGAUUUCUCUCCCAUCCAACAUAUAAAUCAUUAUGUCUCAUCAUGAUAUCGCAAUUCAUAACACAUCAUAUUUAAGAGCUAACGAAACACAAAACCAUUCUCUAGCCUCAUUAAUUAAUUAAUUUGAUCAAAGUAAUAACAAUCAUUCCCAUAUCUUCUAAAUUGAUACUUUAUGAAAUUAUAAUCGAAUCAUAGAAAAUCUCAAAAGAGUCACUCAGUUGUCCAACAUCUUUUCUAACUCAAUUCACAAGAUUCUCGAAACCAUUGACACAAAUAUAUAUAUAUAGAACUAAGGCUAGAGUGACACAGUUAGGCCAAGCCUACUUCUCCAAAUAAUGGGAUUUUAGGCUAUUCCACGAAAUUCAACAACCUCGGGUUCCGGACCACUCAACGAAACCAAACCAAAUAUGAUCGCCUAUAAAAUGUACCAAGUACAACCAAUCAUCAUCACCUUUAAAAUGCGUAUGGUCCCCCAUCGUGGAUAUACCAAGCAGAACCAUAGGCAUAAUCUCAUUGUGCAGGCAGUGAUCACCUAUCACGGAUAUACCAAGCAUGAUCACCCCUGAAUACAUAUGGUCCCCCAUCGCGGAUAUACCAAGCAGGACCACAUCCUAGCUCUAGGUAGUGACCACCCAUCGCGGAUAAACCAAGCAGGGUCAAGAUAACCAAGUAGGUAGUGACCCCCCAACGUAGAUUAACCAAGCAGAGUCACACCUACAAAAUUGUUAGGCAGUGAUCACCCAAUGGGGAUUAACCAAGCAUGAUCACCCCUAAGUAUAAAUGGCCAUAAGGAUCGCCCAACGUAGAUUAACCAAGCAUGAUCCAUAAAUAGUAUGGUCCCCCCAACGCGGAUUAACCAAGCAGGACCAUCCAUGUACCACGGCUACAUGGUGCAGUUAGAUCAACACACAAACCACUUACCCUUAUCACAUCCGUUAUGAUUUACAUCGUAAUCACUUGUACUAUCAACUUCUCAUGACCACUAUCUUAUCAUACAAGCAUAAAAGUUCUACAUAAACUUCUCAUAAGAUUUUGGGUUCACAUCGUCAUAAAAACAAUCUUACACAUCAUACAUAUCUAACCACAUUUCAUAAACAUUUGAUAAACAAAUAUAUCUUAAUAUGAUGCCACUAAUACAUAUAUCGAGGCACACGUCAAUUUGGAAUGACGCGUCAUCGUGAUGAGCCAACUAGCUCCAUCAAGCCUCAAUAACAUACUAGAGGUAAGCGACACUCAAGAGUAGAGCACGUUGAUUAGAACGUCAACUGUCGAUAAGGUACGUCCAUUAAGGUCAACCACCUAAGGUUAUUCAAUCCAGAAGAUCCGCACAUCGGAUUUCCGAUCUGUAAGUUCUCAAAGGUCCAACAACUGAUAAUUAGGGUGUUCACAAAAUUGUACGACGAACCAACGAUCGGAUUGUCAUCAAUCACACAAACAAGUGGCGGUCCAAUUUGAUCCCCACACCAAACAAUUGAAUUUCGGGAAACCGAGCCAGACAUAGAUUUAUAGGGUCACUAGAAGGUAUUUGGUACUUAGACAAUACUCGUGGACGGUCCCACGCACCGCCACACGCGGGGUAGUCAAGGUGGAGGGUUUAGUAACCCUGAAUUUUCAACAUUAACUAAAUGAGCUCAAAUUUAUGUGGUAACUAGAGUUCAACAAGGGAAACAUUUUUCACAACUAGUCCAACAACAAAUUCUAACCGGAAACUGCCCAAAUUCACUGGGAAAACCGGAUUUCUAGGGUUCUACACACCCAACUAUAAAAUGAAUACGAAAUCACAAACUAAGCAUACCAACUUAAAGAUUAUGAAGAGUAGAUGAAGUUUCAUACGUCACUCGAAGGAAAUGGUUGCCGGAAUCAUCGGAAAUAUGAUAAAACCGCCGAAAAAGUCGUGGACUUUGUGGCUUCAAACUGCAAAUAUGGAAAAGAAACUGGGAAAUCUAAUACAACAGAGAUGUAGGGCUCGUCAAGAGCUUUCCAUGGACACUAAGAUCACCCAAAACGGAGCUCGGAUGAAGGAGAUACAAGUGAUUCAAGUUUGUGGGUUAAUGAGUCGAAAACGUCCCAAAAAGGGGUCAAAAUCAGACCCCCUCCUUCUUUUCCCCCUUUUUUUUUCUUCCCUUUUUCAGAAACCUUCGCCCCCCCCCCCCCCCCCCCCGGGGCUUUUAAUUUGAUUGGUCAAUCUCCUUCUAGCUAAUUGGUCCUCUUAUUUUUGCUUAAAUCUGAUUAAGCUUCUUCUUUGUGGAAGUUUAAUCGAUUUAAAAUCUAUAGUUUAGUAAAACAACUUCAAAUGUCCGUAAUUAUACCGUUAUAAUCCGGACUCGCAAACAGCUUUCGCAUAUACGUUCACGGUUUUGAGAUCUAUUCGAAAAUGCUACGUGUGACCUCGAAAGGUCAACGAGUAAAUAAUAAUUUUCCAAACUUCACUAUUCAUAGCUAGUUUAAUUGAAAUCCAAAUUCAAAUAAAUUAAUAUACAUUCUCGAAAAAUAAUAUAAAAUCUCAAUAAUACAAAUACGUAGAUUAUAACAGUGAAAUCCAGGAACGAGAUUUCACAGAUAUGCUGCAGCAGCUUCCAUUAAUCCAUUUAACUUAAUUAAAAUUAACAAUUUAACACCAACCCAUUUCUUCUUCGUAUCAAAAAAUGACAUGGGAAUCAUCGUCGUACUAUGAACUCACCUCCAUUGCCAUGGCUGACUCGCUUCCCAGCUCGGUUUUUCUGAUAAGCUUCCAAAAAAAAAAAAAAAAAAAAAACUGUUUAUUAUGGGGUGUAGGAUUGUCGUUUUAAUAUUAUAUAUGUGCAUAACUCUUGUAGUCAUUAUUAUAAAGAUUAAUACAAUGACGCCUCAGAUUUAUUGUGGUGAAUUUAUAUUGAAUUGAACAAAUAUUACAUAAAUUUCUCUUAUUGUAGUCACUUUCCUGCUACUAUAAAAUGAACAAAUAUUACAUGAAUUUCUCUUAUUGCAGCACAUAUGCAUGAAUCAAAGUAGUUAAAUGAUUACAAUUUAGCAUGGGGGAUUAGGUAGCUAGAUUUAACCUGCACCAAGAGCAUGUGUAUAUAAUAAAUCAACGAUGUUAGGUCAAGAAGCACCGGAUCACACAAAUUAAUUAAUUAGUAGUUUAAUUAUAUGGAUAUGUGAAAUUGAAGUUGAAAUGGAUAUGGUAUGAAGUUGAAAUUGAAGGCAAUAGAUCAAGCCAAAGUUCCAAUACAAUUUCUCCAUGAUGAUUGAUGAAAAUUGAGGAUUUUGUAAAAUGAAUAACAUGCAAACUUUGAGUUCCAUUGACAGGGUUUAAACUUUUGAGAAAGCCUUCACAACUUUGAAAACAAAAACUCUUUCAUUUUGCAUAUCCUUGCACAUUUAAUAUUUUCUAAUAGACUAAUAGUGUAUGGAUGUAUUUUUUUAGGCUCUUAUUUUUUAGUGUAGAUGUAGUACUUAAACGACAAAUGUAUUUUAAUGUUUUGAAGUAAUAUUUAUGUGGCAAUGUGUGGUAUGUGCAAAUUUAAGAAGAUUUUUUUUUCUUAACGGGUCAUAACGGGUCGGGUUACUUUACUCGUUGGGUAAAGUGACCCGACCUGUUAAUGACUCGUUAAGAUAACAGGUGUGACACGACACGACCUGUUAAGAUAACAGGUGUUACACGAAAACGACACGAACACGACAGACACGACCCGUUUGCCAGGCUUAAAUACAAGCGCGCUAAAUGAGAAUCGAGCUAGUUUUCUACAUCCCUUGUGAAUAAGGCAUUUCUUUCAUCUUACUGUGUCUCGGAUUGAAAUAUUAUCCCCACUAUUCAGUGUAAAGUAAAAAAUUGUUUGUAAUCAGAACUAGAUGGUUUUUCAAGUGGAGUUGAAUUCGCUCUCCUCCUAAUUCUCCUUCCUCUCAUCUCCUUCUAUUUGAACGGUCUAGAAGUUCAUACGAAGAAAAACAAACAAAAUUUAGAAAAAUCGAACGAAUUAACAAGUUAAACUACGAGCCCCUUCAUCGAGUUAGCGACUUUAGCUACAUGAUGAAGAAAAGCAAUAGUUAAAGCUUUGUGUGCAGAGAAAAACACUAUUAAUCUAUUAAGCACAAAGCUCUUUAUUUGUUUGACGACUUAAGCCAACAUAUCACUUUAAUCUCAGGCUGCUAUGCUUUUCUUUUUGCUUUAUUAGUUACUAAUGAUGAUUAUCGCAACGCCAUCGACUCGUUUUAACAACUUGAUUGCCAGUAAAUGAUGUUUUUCUACAUAUGGAUUAAAGAUGAUCAUCCAUAUGAAUCCAAACAAUGUGUUAACGAAGUAAUUUAAUAUAAUUUCGUCUGCGUGAUUGGAUAGGGCAACAUGAAGAACUGAACAAGUCAUUAAUUUAGAUGAAUGGAAUCUCUCCACUUCCUCUUGUCAUCUAAAACUUAAAAAGAGACUCUAGCAAAAGCACUUUUUUGUACCUAAACCAUAUAAGUACUUUAAUCUAUUAACACUAAGAUCAAUAUUGCAAAAGAAGAAAUGAAAAUUAUCAUAAGAAGAAGAAAAAGAUAGCUUGUAUUUCUCAGUAAAAGCAAUCGCAAUACAAGAGAGGGAAAAUCCCUUUUUAUACAUUCUGUUUGCAAUCGCUUAGCUUAUCCUAUGUGGAAAUGUACUGGACUUGAAGAUCUCAUUUUUGAACUCUUUCUCGAAUGAAAUGAAAAUCGGUUUCCAACUGUUUAAUCCUGGAAUGUUGAAUUGGAUUGAGACUUAAGGCAAUAACGGACUGAUUAUCACAAUGUAAAAGAGGGGGCUGAUGUAAAACCACACCCAUAUCCUUCAAUAUCAACCGAAUCCAACAAAUAUCAGCUGCUGCAUGGGCUAAAUCCUUGUAUUCAGCCUCAGUAGAACUACGAGAAACCGAGUUCUACCUUUUGGAUUGCCAGGAAACAGGAUUAUCACCAAGACAAAUCACAUAACCAGUAAUGGAUCUGCGGGUAUUGACAUCAGUUGCCCAGUUGGAGUCACUAUAAGCUCUAACUUCUACCCCAGUACCAGGAGAAAAAUUCAAACCACAUUUCAGAGUACCAUGAAGAAACUUGAUAAUUCGUUUGACCAAACUGAAAUGUAUAUCAGUUGGAGAAUUCAUAAACUGACACACGGUAUUGACAGCAAAAGCAAUAUCAAGCCGUGUAAAGGUCAAAUAUUGCAAAACGCUAACUAGACUCCUAUAUAAAGUAGGAUCAGGUAAUAAUUCACCUUCAUGAGUAAGAACUGACUGAUGUGGCACAUAAGGUGUAGAACACAGCUUCCAAUUAUCCAUCCAUGCCUUACAAAUCAAAUCCUUGAUAUACUUCUCUUGGUUUACAAAAAUUCCUCCAGAUGGCUUAUGGUGAAUUUGUAAACCUAAGAACUAAGUUAAUUGCCCCAUGUCCUUGAGAUCAAACACAGCAGCAAGAUCAUCAAUGACAGAUUGAACAUAAACAUUCUUAGAUCUUGUGAUGAUAAUAUCAUCAACAUAGAGUAAAAGAAUGAUCACCUAUGUCUGGAUUGUCUUGACAAACAAGCCAAAGUCUAAAAAAGAAGCCUUGAAUCCAAGCACAGCCAAGCACAGCCAAAUAACUUGUAAACUUGUAAUUCCAAGCCCGUGGUGCUUGUUUAAGACCAUACAAUGACUUGACAAGUUUACAAACAUGCUUAGGAUAUUGAAAACUCAUAAAUCCUUGAGGUUGCUUCAUAUAUACCUCAUCAUGUAAUUUGCCAUGCAGAAAUGCAUUCUUAACAUCAAAUUGUCGAAGAGACCACUUGUUCGUAGCUGCCAAAGCUAAAAUAACACGAACAGUGGUAUGGCGUACUACGAGACUAAAUGUCUCUGUGUAAUCCAACUUUUUUUCUUGACUGAAACCCUAUGCAACCAACCUAGCUUUAUGUCUAGAGAUAGAAUGUCACGCCCCGAUCCCGAGAUACUCCCGAAAUUGACACAUGACGUCAUCGAGUAUCCGUAUAUCUAACAUACCCCGCUUCCGGGAUACGUUCAAAACACAACUCAAGAUCCAAAUACGUAAUAAUUUUUUGUAUACUUUAUGGAUGCAUCUAACCUCCUUGUUAGACUGUCUACGUACCCUAAAUACGGAUCAAGCCAUUCGUAGUUUGUUAUUCACUACACUCGAAUAUACAUCACAUAAAUUACUGUGUCUCAACAAUGUACCACAAUGCAUAUCACGCAAUAUUUUAAAGAACGAACAACGAAGCACAAUCAUAUUCUCUAGCCAUAUCGAUCAACAAGUCUAAUCAUAAUGCCAACAUCAUUCCAUAACCACAUCAUUAAUGACACAUACAAUACACCAAAAUGCAAGGCUAGAGCGACACAGUUCGGCCGAAGUCUACAUCUCUGAAAAAUAGGAUUUCAGACCACUCAACGAAAUCCAACAACAUCAAGUUCCGAACCACUUAACGGAACCAAAAUACUAAACGGGAUUCCGGACCACUCAACGGAAUCCAAACUAGGAUACAAUUUCGGAACACUCAACGGAAUCACGAAGUAGAAGGGAUUCUAGACCUCUCAACGGAAUCCGAGUGGAUACGAUUCUGGACCAUUCAACAGAAUCAUGGAGUACAAUGGAUAUCGAACCACUCAAUGAAAUCCAAGUUGGAUACGAUUCCGGACUACUUAACGAAAUUGCGGAUCACGAGGGAUUCCGAACCACUCAACGGAAUCCAAACGGAGCAGGGAACCAUACCACUCAACGGAACCCCAACGGAAACCCAGUUAUGAAUAACUUAACGGAACCAAGCGGAGGGCCAACGAACAUAACAACAGCUCAAAGAAACAAAACAUGAAUCAAAGUACUCAAUUUACAAGGCUCAACAAAAUGAAGCAAAGCACAAGUGCUAAUUUUAGAACGGUUAUCGAAGCAAGAAAUGAAACAAUGAAAUGGAAUAUGAAACAAGUUUCGAAGCAACAAACCCCAUGACUAUAGGUUAUCAGUCCACUAUUAGCCUUCACAUUUCAUCACACCAAAUCAAUUAUGCAAUUCAAACCACAUUUCAAAUAUGCAGUUCAAUCACAUUUCACAAAUAUCAUCAGUGCACAAGUCAUGUCACGUUUAAUAAACAUAGGUCUAUGGCUAAAUAUAUAUUAAUCACAUAACAUUCGAAAUCACAUUUAUAAAACAAUCAUAAUCACAAUUGAUAUUAAUAUAAGAAAUUAAGGUAAUAGCUAUAUCACAUAUAUUCAAGUCACUCUCUAACCAAUGUAGACCCAAUAGACUUCACUUUGUCUCCCAUAGUACUAAUUUUAGUAUUUAGAACGUUUCAAGACAUGUUGACGAAAAGUCAACUCUCGGUCAACGGUAGAGUUUGUAAUCCUACAUAAUUUGAUCUGGAAGAUCCACACAACGGAUUUCGGAUCGUAACCUCCUGACAUCCUCAUUAUUCUCAUAGAACAACAUAUUAAAAUCUCAUCACGAUCUGAUGGUCGGAUCUCCACCAAUCACAAUUUCUAGUGGUGGUCGACAUUUUAUUUUACAAUCUUACAAAUCCAAUUCGGGAAGAUAUGUAUGUCAGAUUCCUGAUCUAUAAGUUCCUAUUUUCCUCAAAUAUUACUUACUAUUAUGUAUUAAAGUUUGGUGCCGAUCGAACGGUCGGAUCAUUGAUUCAUAUAAUAAUCAAGUGAUGUACUUUAAUCAAACUAGGUUCACAAUAAUAAAAUCACAUUAUAUGGAUAUCAAAUCUGAGAUCAAGAUAUCGAUUUAGCAUAAAAUAUAAUCGGCGGCCCACUGGCAACGCGCCACCUUGACUCGCCGGAAAAUUCAACUAUUUCUAAAAAUUACCAAAUUUUACAGAAAUGAAGAUCUUAACAAGUAGAGCAAGUUUCAUACCUGUGACCAAGGCCAGUUUGGCCGGGAGAGGCUCCAAUUUCAAACCCGUCGGAAACCCUAGAAAGGGUGAGCUUCAAUUCUCUUUCCUUGAUGUUCCGCCACCCCUACAACUGAUUGGGCUUUGUUCCAGGGAUCCAAGGGAGUCUAAUGGUGGUGGAUAUCGAAGGAAUUUCAUUCAAAAUUGGCGUAUUAUCACCAAGCACCUCAUGGUGCCGUCAUCACCGUACACCCCAAAAUAGGCCUAAUCCCGUCAAAUAUUUGAUAAUCAAUGAAGGAGAAGAAGUAGGAUGGUGUUUGCAGGUGAUGACGAGGUGUGGAUCGCCGGAAAACUGAUGAAAAAUGGUUGGAAAAUCACGCGGGUUUGAUAGGGAAUGCGGGUCAACCCGUUUCCCCCUUUUCUUCCUCUCAUUUCCCCUCAUUUCCCUCAUUCUGAUUGGUCCUUUCCUUCUCUCCCUAUUUCCUGAUUGGGCAGCGCCCACCUUCCUUUCUCUCCUUUAUUUUCCAUCUCCACCGACCAUCUCACUUCCUUUAAUUUGGGCCACACAUGUGGCUUUCUAGAUUUUGCUCCAAAAAUCUGGAGCCUUCCAGCAAAUGUUGAAUUGACCAUUUUGUUCUCGACUUUAAACGUUAAUAUCUUUUUCAUUAUAACUCUGUUUCACGAACAGUUUGCGCCUACGCGUUCGUGAGAUUGAGCUCUAUUCGAAAAUAUAAAUUGUGACCUCGAACGGUCCACGAAUUUUAAAUAAUUAAUUUCCAAACUUCACUUUUCGUAACUCGUUUAAUUAAAAACUAAAUUCAAAUAAAUUAAUAUAAAUUCCCGAAAAAUGAUAUAAAACCUAAAUAAUACAAAUACGUAUAUUAUAACAGUAAAAUCCAGGAACAUGAUUUCACAUACAACCAUCAUGAUUUCUCUUUAGUUUAUAUACCCAUUUACAGCUAACAAUAUUUUUAUUUGGAGAUAAGGGAACAAAGAUCCAAGUACCUUAAGCCUGCAAGGCAUCAUACUUGUUGCCAAUGAGGAAUUUGAGAAGCCACCUUGAAAUUAGAAGGCUCAGAGGCAUCUGUAAUAUCAGCAACAAAGGUAAAUCCUCCAGAAAAAUGAGUACAAUCAUGUAAUUCCAAAGUUCGAACUUAAGGACAAACUGUUGCAAGUGCAGUGUAAUUCUUUCUAGUGAUGGUUCCAGUUUUAAGCCUUGUUUGAAUACCCUGAAGAGCAUCGGCUUGUACUAAAGUAGUAGAUACUGAAGAUGUGGAAAGUGGCAGAACAACAUCCAACUGGCUGGAAGAAGGGACAGGCAACACAGAGGGAGUGGAAAGAGUAGCACUUGAACUAGACGCACUCACCUCAUGGAGAGUAUUGUUUCCGUACUUAUUCGGAACCCUCAGAGCUUUUAUCUUGUCAUUGGUUGAAUUGAGUUUACUGAUAAGCAUUUGGAGGACUAUUUUAGCUUGUGAUUUGCUGCUGAGAGAAGCCGCAAGGUGAAAUACAGUGUCCCCUUCCACUGUCAUUUUAUGGAGCAGUUUUCCCCGAUUCUUCUCCAAGUCUACCUUCAACCCUUCACAUUCCUCAUUCAUGGCAUAUUUAUAGGAAUCUUUCAACUCUUCCAUUUUCUUUAAUCUAUCCUCUCUCUCUUUCUGAUCCAGCCGAGAGCUAUCCUCUCUCUCUUUCUGAUCCGGUUGAGAGCUAUCCACUCUCUAUUUCAUCAGAUCCGGCCGAACCGUUAGCGUUUUCCAGUACUCCAUUUGUAGUGUACUAGAUAGCUUGGGGCAUGUAAUGCGGCGGUUGUUGCUUUGAUUUAUAGGCUAGCCGCUACCGCUGCUGCUAUAUGUUUGACUUCAUUAAGUAACAAAGAAUAUUGAAUGAUAAAGCAUAACGGAUCGAAGAGUCAAGGUUACUUGCUGUUUUUUAGCUGUACGUGCUUUAUCCGUACAAGCAUCUUAUUUGCUUAUUUUAUUAGGUUUCAAUAACAUUAGGGAGACUAAAUUUUGAAACUUAAUUUUGUAAACUAAAUUAUGUAUUUGUUGAUAAUUUGAUUAUAGAUAAAGUUUAGGGGUCCAAAUUUUGAAAGCAAAUUAGCAAAUUAAACAAUGUGUCAUAAAUAAAAAAUAGGCACAUUAAUAAUCUAAUCAUUAACAUUCACAUCAUUUGAUUACAAAUUUAGUUUAAAAUUUUGAUCUUCCUAACAUUACAAAGUUUAAAUAAUGCUGCUGCUGCUGCUAUAUGCUUUACUGAAUUAAGUAACAAAGAAUGUUGAAUAAUAAAGCAUAAAGGAUCGAAGAGUAAAGGUUACUAGCUUCGCGGCCUGUAAUGUCUGUCUAUGUGGUGGUUUUCUCUUUGAUUUAAUAUAUCAAGGUUAUAGGCCCGGCUAGCUGCUGCUACUGCUGCUUCUACGUACAUAAUAUGUGCUUUGCCUUGCUUAAUUAAUUAACAAAGAAUGUUGGAAAUCAUAAAGCAUAAAACGAUCGAAUAUUUAAGGGUUAAUUCCCAUUUUCUAGCACCCCUUUUAAAUGAACAAGGAUCCCCGCCGAUUCCUUUCUUAGGGAUCCUAGGAAUUUCGUAAUCGUGUCCGUUUAUCGUACAUCGUGCGGUCAGAAAUCAUUUAAAUUCAAGUAUAAAUAGUACCUAAUGAAAACUGACCACACGAUGUACGAUGAAUGAAUACGAUUAUGGGAUCCGGCGAGGAUCCUUGUUACUUUUAAAUAUGCUUUAUCCGUUCAAGCAUGUAUCUUUGUAAGAAUGAGGAUCCGCUUUGGAUCCUCUUUUUGAGGAUCUCAGGGAUCCUUAAAUCGUGUUCGUUCAUCGUAUAUCGUGCGGUCAGUUUUCGUCAGAUACUAUUCAUAUUUAAUUUUAAAUAAAAAUUUUAAAAUGAUUUUUUACCGUACGAUGUACGAUAAACGAACACGAUUUGAGAAUCCCUAGUACCCUCACAAAGAGUAUCCGGAGAGGAUCCUUAUUCCCUUUGCAAGCAUGCAACACAUGCCUCGAUUUAAUAUAUAUAUAUAUAUAUAUAUAUAUAUAUUUUUUUUUUUUAUUUAUUUUUUAUUUAUUUAUUUGAGGAUGUAGUAUAAGGGUAAUGCUAGUGAGAUUAAAUUUGUAAAUUAAAUAAUGUGUCACUAAUAAGAAAUAAGCACACUAAUCAAUACUUAAGUAAUCCGAUCAUCUUCUAUGUCAUUUAGUUUACAAAAUUGGGUAAGAAUAAUGCUAGGGAGACCAAAUUUUGCAAACCAAAUGAUGUGGUUGUUGUAGAGCCAAAAAUAAUCACCAGACGACACAUGGAUUUUUGGAUAAAAAUGAAAAAAUUACCCUUGAGGCACAUCAGAUUUCAUACGCGCGAACGAUGGAUAAUCAUCUCUCAAUCAAGUCAAAAGUGCUCAAAAAAGGUAACAAAUUCAAAAUUAUUUCAUCCAUCCUCAUCUUAUAUUUCCUACAAGGUAAUUAUUCCAUAACCUUUCAAUACAUUCCAUAUAAAUUGAGUUAAUUGGCCAAUUAAUGGAUUAAUUAGGUAAAUAAAUCACCCAUUACACUAUAAAAUGAACCAAAAGGCCGGCCACUAUCUCUCCCAAGAAGGCCGGCCAUGCUCUAUAUAUUAAACCUCAUUUUCUCUAAAAAGCUAAGUUCUACACUCUUGCAAAACUCCCAAAAACUCUCUAAACAUUUUUCUUUCUAAAUUCUAACUUUGGCAUCAGAGGUUUUUUAGCCAAAACCCCCCAUUCAUCAUGGACGCGUGAGGCUCUUGGCCUUGACCUAAAGUGUUAAUUAUUUUGUAGGUGCAAUUUUGUCCAAGAAAAAGAAGGUGGAAAUUUGCAUCCACAAAUUGGUGCUUUCAUUGAGAGUUGAAGUAUACAUACUCGUAGAAGACUCUCACAUAAAAGGUUUUUCUCUAUUUUUUCUUGUCCAUUUGUAUAUUUUUCGUACGUUCUUAUUAUUAGAAAUACAAUGGUUAGAAAUUUAGAAAAUUCCACAAGUGAAAAUUUCAAUAUUCAAGAGAUGGGAUCGCGGCGAUCCAUGAGGCUAAAUGUGACAAUAAGUGGAGCGACAACACCACUACGAGGCUCCACCAUGGAAACAACCGCGGUGACCACCACUGUAACCACCCGCGAUGAAGACCAUGGCACCACCACUAUGGCUCGAGCCGUUCCAUCUAAGCAAGCCCAAGCUGUGUCAUCCUUGGCCCACGGCCCAAGCCAUGUCACUCCAAGCCCAACCCGUUGCCAAGCCGAGCCCUAGCCUCAUACCCACGUGCGCCACACGUCGAGCAACCCACUACAAUGGCCCAGCCUGCUCCAGUUGAGCAGCUCAUUCUCGUGGCCCAGCCUGCUCCCGCCGAGCAGCCUAUUCUCGUGGCCCAACCUGCUCCAGCCGAGCAACCCAUUCUCGUGGCCCAGCCUGCUUCAGCCGAGUAGCCCACUUUCGUGGCCCAGCCUGCUCCAGCCAAGCAGCCUACUCUUGUGGCCCAGCCUGCUUCUACUGAGCAGCCAACUUUCGUGGCCCAAACUACUUCCGCCGCCCAAUCUGCUCCCGUGGCCUUCCAAGUAGCUUAAAUCGAUCUAAGAUUAGUUCAACCGUCCCGGCUCCAAAUAUUCGGACCGACGAUUAAACCGGGAGCAUUUUCACCAUAUUUUUAUACGAAUUUGACAUUUCCCAACUCAAAUCUCGCUCCCGAAAUCUACCACACUUUCACUGCUGAAUGAGACACAUUCAUUCCAAGAUAUUCCAACCUAAAUGGAGAACAACACUUAUCUCGACAAGUCAUAGAGUUGACGAGCAUCCUUGCACAACAAAUGACCUUGGUGAACUAGCUCUUGCAGCGCACCGAGAUGCAACAUGCCCUAGACGAGGUGUCCCGAAAUAGGACAAGGGCAGACAAAGAACCUCUUUAAUAACGUCCCGGUAAGUAGCCACUCAACCAGCUACAAACCGAGUGUUCGGGCAAUGUAUACUCCCGAUUAGCCCGCGGAGGAGCGUACACUCUCGACUAGGCAUAUGGACGAGCAUACAUUCACAGUUGGGGUCACACUCUGAUAGUCAACAUGAGCAACCUUAUAGGCGAAUGGUUCAUUAACGACUAAGCCCGCAAGGAGCAUCAUCCACCUCACAUCGGAGUAGGCAGUACGACGGACGGAAAGAAUCAGUCACUCAAUCCGGCUCAAGUUCAACUCUGUCUGCGAAGAACUCGCUCGCUUGCUAGGAACGCACCACACGCACCGCAUCUGUGACAUAGACGAGCCAAACACAUGGAAGAACAGCUUAGACCAACAAGUCAUGACUAAGGCCAACCGAGAGCUCCACUACUCCAACAAAGACAAAUUUAGGAAGAAGUAGAGAGAUUUUUGACCAAGCGAUUGUGUGAUUUCCAACGCAACGAGGUCACCAACGAGGCACUACGACGGAACAUGACCAACAUAAGCAGGUCCCUUUUCACGGACGAGGUCGAGAAGGCAGAGCCUUCACUCUAGUUUAGCAUGCCACAUUUCACAUCUUUCAAAGGGGAUGAAGACCUGGAGAGACACUUAAAGCACUACCGAAGUGUAAUGAUCCUCUAUCGAAACAACGACGAUCUUAUGUGCAAGAUAUUCGCCACCACUCUACAAGGCGAAGCGCAAGAUUGGUUCUACACCCUGCCGCCACAGAAUAUUCAUCAUAUCGCUCGAUAAAAAAGAAGUCCGACCAUUUGUUCAACGUCAAGAAUAACCUAACAGAGUUGCUUCAUGACUAUGUGAAGAGGUUCAAAGUAGAGAAGGCAAGGAUAGUCGGAUGCAAUAACUUGAUAGCUAGAGCAGCCUUCCACAAAAGACUUUCAAUAGACCACACGCUAUUCGAAAAAUUGAUCAUGAAAGAAGAUCUAACUCUGGCAGACUCUUUCGCUAUGGUAGAGAAGCAUGCACUUUAGGACAAGGCUCACCGAUGCACAUUCAAGGACUUGAAAAAGUACUCGACAUCACCUCCCUACUAUCCAAACUGGAAGCAGCAGAAGACUUAUUCACUUGUUUGACGGUAUUUGAAGUAGCAAUAAGCUCUACCAUCAUACGAGAAGAGCUGAGGGCCCGACUACCUGUAUUCCACAAUUCAAAAGCUCUCAUCGAUGCUACCAGAAAUUCAAAAGCUAACUUUGGCGAUAGUUGUUGCAACCUGGAAGCUCAAGUCUUACCUUCAGACGCACACAGUCAUCCUCAUGACACACUAUUUUGCCAAAUCUAUACGCGCGACGAUAAAGACAUAGGCACUGGAGGAUGCAAAAUUUUCUGACGAACAUAACAACUCGGCCCAAAAGGCGUGCCAUAGGUAGACGAACACUAGAAAGAUGCACUCAUAAACAAGUUUUAUCCAUGUCACCCCAAAAGAUUCUACAUAGGAACAACAUGUACCUGCAGUUGAACACCACAUCCUACUAUGCGUCACACGGCCCCAGUCGACCCUUGCUCCAUAAUUCAACCCUAGAGUGGCCCAAUACCAGCAGUUGAGCAUCUUCUGCUACAUGUAACAUGACCCUAGCUCCACGGCUUCAUACCGUGCCUUCACGCCUAGCCUAGGCAACGUAACACAACGACCCAACGACGCCUCGAAGGCAGCCAAGCACACCUUAGCCGCACCUGCUCCACCCAAUGGAGACUUUUGGUAUUUGCAUGUCGAUGGCGCAUCUAACUACAAAGGUUCGGGAACAGACGUGGUCCUUGUCACCCCAGACAUUUCGAUGCCUGAGCAGUCAAUCACUUUAGGCUUCAAAACAUCCAACAAGACGAUCCUCGACUGCCUCAAGAAAUCCCUUACCAACAAGAAGGGAAAAUGGCCAAAUGAACUUCCUGAAUGUCUAUGGGCAUAUCACACCACCAAUAGAUGAGCAAAUGGUGAGACUUCUUUCUCUUUGGCAUUUUGCUCAGAAGCAAUCAUUCAUCCCAAUGUCAUCAAGCCAAGUAUCACCGUUAUACUACCAAGCAUUGAGCAAAAUAGUAAGAAGAUGGCCACAAGCUUAGAUCUGGUAGAGGAGAAACGCGAACAGACCAUCACUUGCAUCGCAGCUUACCAGCAACAGCUCCUCUCCAACUACAACAAAUGGGCCAAGAUCUAGUAGUUCCAGCCCGGAUAUCUAGUCCUAAGGAAAACCUUCAUCAUUGCCCGUAGAGAAGGCUCCAAAAAGAUGGAUUUCAUCUGGGAAGGUCUGUACAAGAUCAGUAGAAUAGGCGACAAGAGUAAUUACACCCUUGCCACCAUGAAAUGACAAAAAGAUAAAAAAAGUAGUGGAACGCCUACAAUUUGAGGAAGUAUCAUGUGUGACCUCCUACUACAUCAAAACCUGAAGACUCAAGCAGCUUGACGGGCACCACCUCACAAGCUGAGGACUAUCCAAUUGUUAUGCAGUUCCUACCUUACAGCUAAGUUCUCGUUCGUUUCACUCAUUUUUCAAUGAGGAAUUCAGAAGUAAUCACAACAUGGCUCGGCUGCAUGCUUACAACUGAUAACUCCUGCACUUCAAAAGAAUACCGUACCAUUCUUAGAGACUCAUUGCAGGAAUUUUGGCCCCCGAGGGACCAACCAUGUUCUCUAGUGCUAGAGGGUAAACUAAUUGCUCUCCAAUGCGAGAGGGUAAACCAAUUCCCCAACACCCAUAUAGGUCAACUCCCCAAGACGAGAGGAUAAACUCUACACUCUGAAUAUCCAGACGUGGAUGAGCCGAGUUGCCCUAGUAUAACUAGAUGCAUAAUGGCUUGCACCGGGAUUCCUGGAAAUAGCCACAAUGGUCUUUUUUAAGGCUUAGCUAACAGAAAGAUUUUGGGUCUCUUGGCCUAAUCCGCGGGGAACCGGGCCCUAGAGACAGAUGGGGCACAUUACGCAGUACGCCCUACAGAUGGCUUCCCUAGAACCCUAAAGCUACUAUUGAGUGCACUAAGGUAGCCUACGGUUUCCAGAAGACUACCUACGGUUUGCCCUUCGAGCAGUAAAUCCAUGCUAGACUUAUAUAACCCCACAUUCUUGUGAAAGGUUAAACAAGCUAGUAUACGUAUACGAAGCCUUAUCCACUGCCGAUAUGCUACGUAGUUGAUAAGCUUCACCUCUGCCAAGCGCGAAAUGAUUUACACCAAGUCCCAAAGUGUUGUGAUACUUGCUACGUAACUUAAAGAUUUGGAGGGAGCCAAGGUUAACAACCUAGUGGUUAUGCGGAUUUGUUUGCUUUUGUAAGUAAAACAUCUGGCUGCCAACCCUAUGGUUAACAACUUUGCAAAGUUCUACACCAACACAUAUGGCUGCAUCAGCUACGCAGACCUGUCUGCUUAUAGAAAAGUAGCACACUUGCCACUGGUCUAUUAAGUCUAAAGGUUAGGGCAUGAACAAAAGAAGCGACGAUGGAGAAAAACGAAUGAAGUAAGUUUAUUAAAUUUUCUAGCAAAAUUGAUAAACAACUAGUAAAGACCGAAAGAGUUCGAGCAAAGCAAAAAGCAACAAGGGAAACAAAGAAAAUCCUAAAGACUACCUAAAAGACUACUCUUCAGCAACUUGGACAUUCCACGACUACUUGGUCACCACAUCUUUAGCAGCCGCGACAUUCUCAGCAGCGGCACCCAUCUGGCACUUCACCCCCAGCUGCCCCAGCCUGGGCACUAACUUCUCCAACUAAUUCACCAAUGGAAGCCUCAAAAGUAAAAACAAGCAAGUAUUCCGGAGAAAUAAAGAAGGUCUCAAAACCUUGAGCCUAACCUUCUCACUCUUCAGCUACUCGUUCUCAUCGAGCAGACCAACGCGGAUGCGCUACAGCUCAUCCACUUCCUUCUUCAGACUUUUGUUGAUCUUCAGUACACCUUGAAGUUCCAACAUUUGGGAUUCAAGCCUAUCGACGAUUCUUUUGAAGUGGAUCACUUGGUUAUAAGCAGCAAUCAACUCUUCAUCCUUUGCAUAAGCAGCGAAACGAAGCUAAAAAACGGCACGCUCAGUAUCUUGAAUCUGAGAAGAAUAAGCUUCAGUGCCAUAUCCUCGGCAGCCUUGGUAUCCUAUUGGUUAAGGAAUAUAGACUUGGCUACCAUAAUAGCCAUCUUCUGCAUCAUUGCAAGUAGAGUAAUCUUCAUACACUCGGCCGUAUACUUCGCAAAGAAACUUGGGCAAACAACCUUUCUAACGCCAUUGACAAACUUGGCACAAGCGUCCAUGUCUUCAAGCAGAUCUGGUUUCAAAAGAGCACAGAUCUCAGCAGCCUCCCCAAAAGCAGGUUUACUGGAUUUCUCACAGCUGCCCACGCAAGCAGUCUCAUCAUUUCUAGCAGGUGAAUCAGUCUCAGCAACAGGGGGAGUGGGCCUUGGCACCACUUUAGCAGCAGAGUUCACCUUAUCACUCUUCAUGAUAGUAAGCCUUUCCAAAUGUGAACCAGACUUAGCUCCCAAUAGAAGUUUUGGUACAGACUUUGGCACUGAGGGUAUAACAGGCCUCUACGUUGAGCAAUCCUAUCACCAAUCGUACUAGCCAUUCUCGACAUGGCAGACGCCACAUGCUCAGGUUUAGUAGUCUUAUUUUUCUUCCCAUUGGAAGAGGUUAUGUCAAUCACAGGCCUCUCGGCAGCAGGCGAACCUUCACAAGCAGAAGAGGAAUUCUCAGUUUUUCUCAACCGGCAUCUCUUGAGUAGGCGGGGAAGAUAUCUUAUUUCCACCUUCAUUCAUAGUAGGCUCUACGACAGCAUUCAGAUAAGCCAGUGCAUAUGCCUUGAUCCUCUUUACCUCCUCUCUCGGGAGCAGCCUACCUUUCUCCUAGCUAAAAGGAUUAAGCAGUCAACGUCAUUCAUAGUACUCAACAGGGGAGCUCAACCCAUAUCAGUUUUUCCUUCAUUUUUCUCUCGAACUAGUAGGCAUGAGGCCUACAUGCCCAGCAUCUCAGCAGCCCAUAAGGCCCGCGAUCUCCUCGUUUCUCUCAAACGACAUGAGUCAUGCGACUCGCCUAGUACUGCGGCCUAGUGCCUCAAUCCGCGGCCCCAGCAUCACAGCUACCCUUGGCUUUAGCCAAACCUAGCAGCUCAAGCAGUGGUCUCUGCCACAACACUUCAUCAGCCCAUGCUGAGCCUACUUCUGGCCCCUGCCUGCCGAUGUGCCGCACCACCCCGACAGCUGCCCCUGCGGCAGCGCUAUCCAAGAAGAAGUUAAGGAAAAUUAAUUUUUUCUUAUCUUGGUUCGGUGCGAAGAAGACAAAGAAAAAAACGAAAGACGAUCUUUUGCACGGGAAAGUGUAGAAGAUUGCUAGGGGAGGGGGAACAAAUAUCCUCUAACUUUCUAACAAAUAUGCAAAAAUAUAAUUUUGAGGUCUAUAAUUAUAAUUGAAUUAAUUUAUUUGGACUUCGGGCCAAAUUUAAGUAUGGGUGAAAAAAUAUAAACCCAUUGGGCCUAAAAUAAUUAGGCAAGUAACACUCGGUGUCCAAUAAAAUAUAUAAGCCCACGGGGUGGCUUAAUAACAUGGUGUCGUGUAACCUAGGCCCAAAAUUGGGCUAGAGUGUCUACGGUGGGGCUGCAGGCCCAUGAAGAGAGUAAAAACGGGGGGCCGCAAAAGGCAGGCCUUAAAAAAACAUAGGCCGCUUAAAAGCUGACCCCUAACUUAAAAAAACCACACGUCCUGCUGCAGGCGAGCCAAGAAUUUUCGUUUUUUUUUCUCACACAGGCUGGGUCGAACAAAAAACUGAAUGGGUUGUUGGAUCUGGGCUAGGACAGCACACAGCAGCAGCAAGCCCAACAGGCGCUGAUGCGGGCCGAGAGGUCGAGACCAAAUUGGGCUGGGGUCAAGAAAAUUUGAGACACCCUAGCGAUGCUGGGUGUCAAAACACGACCGGAAGGACGCCAGCGUUGUUUCAGGCGACUGUCCUCGGGGGUUCAUGGCUAGGCGAAGCACGGGGGGUCAACUAGGGACCCAAAUCUUGGACGAAAAUCGAGGUUUCAACAUCGGGGAGGUUCCAAUCACAAGUAUAGGUGUGAUUUCCCAAGAACAACGACGGUGAAGCCGUGGCCGACUGUAAGCAGCGCCGUGGGUUAGGGUUUGAUGCCAAAAAACAUCAUCUCAGAUGGAGCAAGGUUUUGCUCCGGUGUUUCGUAGCCUAUGUAGGCUCAUGUGAGCCCAGUGUUGUCGAGGUCACGGGUUUUUGUAAUUCAAUUUGAUGCAUAAUUUAAUUAAAAACAUAUUCAAUUUGAUGCAUAUGCAAAUCAAUAUUUUAAUAUAUGUACGUAUAUUUGAUGCGAUUCAUGGCAAAUAUGAAAUUUACAUAAUUCAAUAAUUAUGAUUAUGAUGCAUACACAAUUUAUAUAGAAUCUAAAAUUUGUAACACGUAAAGUUGGGUCAUGCAUCAUGGUGAAUGUUCAUGCUCAUGAUAUCAAGGCUGCAAAAAUAUCUAGAUAAAAACCGUUGUUUUGAAAGAAACUGAUUGCGUGAUGAUAUGGAUGAACUGGUUUAAUGUAGAAAAAUUCUUCAACGUCAAAUUCCUAAGCGCAUCGGUAGAAGCGUGCUGAUAAUGUGUUGUAGCCUAUUUUAUCUGACAAUAUUUAGGGUGGCCGACGACAAGGAUAAGAGAGAGAGAGUGAUGUGUUUGUAGAAUUGUAGGAGAAUGUGUGUUGUUAUCCCUCCUACAUUGUGCCUUUAUUUAUAGUAAUAAAAUGAGAGAAGAUAUUCCUUCAUCCCCAAAGAAUACAAGUCCAUAUAGAAAAGGAUAACUAAAAUCCAAUCUAAUCUAGGAUUUAUACAAUCACACUUAAACUAGGAAAGUUUACAACAUUUUAACAUUUUUUGGUGCUCGAAUUUAAGUUCAAAACUCCAAAAUUACAUUAUCGUUAUCGUUACCCAAACAAAUAUUAUCAUAAGUCUGAAUUCCCUAAGGAAACCGGCCAUCAUCUUAUGUUGUGCUCUAUUACUGCAACGGCCCGAUUGAAACCUGUUGAUCCCCGCGUGGGUCCGCUUUCAACAUCCAACCAUCAACAUGAUCAUCACAUGACCCAACUAUCAAAAGUCAUUCAAAAUCAUCCGUAACGUUCCACAGUGACGCUGGCCCUACACAUCCCAAUGCGAUGCCGUUUCACAUUGCCUUGGAAUAAAACCCGAGCGCUAAAUGCCGUUACAAAAGCAAAGAAAGUUCACUCUCACAAUCUCAAUCACUCUCUCUCUCUGUUUUUCAAAUUUCUGAGUAAAGUUUGUUGGAGAACAAUACAUAAAUAAACAAAACUUGAAAUUCACAAUUUUAUUUCACCAAAAGUACUUGCUGUACAGAAUGAAAAGUAUACAAUAAAUACAGAAAUUAAUAUAAGAAUAUCAAUGGUACUAACUUGAUUACAGAAGGUAAAGGCUAGCGUAAAAGCUAUGUCCUUCGAACAGUAAUUCCGUCUCACUCUUGUGCUUGUGGUUCUACAACAUCUGGUCAACCAGGACACAACUACCUAAUCCUACAAUCCGCACUGGAUUAUAGAAUUCUAACAAAUUGCUUUUUGUGUUUUUACUCUCUCUGGAAAGUUUGUACAGAAGAAAAGGAAGAAGAAAACAUGAUUGAUGAUGAACUGAGGACUUCAGUUAUAUAGGCUCUUUCAUACCUCUUCAAAUACCUUUUGGAUGUAUCUGAAGCUUUACAACUCUUUACAAAAAGUUGUAUCUUAAAUCAAAACGUUUUUAAUUAAUUUAAUUAAAAACUUAAUUCAAAAUUAAAACUAAUUGAUCCGAUUAAUUUUAAUUCUUAGGCCCCAAGUGCCCCAAGGUCCAAGACCCUUGUCUUGAUUAAUUAAUAUUAAUUUAUAUUAAUAUUAUGGUAUAAUCAUCAAGCCUAAUCACCAAGCCUCAAUCCUCAUUCCAAAUGAUCCAACACCUAACUAAUAUUGUAGAAAACAAAACAUAUAUAACGGUACUUGGAAUCUUGUUUUCACCAAUGUGGGACAAGAGUCUCAAAACUUCCAACAAAGUUCCCCCUGUUUUCGUUCGAAUGGAGAUUGGAUUGGGUCGGACCAGUGUGUGCCCGAAAGAGCAUCAGAAGGUUUACAAAAUCGGUUACGGUGGUUUGGACAUGUGCAAAGAAGGCCUACUGACGCUCCGGUUAGAAGAUGCGACUACGGGACAAAGGUUCAGGGCCGAAGGGGUAGAGGAAGAUCUAGGAAAACUUUGGAAGAGACUCUAAGAAAAGACUUAGAGUAUUUGGAUCUAACGGAGGACAUGACACAUGAUCGAGCACAAUGGCGUUCUAAGAUUCAUAUAGCCGACCCCACUCAGUGAAAAAGGCUUUGGUGUAUUUAACACAAUACGUUGAAAUGAAGCAAAGCCUAUUUUUUGAUAUCUCCGAUAAGUUACAAAUAUGUACAUAUACAUGAGUCAAAAUAAACAAACAAGAGGGAGCCUUCACAAAUGUUGCUUAGGAGAAGUCACAGCAGUCGGUAGAGCCCCAGAAAGAGAAGGCACCGGAGGGGGAUCAUUCGGAGCCUCAGUACUGGACAGAACCCUAGAAGGAGGAGGCAUCAGAGGUUGAUCAUUUGGAGCUUCAUUACUCAGUACAGCCCCAGAAGACGAAGGCAAUAAAUGCCUUUGGAACAAACCCACAAACUGCUGAUGAUCAAGUAAAACCUGACCAUCAGAUUCCUUCAUCUGGUCAAGCUUCUUCUUCAUGUUUGUAGCAUAGUCAUGUGCAAGCCGGUGCAACUGUUUAUUCUCAUGCUUUAGCCCUCUAAUCUCCUGUUUGAGACUCAUCACUUCAGCCACCAAUGAUUCAACUUGGCGAGUUCGAGCAAAUAUGCGUUAGGCCAUAUUAGACACAGAACCUGAACACUGAACACUUAGAGCCAAAUAAUCCUUAACAGCCAACUCAUCAGACCGUUUGAAAAGUAGUCUAUUAUCUUUGGGAGUGAGAAGAUUCCUGGCCACCACCGCAGCAGUCAUAUCAUUCUUCAUCACGGAAUCCCCAACGGUAAAAGGACCAGUAAGGGAUAAGAAGGAUGGGCACCAUAUGUUGUCUGGAGAAAGCGUGGCUGCCUCUUCAACAAGGUUCAAGUCAAAACAAUGGUCGGAUGGGCCAGACAUUUUCAAAGGUGUUGAAGAAAGAAGAGGUCGGACAAAUCAAGAUCUUAGGAGUGCAAGAAGGGAGCUUCUACUGGUGAAGAUUCAAGUGUGCUUUGGAACUUAAUGCCAGCCUCUAUAAAAAUAUGCACUCGACGGAGCUUCAGAAUUGAAGAGGCACCUGCCCAGAAAUCGAAGAGGCGUUUGCUUUCUCAAAAGUUGGGCUGCUCAGAGACCACGAAGGCCAAUCUCAGAAAUCGAAGCGACGUUUGCUUUCUCAAAAGCUGGGCUGCUCAAAGACCACGAAGGCCGAUCUCAGAAAUCGAAGAGGCGCUUACUUUCUCAAAAGCUGGGCUGCUCAGAGACCACGAGGGCUGAUCUCAAAAAUCGAAGAGGCACCUGAUUUUUUCAGCCUUGUCAGCACCUGUCACAUGCACACUCAGCUUUGCUGAAAUUACGGGCAUUCUGUUGAAGAUUUCUGGUGAAGUAGAAAGCACGUGAAUCUUACUGUUCAAUCAUCCACUUUCCACACGCACCAUCAGCUCAUGGGUACCACAGAUAACUUUGCCAAAGAUCUCUGACAAAGUUUAGACAAGUGAAGCUUGCAGCUCCCACUACAUCGCUAUGACCAAGAAGGGUAAAAGAAUAGCAAAGAAACAGCACUAACAAAGUUUAGAAACAUAAAUUUUGAAGGUCUAGCUACCAUAUUAUUACCCACAAGGGUAAAGGAACAGCACCACUGCUGGAUAAUUGGAAAGUUCAUGUGUGUCAACCUCUGUGCUUCGUAGCAAGGUAGACUAGCAAACAUGCCCAACCUUUACUCACAUUUGAGAAAACACUCCCAACAAGAUUGCUUGCUCCAAAAUUGAAGAGGCACCGUCCUUCUAAUCUCGAGAGCCAGACUCCCAACAUGAUUACUUUCUCAAAAAUCGAAGAGACACUGCUCUCCGAAUCUUAAGAGUCAGACUCCCAGCAGGAUUGCUCUCUCAAAAAUCGAAGAGGCACCGUUCUCCGAAUCUUGAGAGCCAGAUCCUCAACAGGAUUGCUUGUUCGAAAACCAAAGAGGCACCGCUUUCUCAACUUCGAGAGCCAGAUCUCCUUAGAUAAAGCUUGUCUGUAAUCUUCACACGCAACAUCAGUUUUCCAGAUACCACAUACCACUUUUUCAAAGUGCUCUGACACACGUGAAGCUGGCAGCUCCCACUACCGUGUUAUGACCAAGCAGGGUAAAGGAAUAUCAUUAUUACUUGUUGUUAGGGAAACUCCUAUAUAUGUCGACAUCCAUCCUCAACGGACAGACAGACCUGCAAAAAUGCUCAACCCUUCCUCAUAUCUGAGAGGGCACUCCCAACGAAGCCUCUCGAAAUACUCAGCUUUCUUUCCCCCCGAUAAUACCUCUGCAAACAAGCUACACCAAAGCAAGAAUAUCUCAUAUCAUCAGGGUUAAAAACAAGAGUAUCCCAUAUCAUACUUUUUCCCUGUCUUUUCCUUUAGCCUUGUUCUUACCUGCAAGACAAGGAGAAAGAGAGCAAUCAGUCAGCACUUGGAAUCAAGCUUCCAGUCAGGAACUGACUACCUGGAACCCUUACCUGAUUACUUACCUGGCAUUGCUCUCGAGUACUCAUCUUCAACAUCUUAUGCUUCCAGAGAAGAUACCACAUCUGUCUGAGGAACAGAUAGGGAAAGUGAAAAGGAUACAAGGAAGCAUGUGGAGACAAGCGUAAUAGAACACGUGCCGAUACAUCCAUUACUUUGUCAACAGCAAAAGUAUCCCAUAUCAGCAGGGUCGAACGUACUCUAGAUUUGAUAAACUUGUUUUGACCCUCAAAUUCUUCAGUCGGCCUUAUACUCUGGAGGAAACCAGAAAAUCCUCCAGCCCAGUUCAAGAAUAAACCUGUGAAAAGUUACUUCUUCAAAAGCAAAAGUAUCUCAUAUCAUCUAUUCUCAUUUUCUUCUCUUUAUCCUUCAUGCUGCCUGCAAGAUAGGGAGAAUGAGAAUAAUCAGCUGGAACUCGAAAUCAAACUUCUGAUCUGGGACUGAUUGAGCUCUGAUUGCCUACCCUGUCUGUCACCUCUUUCAACAGAUCCCCUAGCUCGGCGACUUGGAGGACUCCUACUACAUGGUUUGUAUCGCGCUUGACCAAGCCUGAAACUAUAAGUAAGCUUCAAGUGAAAUUGAUACAUUACCUUGUGCAUCUCCACCAGUUAAAGAUAACACCCCUGGAUGGAGGAAGAGUACUUCCAGAGAAGAUGCCACAUCUACCUAUGAGACAGAUAAGGCAAGUGAAGAUGAGAGCUUGAACCUAUGUCAUUUGUACUAAAUCAUUCACUUGUACUCACUAAAGGAGAGCUUGAACCUAUGUACUUGUGUAAACCCUUCACAAUUAAUGAGAACUCCUCUACUCUGUGGACGUAGCCAAUCUGGGUGAACCACGUACAUCUUGUGUUUGCUUUCCUGUCUCUAUCUAUUUACAUACUUAUCCACACUAAUGACCAGAGCAAUCUAGCGAAGAUCACAAACUUAAUACUUUCUGUUGUACCAAAGUCCUCACUGAUUGUGUGCAUCAACAAUCCUUAAGUCAUUACCUUUUUGCGUUGGUAAUGGAUGAGUUAACAGGACAUAUUCAAGAUGAUAUUCCCUGGUGUAUGCUUUUCACAAACGAUACAGUGUUGAUGGAUGAAACUCAGGAUGAGUAAAUGCGAAACUUAACCUUUGGAGAGAAGUGUUGGAAUCUAAAGGUCUUCGCCUAAGCCGAUCAAAGACAGAAUAUAUGAAGUGCAAGUUCAGUGCAAAUGGAGGCCAAAAUGAGUUAGGGGUGAGGAUCGAAGAUCAGGAAAUACCAAAGAGCGACUGUUUUCGCUACCUAGGAUUUAUCUUGCAAAAGAACGGAGAAUUAGAUGGAGAUUUCAACCAUAGAAUACAAGCUGGAUGGAUGAAGUGGAAGAGUGCAUCUGGCGUGUUGUGUGACUGUCGUAGGCCACUAAAGCUCAAGGGAAAAUUUUAUAGGACGGCAAUAAGGUCGGCGAUGCUGUAUGGCACAAAAUGUUGGGCGGUGAAGCAUCAACAGGUACACAAAAUGGGUUUGGACAUGUGCAAAGAAGGCCUACUGACGCUCCGGUUCGAAGAUGUGACUACGGGAUAGAGGUUCAGGGCUGAAGGGGUAGAGGAAGACCUAGGAAAACUUUGGAAGAGACCUUAAGAAAAGACUUAGAGUACUUGGAUCUAAUGGAGGACAUGACACAAAACCGAGCGCAAUGGCGUUCUAGGAUUCAUAUAGCCGACCCCACUUAGUGGGAAAAGGCUUUGUUGUUGUUGUUGUAUCGUUGGUGAGUGGAUUUCUAUAUGUUUGGAUGUAUAUCGUCCAAAGUGUGUUGGGGAAUCAAAUAUCCUUUUGCUCUUCUUUGCACUGUUUCGUUUAGAUACUACAUUUGCUAAAUCUAUGGCUGAUUUAUUUCUUUGCAGACUAAUAGUGAUUUUGAUUCUAAACCCAUGGUCAUGCUUGUGGGUCAGUAUUCAACUGGGAAAACAACAUUUAUUAAACAUUUGUUACGAUGCAACUAUCCAGGUUGGUUAAGUUAUCUCUAUUUUAUUUUUGAAAUUAUUAGUUGACAACCUCAGCGUUGAAGGGUUUAACAUUCGUUUGUUGGAACAGGAGCUCACAUUGGACCAGAACCUACUACAGAUAGAUUCGUUGUACUGAUGGUAUAAUUGCUAAUCACCUGGUUUCCUUCUAAAAAGUUUAUCGAGUUUAUUUCUUUACUUUCUGAGGUUUAUAUUGUAUGUUAAAUGUUUUUUGGUAAUUCUAAUUGUUGAUUGCAAUUCUGUUCUCAGUCUGGACCUGAUGAGAGGAGUAUUCCUGGAAAUACUAUAGUUGUUCAUGCAGACCUGCCUUCCAGUGAUCUAACAACUUUCGGAGGUGCAUUUUUAUCAAAAUUUGAGUGUUCACAAAUGCCACAUCCAGUGAGUUUUGAACUCUUUAUAAUCUUCUAUUUAUAUAGCAUUUCUGCUGAUUUUGUCACCAUAAUCUUCCUCUUGGAUUGUGUUAAUCUUCCUUUUCCUAUGGUUAUAGUUGCUAAAUGAAAUUACAUUUGUAGACACCCCUGGAGUUCUAUCUGAAGAAAAGCAACGAACAAGGGAGCUACGAUUUCACUGUUGCUAUAUCAUGGUUUGCAGCAAAAUGUGAUGUCAUUCUUCUUCUGUUUAAUCCUCAUACGCUCGACAUCAGCGAUGAAUUUAAACGUGUAAUUUCAUCUCUGCAUGGUCAUGAUGACAAGAUUCGAGUGGUCUUGAAUAAAGCUGAUCAAGUUGAUACUCAACAAGUGAGAUGUACCUCGCGUUUAUAUUGCCUAUUAUACUUUUUGUUGAAAGAAAUUUUCAAGUUCUUAACUUUUUGUCUACAUACUGAAGCUGAUGAGAGUUUAUGGGGCAUUGAUGUGGUCGCUUGGAAAAGUUGUGAAUAUUCCAGAGGUUGUGCGUGUUUAUAUCGGGCAGGCUUUCUUUUUCCAAAGUGGUUAAUCCUUUGGGAUUGGAUGCAUAAUUGAUUUGAUCGAAUAUUGUUAUUUCUUCAUGGCUUUGCAGCUCAUUCAAUGAUAAGCCUGUCAACGAAGGAAUUGUUGGUCCUAUCGGCAAAGAACUGUUUGAAAAAGAACAAGAUGACCUCCUAUCAGAUCUGGUUGAUAUACCUAAGAAAGCAUGUGAUCGCCGGGUAAGAUUCUGUCUCAUUUCGAUCUUUCUUGAUUUUGUUUUGGUUGAUAGACGAAAGAAGACUUGGUUGCUCUUCCUGUUUGCAUUCCGUUUAAUUCCCUUCACCUAUAUACAGUGGCGGAUCCAGGAAUCUUACCCCAAGGGGUCGCAGUGUAAAAGUUCAAAUAAAAAUUUAGGAUGGAAAAACAUAUUGAAAAUGAAAUCAUAGUACUUUCAUUCAUAAUUCAUAAUGGAAACAAUAUUACAAACUAUAAUUGUCCACGACGAGGUUUCAUAUUUUGAAAACGAAGCAUUAUAGCUUCAUUUUCAAUACAAGCAAAAAUAUCUCUCUCAAUAUAAACAAGCAAGCUAUCACUCAACCAUUGAUCUCCCAUUUUGUUCCUAAGUGGACCCUUAACAAUAUUCAUGACAGAAAAUGCUCUCUCCACUGAAGCAGUUGCAACUGGUAAAACUAAAGACAAUGUAAUGAGCAAAAAUAUACAUAAUUGAAUACUUGAUGCAUCCUUGUCUCCACCAUUUUUUUUGCAAGAUCACCAAUCCCUUCCAAUUGAGAGAAAUCACUACUGGAACACACACAUAAUGAAUAUAAAUCUCAAGUUGAUCUUCAAGUGCCAAACGAUCUUCAUCCGAAAAAGUCUUGAGGAUAAAAUUGAGCAAGACGAAGUAACUUUGGUUUAUCAAAAGCUACAAAUGAAUCCUUCGGACUCAAACAUGCCAUACAAAUAAGCAACUCGGUAUUUACCUCAUUAAAGCGAUCCUCUAACUCCGUAAUUUGCUCAUCAAUGACAUAAAUAAAGAGCUCCACACGAUAAUGAUGACGAUUUGUCUUUAUUGGAGCAUAACGCCUUGACCUCCCUGGAAGUAUAAAUGCCUCUUCCAUGUUAGGAACAUCAAUAUGAUGUUUUUCACAAAAAGAAGAUACUUCAUCAACCAAUGCAUCGAACCCAUUAUUCCUCAUCCACUAUAGCUUUUCCUUGCAUGAUUUCACUAAAGCCAUUGCAUUCACAAUUUCUUGAUCUUUCCUUUGCAAUGCUUGUGACAAAUCAUUUGUGAGUCCCAAUAUGACUUUCAUCAAGAAAAGGUGAAACACAAACUCAAAAGUAAGUAUCACUCUCAUUAACGUAUUUGCUUCACCCGCACUUUCAUUGGGAUUAUCAUCAAUAACCAUUUGAAGCACAUGAACCACGGAUGAAAACAUAGAAAUGAUGCUAAUCAAGGUACCAUAGUGUGAGUUCCAUCGUGUGUCACCGGCACGUUUGAGACUUGUUUCUUGAUUUAAGCCUCGCCCCGUUAUAAGACAAUCAUUUUCAAAAGCUAUCACAAGCUCUUCUUGAAGUUGCCCUCUAAGUGAAUCACGCCGCUUACAAGAUGCUCCAACAUGAUUAACUACAUUAUUAGCCGUUGCAAAAAAAGAGGCAAUGUCUAUAUUAUUCUUUGCUACGGCAACAAGAGCUAGUUGAAGUUGAUGAGCAAAGCAAUGAACAUAAUAUGCACAAGGUUGUUCUCUCAAUAUCUUUGUUUUAAGGCCAUUCAACUCACCUCUCAUAUUGCUAGCACCAUCAUAACCUUGUCCUCGUAGCUUGGAAAUGCUCAAACCGUAGCGAGAAAACAAUGUGUCAAUAGCAUCCUUUAGUGAACUUGAAGUAGUGUCGGUAACAUGUUGGAUACCCACAAAUCUUUCAAUUACAUGCCCGUUGUCAUCCACAUAACGCAACACCAUAGCCAUUUGCUCUUUCACAGACACAUCACGUGCUUCAUCCACCAAUAUUGAAAAGAAUUUAUCUUUUUAGACCAUCCAUGAUAGCAUCAAGUGUUUCAAGGGCACAUGAAUUCACAAUUUCUUUUUGAAUGGAAGGAGCUAGUAAUUUGAGAUUCCCCGGAGCAUUUUCCAUCACAACUUCUCUAACUUUAUCAUUAUUAUCUGCAAGGAAUUGCAAUAACUCCAAGUAAUUUCCCCUAUUGCUUGAAGUGGCACUUUCAUCAUGGCCACGAAAAGGAAGACCUUGUCGCAAUAAAAACUUAGUGCACUUGAUUGAAGCAAUCAAGCAUGUGCGAUAAGCCUUACGAGUUUGGUCAGAGUGUUUGCUCACUGCCGUUUCAAUAUGUGUAGCUUGAUUCAUCAAAUUUGUAGCAGCUUUCUCUAGCCUUAUUAUGAACACUCCCAACCGGUCCAACAUGCAUCUUAAAUCUUUCUCUCCCUUUCUUCCAAUUCUUAAAUCCAUCUCCAGUGAAAGCUUCACUACCCACUUGUUCAAAAUUGGUUUUAAAGAGAUAGCAAUAGAGACAAAAUGCCGCAUCUUUAGAUACACUAUACUCCAACCAAUCAAACUCAUCAAACCAUUGGGGAAUGAAGCGUCGAUUAAUUCCCGACAUAUUAGUUAUUGGGAAAUUAUGACAUCUAGGUUGACAAGGUCCUUUUUGUAGAUAUAAUCUUCGGACCUCAUCUCUCAUAUUAGCGUCAUAAUCUAUUAUUCGAGUUCUUAAUCCAGGAUCCGCUUGAAGAUUACCCAAAACAUCAUCUAACUGACUUUGUCUUGAACUUGGAGUUCUUGAACUACCAACAGUAUUUGAACUAUCAAACAUUAUUCGAACUACCCGAACCCGAUGAUGACUUUCUCUUAAAAAACCGUUCCAUAAUAAUGCUUGCUACAUAUACAAAAUAUUCAAAAUAAAUACUCACAAUAUAAACAAACCAUAAACAUAAUCAAAAUAAAUAUGAAUUGGAUUUUCAAUUAAAUUAAAUAUCUCAUCUUGCAUUCUAAUUUCUACAUAUACAAAAUAAUGAAAAUAAAAACUCACAAUAUAAACAAACCAUCAAUAUAAUCAAAAUAAAUAUGAAUUGAAUUUCAAUUAAAUUAAAUAUAUUCUACAUAUACAAAAUAUUCAAAAUAAAUACUCACACAAUAUAAACAAACCAUAAACAUAAUCAAAAUAAAUAUGAAUUGGAUUUCAAUUAAAUUAAAUAUCUCAUCUUGCAUUCUACAUCUACAAAAUAAUGAAAAUAAAAAAUCACAAUAUAAACAAACCAUCAAUAAAACCAAACCAAUAAAAACUCACAAUAUAAACAAAUCAUCAAUAUAAACAAACCAUCAAUAAAAACUCACAAUAAAAACUCACAAAAUAAAUAUGAAUUGAAUUUCAAUUAAUUAAAUAUAUUCUACAUAUACAAAAUAUUCAAAAUAAAUACUCACAUCACAAUAUAAAAACCAAGGGAGGAGAUGGAGUUGGAGCCGCCAGCAGAGGAGCAGCAAGGGAGGAGAUGGAGUUCACGUUGAGGGUUUGGGGGCAGCAGCAGCAAGGGAGGAGAGGAGUUGAGGAUUUGGGGGUAUUGAGUUAGGGUUGAAGGAUGAAAAAUUGGGGCUUUUAAUUGUAUAGGGGUUGGGUAGGAAAGGCUGGGAUGGGGGGGGGGGACACGGUGGGAAUUAAAAUUUUUUUUUUUUUUUCGGCCUGGCCCAAAACGACGUCGUUUUGGCCAGGUCAUUUAAAAAAAUUUCCUGGGCCAAAACGACGCCGUUUUGCCCGUAUGUUUUGAAAAAAAAGAAGCGCGCAGCUUCUUCUUCCUCUUCCUGCAGUGCCGAGCUUCGUUCAGGAUUUUUGUCGAACACUUGGCGUGCGACUCCGACCCCGACGACCCCGACGACCCCAGCUCCAAGAGGUCGCGUAUGGGAGCUUCAAGGUUGUUUCCAUGGUUUCCAAGGGGUCGUGCGACCCCGACGACCCCACUGUGGAUCCGCCCCUGCCUAUAUAUGUCGUAUAUUGCAGAUCAAUGAAUUUGUAAAACGUGCUAGAGCUGCUAAGAUUCAUGCCUACAUAAUGAGUCAUCUGAAGAAGGAGAUGCCUACUAUGAUGAGAAAAUCUAAGGCUCAGCGAAAACUCAUCGACAACCUCGAAUAGGAAUUUGCAAAGGUUUAUCGAUUCUUAAGCAACACUCUUUGAUCUUUACACCUAUAUCUAGCAGGCAUGAUUACUCUUGUUAAUUUUUCCAAAAACAGGUUCAGAGGGACUUUCAUUUACCAGCCGGCGACUUUCCAGACGUGGAGCACUUCCGGGAGGUGUUGGGCGGCUAUAACAUCGAUAAAUUCGACAAGUUGAAGCCGAAAAUGAUUCAAGCUGUGGAUGACAUGCUUGGCUAUGACAUCCCUGAGCUUUUAAAGAAAUUCAGAAAUCCCUACAAUUGAUAGUGUUACAAUUUUUGGUAUAUGCCAUGAUACAAUCAAGAUUUAUAGAGAUUAAUAUUUGAUUGUUGGAGUUUAUCUUUAGUCGAAUACUUUUGAGACUUGCAUUGUCCAUGGGCAUGUAAGAGAUGAUUUUGAGCUUAAUAAUCAAAGUUUUAGCUUUUCUUAAGCUAAAUAACGAUGUUUGUGCUACCCUUACUAAGAGAGUUAUGCAUUAUUAGCUUGAAAUAUUGUUGGAGAUAUUUUAGGUGCACGUAAAGUUUUUUACAAUUAAGGUUGAUGAAGCGACAGUUCGUAUUUAGAUAACUCUAUUUUGAUCAAAAUGUCGUCUAUUUAUAGAUUCUUCAUAUUGUGAUUUUUGAAAAACAAUAUUUUACUUUAAAUUAAUUUAAAUUGUAAAAAGAAUGAUUCAAACUUGAAUGCAUAAUAAGAGGUGUUAAUGCUAUAACCAACAUAACUAUUGCCGUACUAGUGUCAAUUUUAUUCCCAAGCAAUGACAAAGUAUUUAUGUGAAAUUCCAUCCCCGAAAUUUCAUUAUUCAUUACGUAUCUCGUUAUUACAAACGACUGAGUUCAGGCGUAGUGAAAAAUUGGAACGUGGAACCCGAAAGAUUUUACAAAACAAGUACCAAUCAUUUUAUUCAAAGUAGAAAGAAAAGAUAAUACCACUAAAUAUAAAAUAUUAUUGAUAGAAUAAAAUAUUAAUAAAACAAGAAAGAGGGGAAGGGUGGGGAACCAUCGAGAAAAAGAAAGGGAAAACAGGAGACGGGGAAUGGGCGUGGGAAAAAAAGAAGGGGAGGGGGGAGAGGCCAUUGUCUUCUUCUUCCUCCUUUACUCACUUCACCCCUUGUAAACUAUUUUCAUCAUAACUUCCUCAUACGAUAAUGAAAUCACACAAGGCUGGAAGUUAUAUUUUUGUAGUAAAGUUGUCUUCAAUCUGAUACUAUACCCACCCUUUGAAAACCGGUGUACAAAGAAAAUGAGGUCCAAAUGUAUUGACGUUUCUGGCGACUUUUCUCUGAUUUCGGUUCACCCCUUUAAGUGAAGAUAAUGAUUCUUUCCUCAUGGGCUCUCCUCUAGCGUAAGUUUUUCCCAAGGUGUUAACUUUCAGUUUUGGGAUCUGUUCUUGAUUUCGAAUUUCAAAUUGGUAUUAUGUAUGAAUAUUUGAGAUGAUACUUAGUUGUAUUGUUUAGGAGUUGAAACAGAACUGGGCAAUAAGGAUUGGUUGCAUAUUUAGGGAAGAACCUUGAAAUCCUAACCUCGAUUUGGUUCUCUUUAGAAAUGUAAGAAUUGGGUUUCUUUUAUAAGUAUUAAUGUUAUUCCAUAAUCGAAGCCAAAUACAUUUGAAUAUUUUAGGUGCCAUAUUUGUCCUACCCUUGAAGAACAUUGCUGAAUUUGUAUGUGUUGUAGCCUAGGUUUGUGUUUGUGUAGAUAAUUAGAGUUCUAAAACUAUUGAGCGGUUCUAUAUUUUCCAUGACAUUGUCAGAUGCUGAUGCUAAAUACUUGAUUGGACAAUGCUAUUACUAGAGUAGUAUAUGACUCUUGGUUUUGGCCAUUGAUAUAUUGGUGGUUCUUUAUUCUUUCUUUCAGCAGAUGAAGAGUUAAUACUACUAGGAAUUUAUAUUUUUAUUUUGAGGCACUUGAAUAAACAGUAUGGUUUUCUAUGUUAAUUAUUAAGAAUCAUUGAUAUGGUUUGAUAGAUCCAAUUUGGUGUGAUUACUAUUCAAUUAAGUACUUCACCUUUAUACGUAUCAUGUUGUUUGCCUAAGUGGUAGAAUGAUGUCCCAUUAGACAUAAUUAUCUAUACGCAUGCUUAUACUGAAACCAAAAUCAAGUUGAUUCACGUUCUGAAGUUAUAUGUAUAUGUCUCAUAUGUGUAGACAAGCUGUACAAAGAAAGCAUCCAGUUUUUAGUAGUUAUUCUGAUUACAUGUAUGUAGUAAUGUCUUGUUAUAGUGAUCGGAGUUAUUGAAUUGGUGAACUACGAAUGGCUUGAUCCCUAUUGAGGGUACGUAGGCACUCUAACGGGGAGGUUAAAUGCAGCCAUAAAGUAUAAGAAAAAUUAUCACGCCAUACAAAGCUUGAGUUGUGCAUUGUCCAUAUCCCGGAGGCGGGGUAUGGGAGUUAUGCGGGUAUUUGAUGACGUCACGUGUCGAUCCUAGACGUAUGUCGGGAUCAGGGCGUGACAAUUUAUCACUAAAUGAUAAUUACCCAUAGACCUGUUUUUUAACAAACAUUAGGGGUAAUGGGUUAAAUUGUUAGCUGUUAGGGGGAAGAAGGAUCGGUGGGGAUCAGUGACUAUACAACAGCACUAAAAUAUAUAUAAAUGAUUAUUUUUCGCUACUGUGGUGAAGUGUCAUCUGCAACCAAAUACCAUUCUAGCACACAUAUGCAUUUUCUCUUGGAAGAUAUACCAUUUCUCCUUCAGACUUAUACAAAACUCAUGCAAACCUAUCAGUUAGAGACAGGUGGCAUACUGCCCUACUCUUCCACAUCUCUCUCGAUUUUCGAUCGUCGGGUUGAAUGAACUAAAGGAGAUCAAUGGCUAAAAAUCAACAAGUUUGUGUGGAAAAUGAAAAUAGGUGUGUAAAUUGCAAUCUCUUAAGUGGCCCUUUAUUAUAGUGGUAAAAAUGUGUUGUGCCAUUGUAUGACGGCGUGGGUUCAAAUCCCGUCAAUGGCGAAUUUGAUUAUCACCAAAGGUGAAUUUGAACCAUAUUAUUGCUAAAUCAUUGUGAGGUUUAGCUCACUCCCUCAGUCUUUCAUCCUUUAGUGUAGAUAAUAUCGUUUGUUAAAAAAAUAGCAAUCUCCUUUCUUUUACUCUUUUUUCCUCAAACUCAUAUGUUUUAUCUUAUUCAAUUAAAUAUUUGUAGGACUCCAUCUUCAAAACAAAUCACUCAAAAAAAACUAGGGUCCAUACAACAAAAUGUUUAAAAAAUAAAAUGACAUCAAUUUUUCUCAUAUGUCAAAAUUGGUAGACUUGGCAGCACACAGUAUGUAUGCCAAUCCACGUAGGAUUGACAUAUCAAUUAUAGCUUUUAUUUAAGGUCAGCACUACCGAAUUUUCUCAAGAUUAAAAGCCUCACACUAAAAAUGAGAAGAAUUCUCAACAUUGAGAGAAAGACACUCACUCGGAGAGAAAAUUCAUAUGUUUAACUUCUUUGGAAAUAUAUUUUAAGAGUGAAAACUGAAAUCUGCUCAAAUAAAAAACCGAGGUUAAAGUUUUUUUUUCUAGGAGUAAAUUAUGAAGAAAAUGGGAUGAACAAGUGUCCGAAGUGUUUGGAGCACAAAAUGUUGCUUCCACCUUCAUCACCCGAUACCAUUUAGCAAAUUUCGUGGCAGAAACACAGUGCAAAAUAAUACUGAGGAAAAUUACCAACACAUUUUCAUUCAGUUCAAAUGGGCAGGUCCCUGAUUUUCUCCCCAAACCUUCCUCUCAGAAUUUCUCAAAUACCAAGAUCAAAUUUACCGCCCAAUCGACCAGAUUACUCACUUUUACUGAAUUCAAAGCAAAAAUUGCAACAUGGGCUUCAAAGAUUUGGACUUUCGAUUGCCAAACCGACGAGAAGUCUCUGCACAAAGGCUGUGUUCUCUGAAAUUCCAAACCCGGAGCUGUAUGUGAAAGUUGGGGCCAAAUCAACUGGACCAAUUCCAAUUGGUCAGCUCGUUGGAGUGGUAGAGAAGGCCGCUAAGACUGGCGCUGAGGUUGCUCUUUAGCUCUGUUUUUGUAAUUCUUUGAAUGUGCCAGCAUUGUGUAAAUUCUGUAAUUUGAAUAAGAACCCAGAUGGAAUUUGCAUUUGUUUCUUGGGGGAUUGCUUGAAUUUUAUUGUUUUUAAUCCUGUUCAGUAUGUUAAUUUGAUUUUGGAAGCAUUGUUGGCUUUUGAUCAUGCCUUUGUUUGCUCUGAGAGUGUCUUAUUCUACUCCGGUAACGUCUUUUUCCCGUUAAAUAUAUGUUUAGGGAAUAAAAGUUGUUAAAUUUCAUCCUAAUAGGAGUUAGCAACUAAUAGUCAAAAUAUUUUUACAAAAAAGAGGUACUAAAGGAGAAAAACAUUGCCGGUGUAAUAUAUGAUGACAUUGUUUUGUUGCUAGAGAGUAUGUUGAUUCAACGCCUUAGGUGUAGUACUUGCCGUUUUGUCCAUUACUGAAUCAUCAUGAAUUCCUUAUAGCUUAUGUUAUUUGCGUCACUUUUCAGGUUGUGAUGGAUGCUGUUAAUAAGCCUCGGGAUAUCACCUAUAAAGGACUAACAGACUUGGUCACUAAGUAAGAACUGAAUUGACAUGCUUUCACUAGUUUUGUAUGUUUUGAUGCUUCAAUUGACUUGUAGUGAUAACACUUUCUAGAAUAGACUAGAGUAGAGGUUGAAACUUACAUGUAAAGGUUGAACCUUUUACAAGCAAGAUACACUAAUCAUGAAGGAACUUCUAAGUAUCACCUUAUUCUUGGAGAGGAGGUGGAAUAACUGGAGAUGCAUCAUCUGAUUAUAUGUGGUGCAUUGAUCAUUUAGGUUAGUAUCUUCUAAGGGGCAGUAUAGGUAUGCUUGUGCAUAUUGGGUUUUUCAAGACCACCAAGUAUGAUAUGGUUCAUGAUAGUGGUGUGUUUCAGAACAUGAUUUACUGUAAAUCAGUUACCAGGUUGUUUCAGCCAUCGUAAUUCUUGCCUCAAUACUUUUGACUCAUACUUUUUCAUAACAAAUUGUUGCAGUGUAAAUAUUAUGAUUUUGUAUAUAGACGGCAGUUCAUAUACUUAAUACAUACAUGAAUGUUUAGAGAUGAACUUUCUAAUGACAGAUAUGAAAUUGGAAAGAGCUAUUAGGGUGGUAGCUGGAUUGUCGUUUUAUAUCCAGAUACCUUUAAUAAGAAUAGCCUGAAAAUUCUUAGUUUUGUCUUAUCUAACCUCUGAUAUCUUCGUAGAUGGAACAACAAAUUUUGCACAUGGUUAUUCUAGCUUUGCAGUUUCUGUUGGAGUUUUAUUUCGAGGAAGACCUGUUGCUGCUGCAGUGGUACUGAUCACAUAUAGUAGAUUUUAUUUGACAUGUUGCUUGCAUGAUUGCAUGAUAUGUUAAGAUGUCUAUUUGAUUUUCUAGUACUUCCCUUCUCAUGUGGGCCUCAUUAUUAGAGUCAAGAGUGUCUUCAACUUAUAUUGCAAGGUUGCGAUGUGAUGAUUUGAGCUCAGGAUCUCUUACUCUGUUACCAUGAUAAAUAUUAUUUAUUUACCAUUGUUUUCAAAAGCUCGAACUGUUAGGAUGUGGACCAAAAAUCAUCUAUUACUAUAACGUCUAUGACUGACAUAGUGGAAAUUAACAUGUUGGUUUUCUGUUUAUAUUUUCAGAUAGAGUUCGUUGGGGGCCCUGUGUUGGAAUACCCGCAUUUUUUCUGCUAGUGCUUGUAUGGAAGUUCUUCCUAAAUAGUUGCCUUAGUCUUAAUUGAUUUUGUAAUUGUACUAAUGAUGUUGAGCUCAAUCGAUAAUCUGUGUUAUGAUAGGAGGGGGAGCAUUUUGUAAUGGCCAAAGAAUUCACGUGAGCCAAACUGAUGAGCUUAAUAUUCCUUUUAUUAGAAGAAAAAGAAUUUUGAAAUCUAUAACUAUGUCGAAUCGUGUUACUUUAGGUCGAUGACUAAGUCUGAUCUUAUUUGAUGUUAGAAUAUUUGCAGUGGUAUAUUGAUUAACACUUACUGCUAUUCCUUUGUACUAGAAUGCAAUAAAUAAAGGUACAAAACCAUAACAUACCUUAGGCUGUGAUUAUCUUUACCCAAUUUUCUUCAGAAAUUCCAACCACCACCAGAAUGUUAGGCAUAAAGGUAGUAAGUUAGAAACUAGAAAAGGUAUUAGAGAGAAAGAUGAGCUAUCUCAUGUGUAUCGCUUACUGUAUAAAGGAGAAACCAUUUUAUAUUUUAUUUAGGCUCAUACUCUUCCAUAUUUGAGGUGGGACGAUCUCUUCUUGUUACUGGAUUUGGUUAUGAACAAGAUGAUGUGUGGAUCACCAACAUAGAGUUAUUUAAAGAGUUCACCUACAUCAGAAGGGUAAUAGCCUUUCGUUUUAGUGCUAAGCAAUUUUUAUUUGAGCUUUAGCUUUGGGAUUAAUUAACUUCCUAUUCCCUCUCUCUCUUCAUGUUUGUGACUUGAACUCUUUUUUCCCCAUGGUAUUUUCCCUACAUCGUAAUGUUUAGGGUGUAAGCAGGCUCAGUGCAGCUGCGGUAGACAUGUGCCAUGUAGCUCUUUGGAUUGUAGAAGCCCACUGGGAAUAUCGACUAAAGCCAUGGGAUACAGCAGCUGGUGUUUUGGUAAUGUUUUGUCUUCUCAUAAAUGCAUUUGUUUGGUGUUUGUGGAAUAGUAAUAUUUGGAAGUCUAUUGUUAUAACACUCAAUUGAAUACGUUCUUGUUUUGGGUUUGUGGAAACAUAAUACAUCGGCAGAGAUUUUUGUUUUAUAUCUCUCAAUUUUUUUUUUUUUCCUAAAGCAAUUUGGUCUGAUUUUUUAUUUGCAUUAUAUGACAUAUUGUUCAGGUUUUUCUUUUCGAUUUUGUUUUUACUUUGUUACGAGACCCUAAAUAAUCAUUGAUACUUUCUUAUACAUGGGUUAGUUCUUUUUAUUUUUCCUAGUUGAAUACCUGGAAAGAGUUGUGAUAACUCAAAAGUAUACAUCGGAAAUCGAGCACAUAACAAAAUAAUGCAUCAAUUGACAGUUUGGUUUCAGUAUGAACAAUUUACACGGGAAGAAUAUACAAAUAAUAGACUUUCUGUCAUUAGAAAUAUCCUUUACGUUUUUAUGGCAAGUGUUUGGAAGUGUUGCUUCGGACAACCUCUUGUGACAAGAUGCUUGAACUGAUGCAUGAAAAUUAUAGUUCACUUUUCUCUCUGCAGAAUCGUGGCAUCCAGAAGUGUGAUUUAAAGAAUUCAUAGAAUUUGGUAUGGCAAUUCAUAGAACUUGGGAGCAGCCUCUCCAUAAAAUGGGGGUAAGGCUAGCCGACAUUCACCUCUCCCAGACCCUGCGUAAAGCGGGAGCCUUGUGCACUGGGUACGACCUUUUUUAGUUGAAGAGGCUGGAGUAAAGGUUACAUGCAUGGAUGGCGGAAAAUUCUCUGUAUUUGAAAGAUCUAUCUUGGUAUCGAACUGUGUGCUGCAUGGCAAGGUUAGUCUUCUGCUUUAUCCAGAAUCUAAUUACAAAACCUUACGUGUUAAGAUCGAACUACGGUUAUAGAAUGCAAGAUCUUAACUCUUCAUUGCCUUUCUGUUACUACCACUAAUCUUGUUCACUAGUUAUAUAACCAUUUACGAAGAGUCAAAGGUCAAUUCAGUUUCCCUAACUUGAUGUAUGUUUCUACCGAUGAAGUGGCAAGCUUUCCUUUACCUUUCCAUAUUUUUCCUCAAAUUUUUGUGUUAGGUUAGGUCGGGGGGUGGGUGGGAGGUGAGUAGAGCAGAUGUUUACUGUAAGUCCGUAACAGAGCUUUUAGUAGUGCUAUAGUUUCCUGUAAAAGACGCAGUAGAUUGUAAUCAUAUUAAAUGCACUAGUGGUUUUAAAGAAAUAAUUCUAGAAUUUAAUUUUUGUAAAAUGCAGCUCUUAGAGAAGGUUGCACCUGCAACAGAGAAAUUGAAGAGCAAAGGAAUUAAUUUCUCAUCAUGGUAGUGGUACAAGCCCGAAGAUUACACAAGAGACAUUUGAUGCGCCUGAAAGUUCAUUUUUUCUUUGUUUUUGCCAAUGGUGCUGAGAAGAUAUCUUCCACAGGAAGGUGGUCUCUCAUUGUUUCAUUGGUGACUUUCGCUGUAACGUGCAUUUCAAGCGCGUGAUAUAUAUGUUAUAUCUCAACAUGUCUUCCUUUACUGAUAUGAAUAUUGCUUUAGGGGUUUUAGUACAGCAUAGCAUGUUUUCCUAUGUUGCUUUAGGCAAGUGGAAUAGGUGUGAAUUGCUGUAAUUCAGAAAUAAUCGUCGAUAAUGAUCAUGGAUCGAUCUUUAUCGUCAAGAAAUUGGUCCUAUGUGGAAUCACUACUCUUUCUUUACCGAAGCAGAAAGAAAAAUGUGAAUUUGGGCAGUAGUUAAAAGCGUAUCAUCCUUCCAUUAUUAUUCUGUUCCCAUCAUUUCUUACAUACGCACUUGUCUUAUUUCUGCUUUAAAAAAAUGAAAAUCAGAACGUUAUUUCUCUGCUCGUAAGGGAAGUUGCUGGGUACUCUGCAACUUAUUUAGGAGUAAUGUCGACACCCUUGAUAACAAGCCCUUUCUUCC
rnacentral:lncRNA from 1 species